AAAAAAAAAAAAAAAAAAAAAACUCCAAGCCUUAGUGAACAAAUAUGGAGCAUUGAUUAAACCAUUGCUGAUUUCUCUAUGCAGUCUAAUAGCAAUAUCUUUAUAUUAAUUUCAUAUGCUGCAUAUGUGACAUCAUAUUUGGCAUAAAAUUGGAUCAGACGAGAGAUUUUAUCAAUAACUGUGUGUGUGUGUGUGUGUGAGAGAGAGAGAGAGAGAGAGAUUUUCAUUCUGACAUUUUGCCCACCCUGGAUUUCUAAUGGCAAUAUAGAUGGUUAUAGAGUUGAUAAAUUUAACUCUAGUUUCCCCAAUAUUUAGUUGAUGUAUAAAUUGAUACCUGGGUCAUAGUUCUGACAGCAAAAUUCGUACUGCAGGUCUGUAUAGAUCAUGACUUGCAUGUAGUACAGAUAUAGGCAUAAUUGCGCAUUAUAAAUCAUAGAACCUUAAUAUUGCAAUCUGCUCACCAUCAUCAAUUUUAUCCUUGUAGGUGAUUAGAGAGGACAGUCCAUAUGAGAAUCUGCAAAUGAACUUGGCGGAACCAUCAUUAUUUUUCAAUCAACUUGGAUCUAUUCAAGAAGUUCUACCUAUUCUCUCUGUCAUUCCAGAGGUUAGGAACGUUUUUAUAUUUGAACACAUCAAUAUUUACAUGUUUUGACAUCCAUAUAUAUAAUAGCAGUAGCAAAAAUGUAAUACUUGUGUUCUCAGUUGAAGACAUGUUAUAUGGUAGAAUAUUACACUAGGACACAUUACAGACAACAGGUCUUUUAUGAAAAUGAGGGAGUGAAGCUAUAUUGGUACAAGGAUCUUUAUUGAAGAAGCUUAAUUAAUUUUUACUAGUGAAUUUUUCCUUUAUGCACUCUUUCUGACUGCAAUUGUAUUGAUAUUUGGGCAGCUCUCACCAGAAUCACAACAGCAGUUACUUAAUUUGCCAGCUGAUCUCACCAGGCGUCUAAUUUCCCGUGCUGUUGCAAGGACAAUCAGAAGGGUAAUUUUAUGAAGCAUAGGAGACUUAUUCUUGUAACACUUCUAGGUUGAAUCACAUAAUAGAACUUUUUGCCUAUCCCUUGAUAAUGAUGUGUUCACGUUUUCAAAAACCAACAUUAUCUCAAGUGAAUCAUAUGCAUAACUUGCAAGCCUAUUUGCAAUAGUAUUUCCCGUUCUGGAUGCGAAAGACACUGACAUUCUGCAUUACUAAAUUUGGUUUUGAUAUCUAAAACCAGAUUGCUUAGCUCAGAUAGAUCCUCGUCUUCUCUGUUAAUUGACUGAACUGCUACCAGGCAAUCAGUCUUAAUCUCUCCAUCUGCUCCACAAACUGUAAACCUUCCCAGAUGGCAUGGAGCUCAACCUGUUGUGCUGAGUCUGCACAUGAGACACCGGUUUGGCAAUGCUGCCACGAAUGCACCCUGUGCAUCUCAUAGAAUUCCACACACACACCCCAAUCCAAAGCACCUGCCCCGAAAGCUCCAUCCACAUCAAGUUUGGGGACCGGCUGGUUUCCGUUGUUGCUUCAGUUUAGCAGCAUUCACAGCAGAGCUUGCUGAAAGUCAGUUAGCGAAGUAAACGAGCUCAGAAUUAAUCUAUAACUUCUUCAUGUGUUUUGCCUUCCAACAAUUUUCAGUUUCUAUUGGUCCACAAUCCGUGAAUAAUCAUAAGGAGCUUUGCAAAUAGAUCACCCUUAGGUUUAAAGCUUGCUCCAAAAGGCUGGACCGGAACGUACGACUUCGUCAGCUGCAGAUAGCUCGUCAACUGGGGCAUGCAGUCCUAAUCUUUUGUCCCCUGGAAUAGCAUGGCUAUUUCACUCGCACUAACUGCCCGCUAAGGCAUGCUUCCUACUGACGCCAAUGGAAUAAACAAUGACCCUACUUUACAGGUUUUUGUCACUUUCUUUCUUGAUGUUGCAUUGUAUGAAUCGCCUGCUCAUUUGCAUCCACAUUACUGGACUCUUCUGGAUGUUUGAUGUAACACAGUUGCAACCAAGGCAUUAGUUUCCCCGUAUUUUGACUUGGGAAAAUUGCGAGCAAAGAAGUGAGAUUAGAAAACAAAAACACCCAAUUUUGGCAAAAGAGAACAAAAAAUACAAAAGAAAGCUCACAGUAGAAGUCGGGAAUAAUACUGGACUGGACAAAAAAAAGUGUUCUGUGUUGACUAAGACUUAUGAUUUUGUAUCAAAUUACACGUAUCGAGCAUGAUUCUGUAAUAUGCAAUUUCGAGCUUAUCAACAUAACGGGCCUUCCCAUUUCACCUUACAACAUUGUAAAUACCUGUUCGAAGUUCAAAUUAUAUCUGACCUGCCCUGUUAACAGCAUCUACUGAGUACAACCUACAAUUGAAUUAAUGUUUCCUAGUAUUACUCGUCCUCCUCUUCAGAUGCCUCCCUCAACCACUGCAACAACAAAAAACACAUAAGAUACAACUAUUGUGAAACUUAAAAUAUGCUCUGCACCCACAUUCUCCAAAUUCCCUCAUUACUUGGGCAACCCUAAGGGAUGAACUUGUCUUUAAUGGAGCUUGUGCGAGAAAAAAUAGACAUCACACAAGGCUCAGGCACUAGCAUGUAAACCAGUAAAGAGUAAAACUAAAUAAUUGCAAUCAUGCACAGCCCAAGUAUACAAAACAUUGUAAGGGAAAACAACGGAUUUUAUAAGCUGACAAUCAUUUUAUUCAAAUUUAGGUAUCACUUACAUGGAUAAAUGUUUCAGCCUGCUUAACAAAAAUUUUGUCUGAUUCAUCGGCAUAUGUCUUUUCAUCAUCCCACCUCAGAAUAGCCUCUUCCUGUAUAACUUCUUGGUCAUACAGCUGAUAGAGUAUCUGUAUAAGAAAAAUCCAACAAUCAAGAGAAUUAAACCCAUCAAAUUCAUAACAGAACUGAAAGACUAAACCAGCUAGGUUCCAACAAAAACUCAGCAAAACUUUGGCACAGUUCUAAAUAAAAAAAAAUAUUUUUGUGGUGGCAUUAUCCAUAGCAAUUUUCUCAUUGCUCAAGAGCCAGAGGCUGGCAAAGCACUAAGCAGAAGCAUAUCCACAUUCAUCCAAGGAGAUGAAAAGUUAUGCACUUUGAAAUAACUGCAAUUCUCUGAUCUUCUAAUACAAAUCACGAGUAUGAUUUAUGAUGAUCCAAAACAACGUAGGCAAGCAUACCUUUUCAAACACAGGGGAGAACUCCUUUGCAGACUCCAAACACAUAUCUUCAAAUUUCAUUAUCACUUCUAUCUGUAAAGUAACAAAGAAUAAAUCAUCACAAAGUAUAACAGCGAUAAGCACUACAUUUAUAACCAUGGGAAAAUGUUAGGACCAGAUUUCUAGCAUUAUACUAACUCUAAGACUAUCCCGACACCAGACCAACAAAACUCUUUAACACUGAACAAUAAUUUAUAUGUAAACUAGGUACUUAUUGAAAAGACCAAAGUUGGAAAAUUGGAAAGUAACAUUUGACGCACUCUACGUAUAAAUUAAUCAAAACAUUAAUAGAUGAAUGCACACAGAGCACAGAGAUAUUAUCGGAAAAGCUUGCUUAAAUAUCUUUCCCAAAAUAACAAUACAUAUAUGCACAAACUUCGAAUUUCUUGUUCUUCAUUCCCAUUAAGAAUAUACAAAAGAAACGAAUUCCAUUUUGUUUCUUCUUACUUUAUUAAUUGCUUGUCUCAGCCAGUGGAAAAUAAAUUUUACUACUCCAUACGUAGUCGAAAGGCUAAAUUACAAUUGUUUAGUUGAAAGACCAAAAAAGUGUCUAAGGGAAGUGAAGGUCACAUUUUACUUCUACAGUACAAAUAGAAUAUGACCCUCUUUCAUUUCAGUGUAUAUAUUUAUAUCUUUCUUUCAUUGCAAUGUCAUGUUGAUGAGAGCUGAAGAUGACUUGAAGCACAAAUAUAAUAUAUAUAUAUAUAUACGGAAACGAUGUGGAGCGCACGUCCGCAGUGCGCACGAAGCUCCGUUCGCCGACGACGGCGCGCCUCCACCCCAGCAGACUCCAGCAGCGUCCCCGAUCACUUUCUCUCCCCGGUGAGGCCGCCGAAUUCCAGUUUCCGGCGAGAUCGACUUUAUUUGAAGUUUUGGGUGAUCUCGCCGGAAAACUGGAAUUCGGCGGACUCGCCAGGGAGGGAAANNNNNNNNNNNNNNNNNNNNCAGAAUGUCUAAACAAAGCAGUGCCUCGCCUCUAAUAAAAGCUGAGGAGGGGGGGGGGGGGGGGCGGCGGGGAUUGGACAUUUUACAAUUAACCAAAUUUGGUGAUGCAAAAAAGAAAUGUACUGAUUGAACAUGUGCAUGCAAGUAUUAGUCAAAAGGACAAAAACCCAAACCUCUUCAUCAAUAUCUGAUAGGUAAUACUUUAGCAGUCCUUUCCAUUUUGUAAUUACCUUCGUAGUAGCUUGGACCAAGUCAACUACAGAUAAAAUUGAGCAUCAUUUGUCAUUAAUGAUAAGAAACAACACAGGUUUAGUGAACAGAACUAACAUCCAAAUUUCCAAAUAGCCGACAGAGUACAGACCAAUAUAAAAGGAUAUAAUUGUAAAUGAAGACUAAAAAAAACUUAUAAAACCAUGAACACUUCAUGGAUGAAAUCUGGAUUACCGUUAUGUGUUUUAACCUAAGAAAUAUACAACCCAAAUCCCAAACUAACCACACCCAGCUUUUUUUUCUUCAGCAAAUAAUCUGUAUAUAUUCCGUUAUAUUUCUGACAAUUAUACAUAUUGUUGUGAAAGAAAUAUGCUGACUCAACAAUCCCUAAGUUAACAUAUCAACAAGGUGAAAAACAAAACCUCAGUGUCAUUAAUUGUUACUCAACAUAAUACCAUUUUAAUCCCAGAGUUCAUAUAAAAGGUUUCCAAUCAUAGAGGGGUUUCUUAAAACUGAAAAGAGAUGGCAGCCUCAGAAAUCUACCUGCUAAACUAUGUGAAGUUUCUAAUGCCAAUUUCAUCAUUGAAUAAAAUAUAGCUCCAGCACAGUCUGCAGUUUGCUUGUUGUAUGACAAUCUGCAGCAUUGACAAGCGUUAAUCACAAAACAGUACACAGUGAAACUUAAACCAAAAAACAGAACAUUUUCAGGUUGAAAGAUGUCCUCAGACGGCCCUCAGCAGAUGAAAAUAUACAGGCAAACACAAGUUAAGGUAAUGAAGACAUUGACUGAAUGUAAGUGUUUGAGCAUAAUUUAAAUUGCAAAAUUUUCAAAGAUAAAUCAUUACUGAAAUGCAUAAUAAUAAUGAUACUCAUGCUACAUGGUAAUCCAUAGAUAGGCAAGAGAAAACCAAAUGGAUACCUCAGUGAGUUCACUUCUAAGAUGACAUUCUCUACUUUAAUAUUUUCAUCCACAGCUCUUACGAAGGUUGCUUCAACCUGCAGAAACCAAUCAACUUGUUCAGGUUAGGUACAGUUUUUAACUUCUUAAACUUGUAUGUAUAUAAAUUAACAUUGUUCACCUCAUUUUCAAAGUAGGAAUCAUCUCUAGAAUCUACAUCAUAAUCAGAAUCAUUAGAAUCAAGUUUCAACUCUCCCGAAGGUGGGAGACUGCUGCCAUCUUGAGCAAACUCCAGAUCAUCCUCUGCAGCUUGUAUCACCUCAGCAAGUUUCUCUGCAGGAAUGGGAGCAACUGAAUGCCUCCACUCUUCAUCAUGGCCUCCUUCACAAACUGACCAAACAUAACCAGCCCCACCAGUACCAAGCUGAUCAAUAAUAACAGUUUGUAUAAGAGAAUAUCAAGAUAUAAGCAGCAGGAUAAUCUAAAUUUUCUAAUCAGGUCACUUUUUUUACUUGUUACUAGAGGAAAAGGUGGGAUGCAAAAAAAGGUCAGCCAUCAUUACAUGAGUAGGACCACUAUGAAAGGAAUUGUAACUUAUGUAGCCCACGAUAGAAAGGGUAACCCCCAUCCUACCCAUAUCACCAGUCAAUGCAUUCCAUGUGCAUUUGUUGAAACUAAACAAAUGCUGAUUCAAUCAAAGAUGUCUUUUUUCUAUUUUUUUUUUUUUUUUUUUCCGCAAUACCAUCAUAAUUCAACCUUAACAAUGUUAGUGCGCAUCACCUUCAUAGUACAUAGUCCAUAAUCAUCGAGGAAAAUACAAAUCCAAAAGCAUGUUUUGAAAAUAUAGGAGAUAAGAUGUUCUCAGAUUGUCACAUGGUCCCAGGACAGUAUCCCUGAUAUUAUCUUGUUAUUUACCAGUUUGAACCUUGCUCCCUUCUAAUCACCAUUACAAGCCUAAUUCCACGUUGAUACCGUUGUCUACACCAAACUAAGUUAAUGCAGCUUCAUCUUUUAUCAGAGUUAUGUCAAAGCAUCCCUAAUUUCUGAUGUGAAAGCUAUAUCCCAUCCUUUAGACAUGGAAAAAAUGACAUCUCCACACAUGCCUAAUCUCGUGUAUAAGCAGCCCCAUCAUUUGUUGACUGGAAAUUAGCAUCAUAUUGCCUGCUACUUGCUGGAAAAAGAAGAUGAAAAAUAUGCAAGAAGCUGCAAGUGUCUCAGUUUAAUGAUACAAGUGACACUCUUUCUUUUCUUUGUGAAUCCGGAAUCACUUGUGAACAUUGCUAUCCAAUGCGCAUCUUAAAUUCUCAACACUUGCGGCAGUUUCUGGGGUUUACCUAACGUGCUUGACUGUAUCACUUAAAACUUUGCAGUGAUUCUAAAACUUGUGCAAUUACAAUUAAUCAAUACAAGACAGCUAUCAACAUUGUCCAACAUGGUUUUAAAAGAUUUUCUAAAUAACAAGUACUUGACACAAUCAGGCAAGAAUCCACAAGAUGCUGAAUAAAGCCAAAACAAAACCGAAUUCGUAGCAAGGGGCUAACCUCAGAUGUAGGCCAACACUGAGUCUCCUGUUGUCUGUUUGCUGUUUCCCCAUUCGAUAUAUUCAGUGCAUGUGUAAGAGCUGCAUAUUAUAACUCAUAAUAAGAGCAUAUAUCACUAGAGAAAGAUGCAUGUGUUACCACCAGCAACUUCCACAAAUAAAACAAGCUCAAUGAGCUUAAGAUACAUAUCUAGAGCUUAGCAAAAUGAAAGUAUGGAUACCAGAUAUAGUAGCUAUGUCUAGACAAAGACAGUUGAAAGUCGAUAAAACUACUUUAGAACACGAAUUCACAUAUACAAAUACAUAAGUGGCACUCAAUUUACAGGUCUGCAUUUGACUGAAAUGUACAAAAAACUUACUGGCAAGCAUGGUUAUCACACCAUAUGGGACAUUGUUUAUAUAUCAAUAAUGGUCAACAACACAGACCAUCCUAUACACGUGUUUUUCCAUUGAAUUGCUUAAUUGAACCAUUUUCAUAUCACCUUGAAGAAACUACCACAAUCCCACAAAGGUACAUAGGCUUAUUUCUACAAUAUCUAAGAAGUGAUGAUGCAUUAAGAGGAUAUCCCUAAUAGAGUUUAGGUACAUACUUUGCAUAUGACAUAAAUCAACAAGAUCAAAUGUAAAGAUUCGGGACAAACGCUAGAGACUUACGGGAAAUUUCUGCAAUCCCGGUGCUAUUGUCAGCAUACUCUAGCUCCUCAUCACUAUCUUGCUUUAUUGGUUGUUGAAGUAACGAUACCUUUGAGUAUGAAGGGACAAUAAAUUGAUGUCCUAUCAUAACCUGGAGGAAAAGCAAUAUCAAGAACACCAUAAGAUAAGACAAAAGUCAGAAAAACCAGAAAUGAAAUGUACUUUGCCUCUUCCAAACUCAGAGGACAAAGCAAAUGAACAAUUAACAAUGACAAGUUAAAGGAAAAUCCAUUUAAGCACUAAAAGAUUUCAUAUUUCCCAGCGUGACAAAUUCUGACCAUGAAUCAUGAGUCGCAGGAAAGCUAAUAUACAUCCAGUCUACUUACAAAGCUGAACCUAAUCAUGCCAAGUAUGUGUCGUUAAACGCAAUUCUUUCGGGAGAUACCCCAUAAUCUGUAACAAAUGCUUUCUCUUGAUGACCUAUAGGAAUGCUCUAAGCCAUAGGUACUUGAUUACCAAGGAUGUAACCUCACAAUACUUCUAUUCAGAGGUGGCAGUGCACAUGUCUUAAGAGUUUACAAUAGAUACAAGACAGAUCCACAAAGUGUUACCAGCAAGGAUAUCUAAGUUACCAAUGAUCAAGUAUUAAAUUUUUCAUAUGAUCACAAGGUUAAGUCAUGUUGUAAUAACUUAAUCAUAUAAGUAACUACCUACAAAUUUAUAAUAUCAACAUCAUUAUACUUUACAUGACCAAAUGAGUUUAUAACAUUGCAAAUAGUACCUGAUUCUAGCAUAUAACUGUGGCAGUAACUUAAUUGGUAUUGUAUUUUAUUCUUUUCGAGCAUUAUAAUAUAGGAAAGGUAAACUAGCAUUCUGAAGUUUCAGAUAGGGCACUGAAAGGUUUUAGUGGCACAUACCUUGAAACACAAAACUACACCCGGUUCCAAAACUGCCCCAGACUUUAUUAUCACUCCAUCACAUACUAUAGCAUGCCUUAGCUUGCAGCCAUCUUCAAUGGUGACAUUAUCCCAUAUAUAAGAACCUUCUAUGGAAACAUUUGAUCCAAUAGAACACCCUUCUCCAAUAACAGAAUUUGAAAUUUUGGAGUUGUCCCCAAUCUCUGUGCCAUUCCCAAUGACUGUAAAAGGACCAAUCUGUGCAGAUCGUGAUUGCCCAAUUCCUGAAGAAUAGCUAGUUUAUCAUAUCACACAGAACGAGAUAGAAAACUUUAACUGACAAAUAAAGGAACAGAUUGCCACCCCUCUUCCUGUAAAUAUGCUGUGUAAAUACAGGUCCUCUGGUAAUUACCUGAGGCUCGAUACAUCCCCUGCCUUUCCAGCUUUGUUGAAGAAUCUCCGAAAAACUUAACAUCUGGAACCAAUGGGUAAGUCCAUCUCUGAAUUAUGUCCUUACUGAUUGUAUCAUAGCUUCUGAAGUUGUCUAUCCUAGCUGCAUAUGACGAGUGAAUUUCAUGUGUGAAUAUUUUGUAACCCAUAAUCUGCACGAAUAGAGUUACUUGUAAGAACUUUAAAUUUGAAAUAAGCAAAGAGAUGAACAUUCCAAUAGAAAAAUUAAAAAUAAAAUGAAAUACAAAAUCGCAGUUUUGUGGGGGAAGAAAAGAUUUGUAUCUUGUUAAUAUCAUCACAAACCACAGCACAAAAUAGAUAUCAGUAGUUGGCAUGCUCCUCACAGGUAAAACAUUGAUGAACUCAUCACUUCUGCAUAUAUAUAUAUAUAAUCUCGAGGUGUGGCAGUUGCAUACUUAAAGAAACAAUACACGCAUGCAUGCAUUCAAGACUUGCAAGUUUUUGAAUAACAGUGGUUAGGAAAAUAUUGAUGAAAACAAUCCCCUGCCUUUGUAAUACAGGCAUCAAAUAAAUCUCAAGACUGAGCAGCCAGUUCUUCAAUAAAAAAUAUGUUGGUGACUCAGUCAAAAAGUCUCAAAGACAUCACAUUUUUAUGGAUGUACUAUAAAAUGCUACCACAAAGAAAACAUAGAUUGCAAAUAUCAGAAAAAUAGCAAAACACUGAACAAGUAAAAAGUAAUAGAUGGUAGCAAAAAAGAGAUAGAAGACCCAUUGCUUAUUUUCAUGCCAGAAAAAUACAUUGGGUAACCAUUGUGCAUAUAUGUGUCUGUAUCCAUAUCAUGCCUCCCUAACAUAAACGAGAACACAAAACAGUGUAGCAGAAUGUUUUGGUUAAGAAGAGAGGUCUUAUGAGAGACAUACGUCAUCAACAAGCAAUCCCUUUAAAAAAUGACGGCGUAAAUGUUGAUAGUCAAAAUUGUCUGUGAAAAGGCUGAGGACUUCAGGAGAGCAGAUGUCAAUGAAGCAAUCCUGCAGAUAAGACAUGGGUAAGAUUCUUCCACAAGCAUUCUGUGUUAUAAAGGAAUAUCCAUAAGAAGCCCCACUAGAAGUCACCAAAAGUUGAGUUGUUGAAGAUCAGCACAAAAGGAACAAGGUGGAUAUUUUAUAUAAAGAUUAAUCAAUCAUCUGAAACAAACAAUAAAAGCUCCAAGGGAAUGGUUUGAGAUAUAACCUGUCUGUCAUUAUGCAGAGAAAUCGAAGAUUUAUCAGCAAGCAAUAACUUAUCAAGAUAUAUAGAUCCUUUUGCAUGGUCUGCCUUGUCCUCAUAAUAUAAGAGCUGCUUUGUGUUGGGAUCUAUUGCCAUAAACAGCUCAUCAGUGCCCAGUCGAGAUUGGUGAGUGAUUUGAGAAGGCUUUGACCGUUUAAUAACAAUUGUCAUUACAGCAUUACUAUCUUUCUUUCUUCUCUCUUUAUGCUCUUGAAGCACCUGAGUAAGCGACAUGUUGCUCACCGUAUCCCCACUGAUUAGGACAAAAUCUCCAUGUAUCUUGAAUGAAGGAGGAUAAGGGAAAAUGUUACUCAUAAAAGAAAUUGGGACAACAAAUAUCAGGAUCAGUUUAAACACACAUCUAAACAAAAGGAAUAAACAUGCAAUCAGAAAGAGUAAAACAAUAAUCCAAAGUAGCAUAGCGAGGAUGAGCAUUACCACAUUGCGCUCAUAUAUCAAGCGCAGAGCAUCGCCGGCACUGACAGAAUCAUGAGACUCAAUAGUGGUGACAGUGAAGUUAGGCUGAGAAAACCAAUCGGAGUUGUCCAAAUAAGAGAUGAUCUGCUUGGAGUGAGCACAGCAGAAGACAAAAACCUCCUCAACGCCGGCGGACUCGAGCCAUGCCAAGGUGUAACUGAUCAUCGGCGCAUUCACCAACGGCAACAGCACCUGAAUCGAAACCAAGAUUAUUACAAAUGCAGGGUCAUGAUAUGUCGACAGAGAGACGAGGAUAGGUGGAUGUUACUUUGGGGCGUUCGAGUGUGAUGGGUCGGAAUUUGGUGGUGAAGCUAUCGGCAAGGAGGAUGGCUUGGAGAGGGACGUGUGCCAAUUCCACAGGCUCUUCUGAAGCCCUAGAGGCGCCUUUCUUCUGUGCGCCCAUUCUCCAACUCUUCUUGCUUCACUCUUGUCUUGCUUUGAUAAACCCUAAUCCACUUCAAACUGCAACCUACUGGGCUUCAAGUUGUGACUGAUUCGGUUUUAUUUUGAUGGCGUUCAUUCUAGUCUUGAGAAUAUUUCAUAUAUAUUUUGGUAUAUAUAUGUGAUUUUCCAUUUAACUCUUUUAUUCAUCUUCUUAUUAAUUUAAACAAGAGAAAUUUUAAAUACACACUCCUAAUCUCUUAAUACACACAUCUAUUAUUUUAUGUUUCUAUUAAGAUUUUAUAGGUAAGUUAAAUGACCAAAACAAACAUCUCUUAUUAAAAAAAAAAAAACGCGCUAGAAGUAUUCUUUUUAACAUCUUCUACCCAAAUCGUUGAAAGUACGUCUUCUCUUAUAACCCAACUCUUCUCCACAAUUNNNNNNNNNNNNNNNNNNNNNNNNNNNNNNNNNNNNNNNNNNNNNNNNNNNNNNNNNNNNNNNNNNNNNNNNNNNNNNNNNNNNNNNNNNNNNNNNNNNNNNNNNNNNNNNNNNNNNNNNNNNNNNNNNNNNNNNNNNNNNNNNNNNNNNNNNNNNNNNNNNNNNNNNNNNNNNNNNNNNNNNNNNNNNNNNNNNNNNNNNNNNNNNNNNNNNNNNNNNNNNNNNNNNNNNNNNNNNNNNNNNNNNNNNNNNNNNNNNNNNNNNNNNNNNNNNNNNNNNNNNNNNNNNNNNNNNNNNNNNNNNNNNNNNNNNNNNNNNNNNNNNNNNNNNNNNNNNNNNNNNNNNNNNNNNNNNNNNNNNNNNNNNNNNNNNNNNNNNNNNNNNNNNNNNNNNNNNNNNNNNNNNNNNNNNNNNNNNNNNNNNNNNNNNNNNNNNNNNNNNNNNNNNNNNNNNNNNNNNNNNNNNNNNNNNNNNNNNNNNNNNNNNNNNNNNNNNNNNNNNNNNNNNNNNNNNNNNNNNNNNNNNNNNNNNNNNNNNNNNNNNNNNNNNNNNNNNNNNNNNNNNNNNNNNNNNNNNNNNNNNNNNNNNNNNNNNNNNNNNNNNNNNNUUGGGAUGUGUAUUAAGUAUAAUACUGAAAUGAAAAUUUGAUAUGUGGUGUAUUAAGUAGGGGUGUGUAUUAAGAUAUUAGAGGUGUGUAUUUAAAAUUUCCUUUUAAACAAAAAUUAUAAAUAGUCCUCGUGGUUUAGGAUCAUGGUUAUGUUUGCUCCUAUAGUUUAAAAAUAUUUGUAUUUUUAUUUUAUAAAUCGAUUAAUUUUGGUCCAGUUAAACACAAUUAUUAAGGUUUUCAUAUGUCUAUCAUGCUUGGUUAAUUCGUCUUUACCUUUAAACCCUAAGUUGAGCAAGUUAAGCACAAUGAAUCUUUUGCACUGAAAUGAGAUAUCGUAACCAAACUAUCUAGGCAUUAUUUGUGUCAAUAACCAAAUUGACUGAAAUUUUACAGAGAUGAUCUAUACAUUAGUAUCUAAAUACUAGACGGUGGAGAUGUGAAUAUUCGAUUAAAAAGUGAAUCUAAAGUGGAAAUCUACACCAUAAGAAUAAAUAAAGAUCUCCUUAGCCAAGAAAGCCUGUAUAUAUAUAUAUAUAUAUAUAUAUUACAAACCAACUACCAUCAAUAAAAGGAAAAAAAAAAAUCGGUGCGGUUCGGUUUAAAUCGAUCGAAUUAUAACCCCAAACCGCUUUUAUGCGGUUCGCUGCGGUGAGACCAUAAAACGUCAUAGUUUUAGUUCGGUGCAGUUACCAAAUUGUUUUUUUGGUGCGGUUCAAAUCAGUAACCACAUUUUUUGUGCAAAUUGUCCACCCUUAACGGGGACUAUUUAUAUCUUUUGCUCUUAAUUUAAUAUUGAAUGGUUUUAGUAUUUGAAAAAUGAAAUUACUUUAUUGAUUAAACGAACAUUCCAAUCAAAUGAAAUAAGCUCCUUAAGAAAGAUGUUUGGGGGCCUCUUGACUCUUUUUGGAGUGGCCUCGCACUUUGGAAACCUAGUUCGGGUUUUGUAAGCGACGACUCUUUUUUGACGGGGUUGCUUAAUCGUAUUUUCAAGGAAGGGGUGAGUAAGGCGGCGAUGCGGCUGGUGGCUUCCCUGUGAAGCUUGGUAGUCUGUGUUUGACUGACACAAUUGUGAGGGGAGAUCAUUGAAGACACAGCAUGGCGCAGUGGCUCUUGGGUGGUGACGGCACGGUGAGUUUCGCGGUAGUCCUUUUGUAUCGUGUUUGGUGCAAUGGAGGUUACUAAAGGACUAUGUUUGGGUCCGGCUUGAUUGUGUGGGGGUUGAGUUGCCUAGGUUGUGUGGCGACGGUGUAGCGCAUCUGGUCGUUUUAGAUCAGGGUGGUGUUGAAGCUACGGAGGAGACUGGAGUGGAAAUGGUUGUUGCCUAUUCGUCAGUUGUCAAUGAUAUCUGCCGAGAAUCACACAAUAUGUUUUCCAAUAAAAACCGUUGUGUGAUUGUCAAGUCACACAAUGGUUUCCUUUCAAGAGUUGUUGUGUGAAUAUCGACAGAUUUCAUCGACAUACGUCGAGAUCAUUCCGCAUUGCAGUGGGCAACAUUUGUCGACACACACAAUAGUUUUCUUGCUGUAAACUAUUGUGUGAAGUUAUCUUCAUAUAACGAGUUUUUAAGUUUCAUGGUUGUCUGAUUGUUAAAUAGUACACAGAGUUUUUAUUAGUAGGCAUUGUGUGAUCAAUACUCACACAACGUGGCAAUGCAAGAGAUUAGUUGUAGGAUCAUAUAGUCAGACAACGUUGGAUUGUCAUUAACCUGUUGUAUGCUGAAUUCCACUAAUUUACCAAAUGAAAAGCAUAUACUACAUUCAAACAAAAAUAUGCUAAGACACAUCCAAACCAUUGUAUUAACCUUAAUAGGGAUAAUCAAAAGUUGAUACAUCCAUAUAUUGGAUCCUCCCAAGAUCAUGAAAGCUAAUAAGCCGAAGUGGCNNNNNNNNNNNNNNNNNNNNNNNNNNNNNNNNNNNNNNNNNNNNNNNNNNNNNNNNNNNNNNNNNAAGUAUAGCAGUGUAACAAAAUUCACAAAUUUUCGGAAACGUUUGGGUAUCGAUCAACUCGGUCAACCAUAAAUCCAACAAUUUUAAUUUUACGUCACACAUUAGUAUUAAAAAAGAACCGUUGUGGCACUACAAUAGGAAAUUUAUUAGGGUUUUUUAGGGUUUAGGGUAUUUUAGGGGUUAGAGGUUACGAAAUAUACAACGUAAUAUUGAAACAAUUGUGUGAUAUACCUUCACACAACAUUUCUUAGUUGAUUGUUGUGGGAUGAAGAACUUAAAGUAGUAUCGCCAAAUGUAAGAGAAGGGUUUCACCAUGACACGAAAAUACAUUAUACAACCAAAACUAAAAAGUCGUUGUGUGAUUGUUGAAAAUACUAUACUCUCACACAACAGGUUUGAGUGUUCCGUUGUUACAUCAAAACCACCAAGGCUAUCCUUCAUAAAAAAUUUAGGUUUUCAGAGGAUGUAAGAGCAAUUUUAAAAGAAUUAAAUUCAGUUUACCCCCUUGUGGUUUGGAGGUGACUUCAUGUUAGUCCCUACACUUUUAUUUUCAUCAGUUUACCCCUUGAACUCUUCAAUUUCUGUCUACCGUGCCCAAAUUCUCAUAUUCCGUUUGAAUUGACCUUUAAUUAUCAGCAGUUAAGGUCCGAUUUGGACAUAUAAGGUCCGAUUUGCCCAAAUUCUAGAUAUUGGCCUCACAGUUAAUGUUAAAAUUAUCAGCAGUUAACGUCCGAUUUGGACAAAAUAUAGAACAUUUGGUCACGCUUGAGGAAAAUUCAAAAGUUUGAGGGGUAAACUGAUGAAAUUGAAAGUAUAGGGAUUAACAUGAAGUUACUCCCAAACUUCAUAGGGGUAAACUGAAUUUAAUUCAUUUUAAAACUAGAAGUCUGCAACCUGACAUGAGAGAUACAUCAUACAACAGAUGUAUAUAAAGUAUUGUGUGAUAGUUUAAAUUGUAUAUAUUCACACAACAUUUAUUUGUUUCACUGUUGUGUAAGAACACCCAGUUAUAUGUCAAACUAGAGUGGGGUUAGAAGUAAAAUGGGCCUCAUUUUUAUCUUCAUUCAGACAACAAAAUAUUGUCCAAAGUGUUGUACGAGUUUAAGGAAAAAAAAACUGGAAUGAUCUCAGACUAUCCACACAACGGCUGAAAGUUUCUGAACGUUGUAUGAAGCAUUUUUAAAAUUUGUACAACUCUGCUAUUGUGCACCGUUGUGUGAAAAGUGUCGUUUGUUGCACUUAUUGGCGUAGUGAGUAUUAGUGCUAUAUGUGUGGUUCUCCUGUCACUAAAGAUCUUGGUGUCUACUUGGGAAUGCUAUCACUAAAAAUCCAAUGAACAAUGCCUCUUAUACACUCAAGGGUAAAUGCAGCUAUUUAUGCCGGUUUGGUGGAUAAGGUCAAGCAAGGUUAGCCAAUUGGAAAAGUAAAACUCUUCACAUGGCAGGUAGACUUACUGUAAUCCAGUUAGUGACAUCUUCCAUCCCUAUAUAUGCCAUGCAAACUGCAAAGCAUCCUGUGCAUACUUGUGAUAGUCUAGAUAGACUCAACAAGAAUUUUUUAUGGGGUGAUACUGAUCAAAAGCGAAAGAUUCAUCUUACAAAUUGGGAUAUGGUGUGUGGACCUAAGUGUUUUGGUGGUUUGGGAAUCAAGAAAUCUGUUGAUAUGAAUAUGGCAAUGCUUGCUAGUUCAGAAUGAUGUGUCAGAAGAAAUACCUGCACGCUAGUUCUAUUUUUCAAGAAAAUUAUAAGAAGCCUUCAAACUGCUCCCACACUUGGUCCGGUAUUGUGUUUGCUGCUAAACUUGUUAAUAGAGGACUUCAAUGGAGAAAUGGGAAUGGUCGUGCUGCUAAAUUCUGGGUUGACAAAUGGUCACAAUGUGGUAUUUUAGCUGAUUUAGCAUUGGAUUGUGCCAGUAUUGAUUUGAAUGCUAUUGUGAAGGAUUUCUGGGUUGACAAAAUGUGGAAUAGUUCCUUACUCCUAAAUUCUUUACCUUUUGAAGUUGUAGACAUCAUUACUGCUAUUCCAAUUUUUACUUGUGAUUUGCAGGACAAUAUCAUUUGGGGAGGAACCCCUUCUGGAAAUUUUACAAUUAAGUUUGCUUAUAAGCUUCUCUAUGAUGGUCAUGGCUUUGAAAUUAUCCCUGGCUGAAGAACUGGUCUAUGAAUAUCCCUCCCAAGCAUAAGAUUUUUCUUUGGACUUUUGUCUCUAGUAAGAUUCUAACUAAUGUGUAGAGAUUCAAUAGAUGACUUUCUGGGAGUUCUUCUUGUCAUCAUUAUCAAGAUACUCCUGAGACUAUGAUCCACCUGUUUCGUGACUGUCCUAUGGCUAUGUUCCUACCAACAUGUGGAAUGCCUAUACUCUGAAUUGGGAUGGUUGGCUUUUUGCUAAUCUAAUGCAAGAUGGCUGCCAUAUUAAUAAUCUGAAUUAGAAUAUCUUCUUUAUUUUCUGCUGCUGGUUUCUAUGGAAGUGGAGAUGCAAGAAUAUUUUUGAGGAAAGAUUCCAUUACCCUUACAAUGCUGCUGAUAUUAUUCUUAACUAUGCUUCUGCUAAGUCCAAAGUGCAAAUGAUAGGGCAUGUGGAGGCUUUAUCAUGGUUUAAACCUGCUGUUGGAUUUCACAAAUUAAAUGUGGAUGGUUCAAGGACCAAGUCUGGUGAGAUAGGUGCUGGAGGAGUUAUAAAGGAUAGCCGUGGCUGUUGGAGUGGUGGUUUCAUGAUUAAUAUUGGUACUGGAGAAGUUUUACAAGCUGAGGCCUGGGGUCUUUUUAAGGGCAUUCAAAUGGAUUUGAACAUAAAGAUUUCUAAGUCAGAGGUAGAAUCAGAUUCUGCCGUUCUUGUUAACCUUUUGCAGAAUUCUAAUAUGGAGCUUCACCCCUCGGGUAUAAUUGUGGCAAACUGCAGAUCAAUGUUGUAGCACUUUGAAUCAGUCCAGGUUAAGCAUAUUCAUCAAGAAAGAAAUAUGGGUUUAGGGUAAAAUCAAGCAGUCUUACCAUAAGAGAGAUACAUUUGCUUGACAAAAUAAAUACGGGGAAAUCAAGAUUUGGGAAAUAGGUAAGCAAAGGAAAUGAGGAGAAGUAAGUAAUAACGUACAAUCUCUUCUAACUGGAAAGUGGGAAGUAAAAUGAAAAUGUCAUGACCCACCCCGGAUUUCACCCUGAAACCUGAAGUAAAUCCUGCGGGGACCACCUCCAAGGAAAAUUUACCUAAAAAUUGGCAAAACCUCCUUUGAAAAUGGACAACCCUUCCUAAAAAAAAACACAUGCAAACACUUCUAACAAUUCCAACUCCAACCUUAUAAACUCCUGGAGCCUUGGUGCUCCCCACAAAUCACAACAUCUCCCAAUUUAUAUUUAAUAAUCUAACAAAAAUCUCAUAAACAACAAUCACAGGUUCAGAGCAACUCUAUUAGAGGAGAUAAGAACUAGAAAUAGAAAUAUGAGCGGAAGCUAUACUAUUGAUUAUGCCUCGUCUCUAUGUAUGUCUGACCUCAACUAUGCUAACCUGCAUACUGGACAUUUAAAACCAAAGGGCCCAGGGGAAAGUAAUUUAAAAAUGUUAGAGUGAGUGGACAAAAAAUGAAUUUAAUGAAAAUAUUUAUGCUUUCCCAAUUUAAAUUUCCAUAGAAAUUAUGCUGCAUACGACAGCUCAAAGCUUUCUACUCACAAACUGGCAAAUACAUGACUAGCUCCGGCCAAUCUCCAAAACUUAAUAAAAUACAACCUCUCAGGCUAAACUAUAUAUAUAUAUGUAUGUAUUUACACUCGUCAUACUCCUUGUAUGAUUUUUUUAUGAAGAAUAAGAAAAAUAGAAAUUCAUACAAGGCUACUACGCUUGCGUCUAACGCUCACGUCACACCAUAAUGGAAUUUUACCUCAUUACGGUGGAAAAACAUGAGUGUAUAUAUACGUGCAUAUUCCCUAUAUAAGUUACUAAAUUUAUAUAGGGCUACGACGAUUGCGUCCAACGCUCACGUCACACCAUAAUGUAAUUUUAUCUCAUUAUGGUGGAAAAGCACAUAUAGCUAGCUAGCAUUUAUUUAUAUACAUACUAUCCUCAUAAUCAUCCAUAUAUGGAUAUAUAUUCACCAAAAUUCUCAAUUUCGGUCAUUCUCCAACAAAAGAAAAUACUCAUCAAUAAAUCAUUUGCAUGCACAUUAUUUAAAAUAAAAGUCCACUCACAAAUUAGGCCUAAGCUUGAUGUCGCUCCGAGGCUUUUUCUGUUCAGGCCUCCUCUCGUCCUGUUCCAAAUAUAAUAUUAAUUUCCCAACCAAAAAUCCAAAACUUACACAAAAUAUGCAUAAUUAAAUGUGAGGCUUAAUCACACUCAUCCUUGCCCAACUUCGCCUUAAGACUCAAAAGGGUCCAAACUUCACCGAACAUACUGGCAGCUUUAAUUUAACUUUUUACCGAUUAUACGACUUUAAUACAACGGCCGGAUUCUACCUUAAAUAACCGCCAAAAUUACUAAGCUUUAAAAAUUCUCAAACAUAUCCAAAACUCCUCCAAAAAUUCUAAAAUUCACAUCAAUAACUCCCAUUAUUAUAACCAAUCAAAAACCAUGAAAAUCCCCUAACCAGCGGCAGCGGCGGCCGGAGGCCGACUCAGCGACCUCCAAAACCUACCAAAUUUUAACAGCAGCUUCCUUUCAACUCCCUCUACAACUUUCUUAACUAGUACAACACCUAAUUCCAAGCCUAACCGUGUCAAUCGAACGAAAACAUCCUAGAAAACCCUAGAGCUUCAACACCAAUAUCUCCUUACCUAGCUCAAGAGAGGGUGAGACCUUUGGAGGGGUUGCAGCACGGGAGGAGGGCUUUCUUCCAAGCCAAGUAGCUCCGGCUAUGGCAGCCGGAGGAGAGAGUUCCGGCGAGAAGACCACCAGGCUUCCAAGGAGGACUUCCUCCGUUUGGCGGCGUUGCAGCGUCGCUCACCAGUCCAAGACGACGGCGGAGCGGACAGCGGACUAUGCUGGACCGGUGCGGCGUCUCCUCUUGGCCGGACGGCGGCGAUGGAGCUCGGGGAGUCUCCGGCAGUGUGAUGAAGAAUGAAGUUAUGUAGGUCUUGUAGUUCACUAAAAUGAAUCUUAUUGUAUUUUACUCAAAAAAAAGAAAUAAAAAAAAGCAAUUGAUCGAAGUUAUGUAGGUCUUGUAGUUCACUAAAAUGAAUCUUGUUGUAUUGCGAAGCACUGGCGGAUCUAGCCCUAGGUAAGAUUUGACAUCCUAAAAAAAUAGCAACGUAUGUUAGAUGAGGUAGCCUACCCAUAUUUUAGUUGUUACAUAGACUACCAGUAGCAUCUUCUAUCUCAAAAUCUCUCAAUUAUCAAUAGCUCUCAUCUCCCACCUCCCCAAUUCCCACUUUCCCAAACCCAACCCUAAUCCCAAAUCCUUUCCCACCACCCAAUUUUGAAGGAUACGAAAAAGAAAACUCUCAUCUCACUGUCUGAUUUCGUCUCCUUUAUAAACACUUGAAUAAUUGACUCACAAUCGAAAAAUUAAAUAUUUUACUCAAAAAAAAUAAAGAAAAAAAAGCAAUUGAUCGAAGUUAUGUAGGUCUAGUAGUUCACUAAGAUGAAUCUUGUUGUAUUGUGAAGCACUGGCGGAUCUAGCCCUAGGUGAGAUUUGACAUCCUAAAAAAAGAGCAACGUAUGUUAGAUGAGGUAGCCUACCCAUAUUUUAGUUGUUACAGAGACUACCAAUAGCAUCUUCUAUCUCAAAAUCUCUCAAUUAUCAAUAGCUCCCGUCUCCCACCUCCCCAGUUCCCACUUUCCUAGACCCAACCCUUAUCCCAAAUCGUUUCCACCACCCAAUUUUGGAGGAUACGAAAAAAGAAAGCUCUCAUCUCACUGUCUGAUUUCGUCUCCUUUAUAAACACUUGAAUAAUUGACUCGCAAUCGAAAAAAUUAAAUAUUUUACUCAAAAAUAAGAAGAAAAAAAAAACAAUUGAUCGAAGUUAUGUGGGUCUAGUAGUUCACUAAGAUGAAUCUCGUUGUAUUGUGAAGCACUGGCGGAUCUAGCCCUAGGUGAGAUUUGACAUCCUAAAAAAAGAGCAACGUAUGUUAGAUGAGGUAACCUACCCAUAUUUUAGUUGUUACAUAGACUACCAGUAGCAUCUUCUAUCUCAAAAUCUCCCAAUUAUCAAUAGUUCUCGUCUCCCACCUCCCCAGUUCCCACUUUCCUAGACCCAACCCUAAUCCCAAAUCGUUUCCCACCACCCAAUUUUGGAGGAUACGAAAAAAGAAAACUCUCAUCUCACUGAAUGAUUUCGUCUCCUUUAUAAACACUUGAAUAAUUGACUCACAAUCGAAAAAAUUAAAUAUUUUACUCAAAAAAAAGAAAAAGAAAAAAAACAAUUGAUCGAAGUUAUGUAGGUCUAGUAGUUAACUAAGAUGAAUCUUUAAAUUAAUUCGUUGAUUAGGAAUUGAAGGCUUUAGGCCUCAUUAGUUAGUUUUUAUUUUUAUUUAUAUGUUUCUUGCAUUUUAUUGUAUCUUAAAUCAAAAUAUUUGAGCGUAAUACUUGCUACAUAUCUAUGUGCGUAUACUUUUUUAUUAACAAAACUUUGUCGCACAGUCGAGAUUUUUGAAAUUUUUGUGUGACUUACAUUUAGCCCCGAGUAACAUUUCUAUCUUGGAUCCGCCACUGUUGUGAAGUCAAAUCGGGUGUUACUAAAUAAAGCUAAGGUCGGCAACGGCUCUUUCUCUCUUUUUGUUCUUUUUUCUUUUAUAAUAAAUAAAUUUCAAAUUGUUAUUAAACAUGCAGCAUCGCAGCUCUAUAUCUUGUGUUGGCAAUGACAUCUUGUGCAAUCCCUACUUCUUGACCAAAAGAAGAAAAAAUUUCAAAAAAAAUAAAAAUUAAAGUACAAUCACUCUGAUGCUCUAAGCCUCUAACUACGGUUUAAGUUUAUCUUAAAACGUAUUUCGGGAAUUAAAAAUCUGUGUUCUUCACAGAAUUGCAGCAUUACAUACAUUGGGAAUCGGAACAUAUUGUUCCAAACACCAGUUGAUGAUCCAGUUUUCGCUUAGUUAUAACUAAUCACAAAAUUUAACGGUUGGUUUUAAUCAUUUCAAUAUAAAAGGAAAACUGAUAAUAGAUCCAAAGGUUGGCGAUUACAAAUGACAACCCGAACACCAUAGAGACUCGUAUAUUGAAUUCAUAAAUAAAAUAAAAUUUAUUGUUGAAUAGUAAAAACAAAACAUCCAGUUCAACAAAGAUUAAUUAGGGAAGCCUAACAAAGUAACAAUCCACAUUAUCCUGAACAUGGAAAUAGACAUACAUAACGCAACAAGUCUGGACAAGCCCGCACCAACAACACAGCAAAUGAAGAAAAGUCUUGUCUUUCUUUCAUCUGUACCUCAGGCCAUACAUGAGCAUGUCAAGUGCUAUGACAGGAAAUAAACAAAAUUUUCCUAUUCUACCCAAUUUACCGACUAUAUUAACACAACCUUGUAUACACUGCAUGAAUCAAAUAGACCUUAUGCUCUGCAGAUUCUCUGAUCCGACUCUUAUGUGAUAUAAUGUUACAAGCAAUCAGAUUUGAUUGAAUGAAUAGCAAGCUUUUUUGCUUCCUUUGGUACAAGAAUAAUACUGCUAUUUGUUAUGGAAAGCAAGUUAGUGCCUCGGCCUCCCCAUGUAACAAAUUGCUGCAUUAAAUAAGCAGGUUUAUGACCCUGACUGCUAAGAUGGCUGAAUUUGCCGAAACCUCUGCUGCAGCUUAAUGACUUCUUCUCGCUGUUCCGGUGGCAACAAGCUUAAUUUUUCAGGUGGCAGGCUCAAAACUUGUUGCAGUAAAGCAGAGUCCACCUCAGGUGGAAUCUGAGGCUGAGAUACAGAGAAGGCAGUGUUAGAGUAUAACCAUAAAAAAUAUAUUGCAAUCUUCUGGUCCAAUGUGAGAGAGUUUAACUAGUGUCUACAGGGACAAAGACCUUUCCAAGCAAAAAUGUUCAAAAAGAAAAAAUAAAGCAACGAACACACGUGUACUCGUUUGCAAGAAUGAACAUGCACCUGCUUGCAUAUGGUCAGAUGCAGCAAAGUGCAACGUCAUAAAAAGUGCAAAAUGGUAAGUUAUCAGUACCAUCACAACCCAACAACUAGCACUCCUAAGUACCUGAUAAUUAUAGGCUAUUGCAUUACAGUGUAUACAUUUGUUACUGGGUAAGGACAAGCAACAUGCCAAUCCCCUAUUCCCUAAACUCAUUUAUACAUCCACCUACUUUAAAUCUUACUUGCCUUUUGCCUUUUGAAUAAUUUCCAAGCUAACAUAAACCCAUCACAUCAUAAAACUGAGCCUAUACGCAGUCCAUUCUGCUCCGGUCGACAAGAGUUCAAAUAAUGCCUUCACUGGGUUUAUUUAUCACUAUAUCACUUCUAAGAAAAACACAGUACAAAAAGUAUCUCUUGGGUACAGAAAAUGUGGCAAAAUUUGAAAACUCAAACAGGUUGUGCCUAUAUUUACUACCCCGUGUCCUCCACCUCGCCCAACAUCAUGAAUUUAGCUAUUAAAAAUUGAGGAAUUCUAUGUCUUACACAUAUUUUGAUCAAUCCAAGGCCACCCCGCCCUAUACCCAAUUGGUUUCAAAGAUACUUUGCCCAGAAGAACACAGUUCAUUCACAUGUUAGGCACAAUUUAACUGCACAUGUUUCAUGUCACUCAAUAAAAUUAACCCAUGUGUAUGGCAUUAUGAAGCCCCAAAUUGAUGGCACGUGUUACAGCUUCAAAUCUCCCAUCUGCUAUAGUAAACUUCACAUCUCAACCCACUGAUAAUUAACUAUUGGGUUGGAUAUUUCAACUUUCAGAAUUGUGCUACCAUUAAUACAACUAUAAACAACACCUAAAAAUCCCUGCAUCAGUGGACAGCAAAACAACUUUCUUUGACAAUAAUAUCCAGUUCAAAGAAUAACCUAUCCAAGGGAUGAAAAUAAACUGGGAUUCAAACAUAUGAAUUUCAAAUAUUGCUGCCAACAAGGGCAGGGGAAUUACCUCAGAAAUUUGUUUCUCAGAGUAUACAUCUGAUGAUUUGUGAACACUCUUUCCAGGCAACAAUCCCACUCCAAGAACAUUAGCAUUUGAAACAUUGAGACCCCCUGCCGACAAAAGGGUGUUCCUUCCAUCGUCCAACUUCAUUAGUUUUGAAGGGCGAGUGACUGAUUCUGAAGAAUCAGCAACCACUCGAGAAGACUUAUCAGCAUCCUUGUUCAUGGACUGUAUGACACCCUUAGAUAUUGAGGGACCAGGCUGUAGAAAACAUUUCAAGUUAGAUAAAACAUUCAUAUUAAAAAUACAAGUAGCAAGAUAACUAAAAACAUCUAAAGUCUGCGGAGUCGAGGGUAGUUUCUUUCAUACCCUAAUGUUGUACAGUUCAUUAAAAGGAACAAGUUAACACCUAAUCAAUAUAAAGUAAGGGACUUUACAAGCUGUAAGUAAGCAUAUACAAGACAACUAGCAAUGUAAAUUAUGUAAAUUCUCAUUCCUCUGUUUUAACCAAAGUAAACCGUGCAAGAUGAGUAAGAGGCACUUUGCUCUAGAGUCGAGAAAACUUAAAUUUAAAAUAUAUAAAAAAAAACAAACAAGCAAACAGAGGAUAUACGUUUGCCCUUCUAGGAUAUAAAACAACCUCCUUGAGAGAUAUUAAUAUUUGCUUAUGCUUAUUCAAAAAUAAAUAAAUAUUUGCCUAUACAUGGGAAAAACACAAGGAAAAUUAGGCACCUGAAAGAUGGCAUCGGAAAAAGGACGAGAUAAAGUAGACUCUUGUACAGUAGCAUUUUGAUGAAUUAUACGAGUGUUAUGUCCCAAAUGUGAAACCCCGACCUGACCAGGGUGUUGUGACAAAGGAGGUUGCAUUUUCUGGUUUAAUACGGAAGAACUGGCAACCUGAGUUUGUGGUCGGAUGGACAAACCGCUUGAGGACUGUGGGUGCAUGGGAGGAAGUGUUGGAAUUCCAGCUUGCCCUAGCAGUGUGGCGUGUUGCAAAACAUUGUGGUUUGCAUGUUGUGGAAGCUGCAUUCGAGGCUGCACGUUUUGUUGUCGGGGUGCAGGAAACUGGCUAUGAACCAAUAAAUUUUGAGGCCCAGAAGAAAAGGGGCUGUCCUGCAUUUUGGGCAUCAGCCCAGACUGCAACCUGUUCUCAGCAGGAGGGGCUAGAUCAGCAAUAUUUUGAACAGCAUGUGACGGAACCUGUUGGCCCUGAUUGAAUAGAGACUGUGAGGGCUGGCCUGAAGCUUGCCUGAUAUUUACCAUCUGCAACUGAAAAAGGGAAGCCAAUAGGUUAAACAAAUGUAAGCACUGAACAACAAUGAUAAUACAAUAAGUAGAGAAACAAACCAUUUGUGGGGUCACCAUUCCAAGCAUUAUUUGUGCCUGAAAGAGAAGUUGAGAUUAUUAUUUCAAAGAUAAAUAGUUAAAAUAUAUAUGCAGAACAAAGGCACAACUGAUACAGAUUAUGGAUCUUAACCCUAGAUGUGCCAGAUAAGUAGGACUCUAUAACAUUAAGAGGUACAAUAUCAUGGUAACAAGCAACCUCUACUUCUAAAUGAAUCUCAAUACUGGAGAUGUAGCUUCUUUGAUAUGGAAUUCCAUACAGAAGGAUUUUGAUGAUUUAGGAUUGAAAUGUAAAAAGCAUUGACAUCAUAAAUAACAUUUUUUUUUUUAACACAACUUCGAUAUUUUUAUGUCCCUCCCCUGUCAUCCCUCUAGGCAACAAUACUAAGGGACUAGUCAUCCCAGCUACGUCCAAGGCCACAACAAGACUUCUAACUAUAAUUUUGGUAGUCUAAGGGGCACUCAUCUGAAUGAGAUACAAUAAAUCAGUUCGAUUUUUUUUUUUUUUUUACUAAAAAGGGGCUCAAACAACCACAUUACUUCUAAAGCAGUAAAAUAAUAGAAAAAGAUCUUCGUACUUGCUCUUUCAAUGUGUCUUACUUGGUAAACACAAUCCUACUUUGACAAUAACUUUGCACGUUCUACAACUUCGUAUGCACACAACUUCAUCUUGUUCAAGAAUAAAGAAGGCAAAAAGGGUAUGUACGGAUAGGCAGACAAAAGAUAGGAACAUAACUGUGUUCCAAGCGCAUUCAAAGGACCUAGUACAAAAUGGAAUAUAGGAAUACUAAUCUCUAAAUCCUCUCCUAGAGAAGGUUUCAGUGUGGGACAUGCGAAAAUUCCUUCUCAAAUAAAAUUACUAAUUAAGAGAAGAGUAUGCAUGAAAACAACCACAAUCUGAUGGACAAGUGGGCAGUAUCAGAAAACAAAUAUAAAUAGAUACUACCUGAAACAGAGCUUUUGGCAACUGAGGCCUUGCAAGAAAUAGCUUCUGAGCUAGUUCCUUGUUUUGUACAGCCAUUCCCUAAUAUUGAGAAGGAAAAAAAUGAAAUUCAUAAAAAAAAAAUAUCAAAAUGAAAAGUUUUACAGAAUAAAGAGAUAAGGUUCACGUAUUUUCUCACCUUGACCUCCGAGAUAAUUUGAGUCAAUUGACUCCUAGACAUUUUGGCUAGAUGAAGUGUCAAAGGAUCAUUGGCUAAUGCAGAUUGAUUAUGCAAACCAUUUUGAUUUGACUGCAAAACAGCCUGAGGACCACCUAGAGCUCCUGCCAUAACGGCUGCUGCAGUUAUUGCUAUAUGGAGACCAAUUGGCUGAUUAUGAAGAGGAUCACCAUGAACCGCUGGGCCUCCAACUUGCUUUUGAGGGUCUAUGAUAUAUCCAUAAGGAAAGAUAUAAUUCAGGUUCUCUUCAGAGUCAAAUAAUAGUCAUAAACAGAUGGAAAAAAAAAAAGUGAGAAAGUAAACUAACCAACAUUUGUGGUCACUCCAGGUCCACCGCGACCCUGCAAGAGUAGAAAUAACUCAAUUAAGUACUUCAACCUCACAACAAAACUCUAUACAAAGCUAUCAGACAUGCAGUUCUGGUUUAAAUGCAACAAUUCAAGAUUACUUCAACCAAGAAGAUCUUACAAAAUUGGAGUUAUCUAGGUACAGGUCAUUCAUGCCAUUCAAUUGAGGAACAAGAAACUGCAAGAGGAAAUUUCUAUCGGAUGGAGGAAGUAGGUAGCUAGGACAACAAAAGAUGCAACAUUUUAGAAGGUACUGAGGAUAACAACAAUUUUCUAACAAUUUAGCAAAUAAGUAUGACCAACAAAUGCAAACAGAAAAUAUAUCAGUGUGGUCCAGCACUCAUAUGCUUUUAGUUUAAAGUCAGUGUCCAAGCAAAAAGAAACACUAGACAACUUAUUGUAAUUUCAUACCAACCAAGAAGCACAAUAUUCUUGGGUUUGGUCCAGACACUUGCAAUUAAGGACACUGUACACUAACAGUUAAGUGCAAUAAAAAUUCACAGAAGCAAGGAGAACAGAAAGAAGAGAGCUAAAAGUAUCUAAUCACCUGUUCCCGAUUUUUGUCAGUGCCUUUGUCAUUUUCAGCAAAAUCAACUCGCAAUUGCCGACCAUUGAUCUCGUAACCCUGAAGAUUACGUCUAGCACUUAAAGCUGUCUCUUCAUCCUUGUACUCACAAAAUCCAUAACCUUUUGGUUUCCCAGUCUCUCUAUCAAUAACCAACCUGAAACAAAUCAAAGGCACUUAUUAAACCUGAGUCUAGGUAGCGCCUUUUCCCAACAAAAGACUGUUUCCACUCUUGUUGAUUCCCUAACUGACAUAGUCUCACCAAGUAUCACUCCGAAUGAAACUUGCUAACAAGGAUCGCAAAACAUACAAGUGUAUCUUAGCUUCCAGGUUUACUUUCAAACUUGUUAACUAUCAGAUUUAAGUAUCACAGUGAUGUACUAAAUGCAUCUCGACCCGUGGAACCUAAGGAAUACCAUCAAAUUAGGCAUGUUUUUGUAAGAGAUCAUCUUUCAAACAGAAAAUUCUUACAAUAAUAAGUGUUGGGUAAGCGAAUUAUAAAUCUAAGACAAUAUUACAAAAUUGAAAUUUUAGGGUUCACAAGAUAGAAAAGGGCAAGAGACAGACCUAAAAGAGACAACAGGCCCAACCUCCUGGCAGAUUUCUAUAAGCUGUUCCUCAGUGGCAUCAUACGGUAUAUUCCCAACUGCAUCCAACAAAUUCAAUCAGUAAAUUUCGAAUCGAGUUGAGAAGAAGCAUGAUUAGACAAGAAAAGAGAAGAAAUAAAGGGAGUACCGAAAACGCAGCGGUGCUGAGAAGAGGAGGCCAUGAAUCAAGAGGAAGAGAAGAAGAAGGUGAAGCACUGCUUCAUCUUCUUCCUCCUUACCAUAUCCUAAGAUAGAGAGAGAAUCUGUGUUGUUGCGGUUGAUGCUAAUACUAGGGGAAAUAUGAUUAUUGUGAGUUUGAGGAGUGCGAAACUCAAGUGGAAGGGAGGGAGAGCCUAUCAGGCAGUCGCGGAACUAAAGCUCAGGACACUCUCGAUCUCGUGUACUAAGGUAAACUGCAACCCUUUCCAAUGUCCUUUUCCUUUUCUUUGCAAGUUUUUGUCUUUAUGGUCUGUGCUUCGUUGUUUUUUUUUUUUUUUUUUUACUUUUACUUUUUGUAAGAGGUAAAUACAUUCUGCGGUACAAAGUAGUUAUCCAAUUGAUAGGUGGCAAGUUCUUUGUUUCGUCAAAUGGUCGUGACCGCUUAAUAGUAUGGUGUCUUCAGAUUCAUCUUCGAGCAGUAACAUAGUUGAAAAGCUGAAUUGUUGAACGUUAGGAUAUGUAAGCUUGUUAAAUAUCUAAUAAACUUUUCAAUAUUUAGAGCACAAUUACUGUUGUGUGAAAGCAAAUAGAGUCGUCGUUAGGGCAUAAUUACUCAAAUUUUUGCAAAGUAGAGCAAAACUGAAAACCUAGGGUUUCGAGUUAUAGGACGGUUGCAACAUUCAGAAUACUGCGUGCUUGGGUCAAUCUCUUUUGUGGGAGGCGUGCGAAUGUGAUAAUUAAAUCAUCAUUGUAAGAACCUCCGCGGUUAGUUGUGCAGUUGUGUCAAUCGGGUUUUUUUUUACUAAUCUGAAGUUGGCGUCGUUAUCUCGUUGUGCGACACGGCGACAAUCUGCCAUAGAAGCGUAGGUGGCCUACGAGUUGGGUCAAAACAUUUGAAUCAGAUUGGGUGAGUUUCUAGUUUGUAGAUCUUGGUUGAAGCUUGAUGCCUGUGCUGACUGCCAUGGGCACAUGGUAUGGAAUACCGUCAGACGGAUUCGAAAACAUAUAUGGGCUAAAGUGGUGUUGGAUUCCUUAACAAACAUACAUGGGCUGGUCUCAGACCUAGUUGGAGGCAAACUUGUCUUGUUCAUUGCGAUACGGGUCUCUAGGCGACUAGAUGGGUAACAGAGGUCUAAUGGAAGUCUUGCUAGGGUUAGGCAUCUUUCAUUUUUUAGUUGUGAGAUCCGCUUUUUUUGACCCUGUUAUUGGUAAGGUUUUUCCAAAAUAUUCUUAAGAUUAAAUUCAUUUUACACCUUGAGGUUUAGAGUUAACUUCAUUUCAGCCUUUAUUCUCUCAUUUUGAAACCCUCUAAAUUUUCUAAUUUUAAUCAGCCGUGCCCAUUUGCAACUUUUAGGAAGGUUUUCUACUUUUCAUUUGCUAAUUUUUUUUUCUUUGUUGAUUUUGGAUUUUUUUUUUUUUGAAAGGGAGGUCUUUUUUGAACUGUCGAGGGGGCCGAAUGGGGAGCUUAGCUCGGUCAUUGAACUUUGUUUAAGAGCAACUCUAACAGCUUCUCCAAAUCUUGAAUUUGUUUUGCUCCAACAAAUUCCGUAUAAUUUUCUUUAAAAUGGGGAACUUAAGGAAAAAUAAACAAAAUUCCCUAUAUUUGCAGCAAACGCUAUAAUUUUAGAGAAGAAUUUUGGAAAUGAUCAUGAAAUGUUUAAAAUGCAAAAAAUAUAAAAAAUUGAGAUGAUCAUAAAAUAUCCGUGAGCCGUGAUCUGAUUCGUUAAGUAGCUUAACUGACGUACUUAACUGACGACAGUGACGUCAUGAGUUCAAAUCUCACUCAUUGUUAUGUAAGAGUGUGCGAGUUGCUUAAACUUACUUUUGCUUCCCUAUAAACUUAUAAUAGAGAACUCCUAUAAAUUAUAGAAAAACUAUUGUAGAUGCUCUAAGAAGCUUGAAGAUUCUCCAAAAUUUGGAUUCAAUAGAGCUGCAUUAAGAUAGCACAAGGCAAGUGUGGUGUGCUCUCAUGUACAUAAUAGUGAUAAUACUACUGAUAUUUUGUUUUUGUCGAGUAAUACUACUGAUUUGUACAACCAUCAACAGUGGGCAGUACUCCAAAAUUUAUUGCAAAGAAUUAGAAUUAUGAAUUUGGUGCAAUAUCAACAGCAAAUCCCAUGAUCCCAUCCCUGAUAUUAGUAUUAAAAAAUGUAUGUAUGCGGGAAACGCUUUCUUCAGCUUCUUGUUUGGAGUACUGAAGGUUCUUAUUUUGUCAACAGUUUCGAUGUAUAUUUAGAUGACUGAUAUUAGUAUAUCAGUUCAUGUGACUGGAUAAUUGCACAGUUUCUAGCUUUCCUUUUACUAAAAACUAAAGCUACUGCUGGCAAUCAUAGUACAUGCAUACAAGUGUGUGGUAGAAUUUGCAAAUGAAAGUAGAGUUUGUGUCAACAGAAUACUGCCACAAGAUUAGAAACAAAACUACCAGCAGACUUCGGUGGCAAAAUGGUUUAGCGCCUACAAUGACUUAAUUUAAGUAAUCGUGCUUCAAACUUCUAAAUCUAUACAUGAGAUCCAUGAGCGCAGGUGCAUAUUAUGGUCAGGAAAAUGUGUAGGUGUAAGAGUUGCAGGCUACUUUAGUGCCCGCAAAACAACACAGCUUGUCGAGAUUUUUCUAUAUACAAAAGAGAAUUAGAAUAGAAAAAUUCACCCUUUACAAUCAAAUAUCAUAUAGGUCAUUAGCAUCCUAUAGUUUCAUUCAUAACAUAAUCAACUUUUCCAAGGAGGUGUGUAGCAACAAAACUUCCCCUCUCUCUUCCACUUACCGACUCAUGAGGAGAUGCAUCUCCCCCAUUGCCCGAGAGAUGCCAUCAACACCCAAAAAAUAGCACAUAGUGCCACAAGAACUGGAAGGAAGAAGAAUCCCCUCUUCCAGGAUUCCCUCAUAGUUUCAGAAUCCUUACCGGCAGGGACAUUUGUGCUCCUCGCAAUUAUUCUCAUCCUGCUAAAGCUAGACAUCCGUUCAAAGGCCCGACUCACCAAGGCAUUCUCCGAUGCAGAUGCAGGAGUAGUAGGUAUAGAUUCCACAAAAGACCAUAGGGCAGAAGAAAACUGACUAGUAACACCGGCAGCUUCAUUGCCAUUUUGAUUUGGAUUUUCUUGUGGACAAUGAUUUGACGAGUCGUGUACCACACCUAUACAAUACCAGAUAAGAGCUACCUAUAUUAGUUGCUACUUACAAGAUUCAAUUUCAGUGUCAUAUUCCAAUAUCUUACAAAUGUAUUGAAGUUAGUCUUGACAAAGCCUGAAAGCAAGCGAUGAUAAAUUAGAGGAAGACCUCUUAAAGUUGAACAUAUGCAUGGACAUAUCAUCUUCACUGUUAUAUAUACCUGAGGUGAAAGGAGGUCCAGACCCCUUUGUUGUUUCUGUUGAAGUAUAAAAAUCACGCCUUUCAUUCUGCACCCAUAGCUGAUUGUUAAUCUGAGUUGACUCUUGAUUCAGCUGAUGGUUGAUCUGUAGAGGUGCUGGUUGUAUCUGGUAAUCAAAUUGGUUCACAACAUUACUCCCCAUUGAAUUCAUGAAUUGAUGAGAAACAUUGCCUUGAUCCAUGGGACACAUCUCAUUAAAAAACAUGGCUGGAUCCUGAAACAAGUCAAAUCCAUCCAGCUCAUUAAACUGCAAGUUACCCCCAGAAUUCCCAGUGUUUGAAACAGUAGGUUCAGGACCGAGAAGAUCAUCCAUCUCCAGGAAAUCCUCUUCACGUAGUAUGGGAGUGAAAGACUCCAGUUUAUGAACGUCAGAAGCAGAUGCUUCAGAUGCCUCGUACAGUUGGGUCUGUGAAGUAGCUGACUGGGUGAAGUCAAAGCUUGCAUAUUCAUUUCCCUGCUGACCACUUGGAUCAAAUGUUGUAUGUGAUUGUGGACACUUCACUUCACUAGAGUACAGAUCCACCACAGUACUUUGUGUUUCUUCUUCACUAACAACCUACAGAAAGAAUUACAAGGAUCAAUUAUAUGUAAUCUAUGCCAGAGACAAUGUACAUGAAAGGCUACAAACAUGCAAAAAAGUACUGAAAUAAAGUGAUGACCAUUAAGAAAUCCGAAACAGUUGGCCUGCUUAACAUAGCAAGUUUUAUUCAGCCAUCUUCCCCAAGAAUGGAAAAGACCACCAUGUUUGCAACCUUAGGUAAGGCAUACCUAAUACACUGGAGGUCUGUUUAUGCAGAAAAUUUCAAGCAGCUUCAAGAAAGCAAGAGACUUUAGCAAAGUAAGGAGUUACCAACCUGAGAUAGGGAGUGAACAAGAUCAUCAAUCUGUGGCAGGUCAAGCACAGCGUCAUCAGCAAUCUGUUUCAUGAACUCUUCCAAGUCAUCUAUUGUAGAAUGGGCUUCACUGUUAUUGUUUGCAUAACCAUUAGCAGUAAUCUGUUCGACUUGCUUCAAUGGAACUUCUCCAAAAGGUUUUGCAUUAUAAUUAGCAACAACCUCUCCAAUUUGCUCAACUGAGAUUCCCCUAUCAGCUGAGCUAUUUAUUAUUGGGCAUUCAUCAUCAGCCCAAUCUUCUUCUCUAAAUGGCGCCCCAUAUUGCUCACCAUUUUUAGGACCAGGUCCACUUUUCUUGAAAACCUUGUAAAGAGCAUAAUAUUCCUGAAGGAAAGGAGGAAUAAAAAGAUUAAACUUCAGCAAAUAAAAAAUGGUAUAAAAGAACAUGAAGAAGAAUAAAAUAAGCUGCUGAAGUUGAUACCUGUACAUUCUGGCAUCUCUUCAACUCCUCCUCAUCCAAGGUAUACUCGUGCAUCACCCAGUCAGUGCGCUCCCCAGUAGGUGCACGGCCUUUAUAGAAAACUAAGGUCUUCUUCAGUCCAACUGAUCGGUUAUAACAGGUGAUGUUGCGAUCUUUUCCAGUUGCUUUCCAAUACCCAUGUCUGGUUGCCCUGUUUGAUCUACCCCCACCAUUAGGGUACUUGCGAUCUCUCGGACUGAAAAAGAACCAUUGCCUAUCUCCAGUUUUCAAUAUAGACAAGCCUGCAUAUCACCAUCACUUUCACUAUUAGGAAUCUAAAUUCAAUGUAUAACUCAUAACAGUAUAUACAACAGAGUCAUCCAUUAGGUCAAUGCAUCCAAAUGAGAAAAAUUUAAAUCAUUCAAACACGUUCCAUCCCAACCGAAAUCCAAAUAUCAAAAAGAUAAUGUUUGAUAUCAAACAGCAAACAAGAAAUAGCAAAAACCAAGAUAGCAAGCUUUACUCAAGCAAGACCAGAAUUUUAAACUAUCAAUGCAUCCUAUUCACUGCUAGUUAAAGUUAAACAUAUGAUACAUGUGUAUGUAUGUGGCCGAAGGUGUAUAUGACAUAAGAGGGCAUCACAUCCUAAAUCUUUCAAAGAACCCAUGAGGAGAUCAGAGCAUAAACUAAAAACAGCGAAUUCAAUUUAUAUCAGAUCUUUAUAUCGAAGCGAAACACAGGUUACACAACCAAACAAGUCCUAUAAAAAAAUCAAACAACUUGAUUCUGGGUUCAAGAAUUAAAACCCAUAAAGCACACAUUGUGAUCAGUGCAUGAAUGAAAAAACCAAGUAGAGGGGCAUACCAGGAAGCUCCUCGGGGUCCCAUUUGUAGACGUCAGUCUCGGCGAUGACGUUGAGCUUGAGCUUCUUCUUACAGAUCUUCCGUUUGAGAUAGUAGAGGACGAGCUCCUCGUCGGUGGGGUGGAACCGAAACCCGGGCUGCCAGAAGUGGCCGUCGCAGAAAGCGGAGACCAAGCCGUCCUCAGAGACCAUCACCGAUUCGGCGAGAUCAAAUUCAAAACCCUAAAAUUUCAAGGAAAUCGAAACUUUCUGGGUUUUUGAAAUUGGAUUAAAUUAAGAGAAAGAGAGAAGGAGGGUUGGGACUUGAUUAGAAGAAGAAGAACAGAGAGAAAAAUCUACAAGAGAGAGGAGAGGAGAAGAGGGAUUUGAGAAGCGAAGUCAAAGAAGGGGGAUGACGAAGGAGUGGAGUGGGCUGGGCUGAAGCUUCCUGGCAACUUUCGUCUCGACUUUAUUUAUACACACAAGGGUGAUGCGUGGGGGUUAGGUAACUUGAGAGGGUUUUAGCUGUGUGUUCCCGUACUAUGGUGUCACCUUUUCUGAUUGGCCGUUUCACUUUGACACGGAGACUACACCAAAAUUUUAUACAUAUAUUCUGUUCCAAAAGGGGUAAAAAGUAAAAACACAAACAAAAUAAAUCGGGUGUUGGUAGAUGUACCCAGCAGACUACUUAGUAGACCCAGCAAUUAAAAAUUAUCCUGUAUUUUCCAGUUUUGCCCUUGUUAUAAUAAACCCAGCAAACACAAAUUCUUCUCUUAAAGUCGGAUCAGAGGCAUUAAAUUAAGAAGAAGAGAUGUGGCAACGACUGCGCAAACACAACAUCCUAUCUAGGAGGCUAAAGUGGGAUCUGGGUCAUACCAUCUUAUCGUUGCUUUGCUUUGAGCCUUUGAGUUGAAUUGAAAUUUUGUGAUUAAUUGCGUAGUCAUCUAUUCAUCUGCAGUGUCAAUCUUUGAUUAAGAGACUUUAGCCGAUUUUGUUCUUCUUCUCCAUUACCUGUAAAUAUAUUCUACAAUUAUAUGUUUUAAGANNNNNNNNNNNNNNNNNNNNGAGAUAUAUGUAAUGGGAUUAUCAUUGAAUUGGAAUUUUUUUUUUUUUGAAGGCAAUCGGUUCCGAUAUCCCGUACAUCAAAUCUUCUCAAGAUUCUAUACUUAGAUCAUGGGAAAGCUCCUCCUGAUUUCCUCCCCCAUAUUAGUUCUCUUUCUGGUCUCAACGUGGUGUUAGAGAUGAUGUUUGCUGGGUUUAUUAUAACAAGGGCAAAACUGGAAAAUACAGGAUAAUUUUUAAUUAUUGGGUAUAUUAAGAAGUUUGCUGGGUACAUCUAGCAACACCCAAUAAAUUAGCUGUACUAUUGAAAAAUCUAACUCUAGAGUCUAGACAUUCCAACAAUAUCAUCUAAAAGCAAUUUUAGCAGACUCUUUAUUUUAGCUUUAGCUAUUUUAGAGAGCGCGUUUAGUUUUUUUUUUAAUAUUUUCAUAGCUCCAGCAGACUAACCAAAGUUUAGCUAUUAUGACUUUUAAAUAUCUCGCUAGCUAAAUAUAGAGAGCGAGAUGACUCAAAUAAGGCUAACUAUAAUUUAAUACAUUCAUUUUAAGAUAUUUUAAGUGAUAUAUAAAUAUAUUCAAACUAUUUAAUCUUUAUUUGAAGAAUAAUGUUGAUGUAACGUUAGUUAAAAUAGAGAGCAUUGAUGUAGCCGCAUUUCUAAAGUGGCUAGAUAAAAUGACAUUUUAGCUAAUUCGAUUAAAAUUUAACUCAAAAAAGACUAUUAUUGCUAAAAAUGUUCUAAGAGCAAGUUCACUCGUUGGGUUAGAUUUUUUAAGUGACCUAGGUCAUACCCGUUUCAAAUGUGAGAUUCUUGUCACGUGGCAGUGACUGUUUAUUGAAUUGUUUUUUAUCAGGUAUUACAACUUCAUAUGCCACUAGACCAAAGCAUUGUUUAUUGAAUUUAAAAGAAUGUUUUAAAGUGUGAAUAAUGGUUUUUAGAAUAAUAAAAAUUAGGGGCGUCUAUUGCCACCCCACAAAUCACUUUGUUCUUACUCAUAUAAUUUUAAUUGUAAGUCUACUUUGUUCACCUAUUAACAAUACCUAAAAAACCAUUUUCUCGAUUCUACUUUAUUCACCCUACAUUCUCUUCAUAUAUUUUGUCAAAUUCAGAUUUGCUCAAGGUAAUAAGUAAAAUCACCAAAAUUCAUAUGAAAGUAUAAAUCCAAGUUAAAGAACAAGAAAAAACUCUCAAAUGUAACAACUCAAUAGUAUCAGUCGAUAUCAAGAUACAUAAUGUCUGUAAAUGUAUCUCUACUUCUCUAGUACGUAGCAACGCUUUCCGUACUUCUAAGUUUCUUGAACUGAUCUAUUCGUUGUUCAUAAAUACGGUACAAUAGUUGUCCAUGAGAAUUUACAUACAAAGUCACCAUGGGAAAUAAUGAGUAAAAGGAUAGACAAAUAAUCAUCAAAGAAAAAAAAAAUACAAACAAUUUACCUCAUCUUCAAAUUAAAUGUUAGUGUCUUUAAACUUACGACCGAAUAUGAUAAAUUUAGGUUAGAGUUAUGAAAUUUGUGUUCAUCCAAAAUAAAAAGAUAAAAAAGAAAAAGAAAAAAAAGUAAUUUAUAACAACUUGUUGUCCCUUGCUGUAAUUUUACAUCAGGGUAUUUUGGUAUUUCAAUAAAUCAACAACAUGUGGGGUGAGCAAAGUGGUUUGUGGGGUGGCAAUAGACGCACCCUAAAAAUUAACUAUUAAUGUAAGCAAAUAGUAAAUAUUAGUCACAAUAUAAAAAAUAAGUGAAUUUAAGAUUAUGUAAAUAUUAACACAUUAUGAUAAAUAUUAAUGUAAAGAAGAUUUUAUAUCUGAUAAAAAAAAAAUAUAUUAUUUAGAAUAUAAAAUAAUUGAUGUAAUUAAAUGUUUAUGUUGAUUAAAAUAUACGACAAAAUGUAAAAAUUGAGUCAUUUUAAUGAGGACUCUUAAGUUGAUGACUAGUUGAAGAUUUUUCGAUCUUAUAUCCACAUCUUGACCGUUCAAUUUAUAGGUAUUUAUGAAUAGAUCAUUUAUGCAAAUUUUCAGCCAUAUUGAAAAUUGUUAAGACAUUCAAAAGUGUGAUUUACUAAUUAUGAACUUGAACGGUUCAUGUUUGACAAAUUUUGUUCGUCCAUUAAUUUGAUAUAGUUUGUUACCUUAACGAUCACCGAUUUGGCUAAAAAUUUGUAGGACAAAUAUACUCAUAUAGAGCUAAAAACUGAACGGAUGAGAUGCCAAGAUGUGAUCGAAAAAUAAGUAUUUUAAACCAUAAACCGAAAAGUCCUCAACUUAAAAAUCUUAUGUAAAAAAGAGGUCUAUGUAAAUACAAAUAGAUGUUUAUACAAACAAGGAUUUAUUUUUAAAAUAGUUUCUGAUUUUUAUAUCAUUUUCAGAUGUUUUUUAUAACCACGCAAAAUGACAGAAACGUGAAUAGCACGCUACUUUGAUUGGAGGACAUCAGGUCGUGUUCCUCACGCGAGCAAGGAGAGUGUGACAUCUCCUUCACGUAGGUUAAAAAAAAAAGUAGUUGACGCAUGUCACGCAGCCAUGUUUGGCUUUUGGCUGAAGUGGAAGAAUUCAACUUGGGCUAGCUUUCUCAUCUAGCCUGAGUUAGUUCUCUCCCCAUAAAUCUCACUUGAGUGAAUUGGGCACAAAACCCAUUCAUGGGUGGAAUGUGAGUUUUUUUUCUUUUGGGUUAGAUUCUUAGGUGUCAUUUAACCUGGGUUGGAUUUUUUUAUAAGGGGUAGACUUGCUCUAAGAGAGUCUCAGUAGUGUAAAACCUUAAAAUCAUGCAUAAGAGCAAGUUCACCCGUUGGGUUAGAAUGAAUACAAUGACCUGGGUCACUGUGACUGGGCAGCAGUUUCCACCUGUUUAAAAUGUGAGAUUGUUGUCGUGUGGCAGUGACUGUUUAUUGAAUUUUAAAUUACAUUUUUAAAUGCAAUUAAUCUUUUUAUGUAUAAAUAAAUAGUAAUUUAUAUAUAUUAUAUGACAUAUUAAAAUUAAUGUUUUUAUUUCAUGACAUUUAAGUAACAAGUCAAGUUUAAAAAAUACCUUUAUUUGAUAUUGUCUAAUGAAAAACACAAUCUAAAUUAACUAGGCAUAUGUAAAAUUAGCUAUCAAUUCACACAGUAUAAAUUUAUUUAUUUUUACAGAUUUUUUCUAUAAAAUUAUAAAUAAAAAAAGAAAAAAACCUUAAACUUUCUUCUUUGGGCUGCCGUAUUUCUUCUCUGGGCACCCGUAUUUCUUCUAUGGGCACCCAUAUUUCUUCUCUGGGCUGCCGACGGUGACGACCCACCUUCGCACGCUGCCGCUCCGCACAGUUUGUCGUCACAGUCUCCCUGUCGUCAUCACACGCGGGUCUUCCUUCGCUGCAAUUCGUUUGUGCGCAAAACGCAGCUUCCAGGCGCAUCGCUCGGUGGAGGCUUCAUUGCUGACGCAAGUCACGAGCGUGGGCUGGGCUGAUGUGGAUCAAUCUCGCCUGGGUCAGUCUUCUCCUCUCACUUGGGUUGGAUAUCUCCCCAACAAAGUGACCUGGGCUAGAAAAUGAGUUAUCUCAUUUUAUGGGUGGAAGCAAAAAAUUUUGGGAUGUGUUGCUUUGCCUAUGUGGAUCCAACCUGGGUUGGAUUUUUUGCUCAUCGAUGGACAUGCUCUAAGCCUUUUGCAGUUCAUAACAAGGAAACCUAAGGGAUACAUCUCAACUUUAUCACUUUAAAUCACAUUAACUAAAACAGCUGAAUCAGACUGAAUCAGAUUCAAUCUCCAAAACUUCAUGAUGUGCUGAGUGUGAGCCAAAUGAAGACCAUGAAACAAACCCCAGGUUUCAGCUUGAAGGACCUCACCAGUUCUAAUGUUGACCAUGAAGCCACCACACCAAGAACCAGUCUCAUCCUUCAUCACCCGUCAUGUAUCACCAUUUUUAGUUCUAGAACCAUCAACAUUGAGCUUAUGAAUCCUAGUUGCAGGCUUAAUUCAACCAAGCAUUUAACAUAGGUAUUCUUCACCACGCUAACUUUAGCAACAACUCUACUCCAUUCCUCAACAUUUUCAAAGAUAACUUCAGGAGGAUUGUGAGGGUAAUCAAAAUUGUGAGUCAAAGAUACCUUUGCAGCGCCAUUUCCACAAAAACUAACAACAACAUAUGGAAGAGAUAUUUCAACUAAGCUCUCUCAUGUAAUGACCCUUCUACAACUAGUUAGCAAUGAUCCAAUUUUUCCAAUCCAGAUUAGAAGACCGUGAGACAUUCAGGGGAAUAUCAAAACAAUUCCAUACCUUCUUAGCAUUAACAUAAUCACUAACCCUGUGCAACAUAGUUUCAUGACACAAAAAUGACAGGAGGCACUAACAAAAAUCCUUCUUCUAAACCGCUGAUCAUUAAUUAGUAGUUUACCAAAACAAAGGAACAAUGACAUUAGAGGUUACGCUUGCUUGAUCGGUCAACAAUCCGAUGGAUCAAUCGACCCUAGCCCUCGUACUUCAUUUGAUCCCAUUGAUCCACUUGGCCCAGCGUCUCUCCAACCAUCGUCACUGCAUCCUCUAUUAUCAACUCCAGGGGUACGCCAAAGAUCUCAACCUAGAUAGUAAAGGUUGAGAGUGGAACCCUAGUCACAUCAGCCAUCGUACACCGUACCACCACCAUGAACAAAGACCCUAAAGAUUCACGACCCUCCGUUCACUGCAUGACAACAUUCCUCCUCCUUCGUAAGCUUCAUUUUAAAACGAUCUCCUUGUGUCCUCAUCAGAAGACGAUUCAUGUAGCCCGAAACUGAUGUUAGGGUUCCAAUCACCGCCUUAAGAUUAGACUACUUAUAUUUAGAGCAGACGACCCACUGCGUAUGAUUGUUGGGAGAUGACAACUUCCAAGACCACCUUCCCUUCUCAUUGGAUAGCCAACGCCGCAGCAACGUCAGCUGAUGGAGAAUUGGAGAUGAUGAAAGAGAGAGCAGAGAAUUGCAAAACAAGAAAAAAAAAAAAACCAACCCUAGCAGCGAAGAUGGGUUGUUGACUUGUUGCACCCGACCAAACACUUCAAUUAAAAAUCUUCAAAUUAUUAGACAAAUAAGUGGUUAAUUUUUUUUUCCCUCAAACAAGUGGUCAGAAUUGAAUCAAAUUCAAACAAACAAAUCAAAACCAGAAUAAAACCCACUGUCCUACCAGAAAAUAUCAAACUUUGGAUCCCGGCAGCGGCCUUCAUACCUCUCUUUCACUGCUUCCAGUGAAAUCUACGUGGCUGGCCUGGAUGUAAUAAAGAAAAAGGGAGAGAAUUCAAUCAUUAAUUUUCUUGUCUCCCAAACAAGAUCACUUUAUAAUGUUUUAAAUUUUUGGGAAUCUCACAACUGUCAAGGAAAAAGUGUUCGCCAAACAGGGUCUUAGAUCUGAAUGAGAACCCACAUUCUCUGUAUGUUCAUCUCCUCAAUUGUUUCUCAACUUCAUUUCAUUAAGUUUCAGUGUCUUUUCUCUGUUUUGGGUUCUGAGGAAAGCUGAGGUAGAAUUUAGAGAAUCAUUGAAUUCUGGGAAAUGGGCACUUGUGUAUGUUGCUUUGAGUGAAAUAGCAACGAAAGUUCAGGGGUUAAUCUAAUUUUCUUCAUUGUGGUUUCAGGGUUCAGAGAAUGUGCAUUCGAAUUCUAGAUCUUGAGCUGUAAAUAUAUUCGAUUUGUUUCGUAGCUAGAAUUCCACUUGAUUUUUAUUCCAAAAAAAAGGAGAAAGAAAUGGUGUUUUGGGAAGGGUAUGUGAGUGAUGAGGCAAUGGGGACCUUUGCACCAAUUGUGGUUUACUGGUUGUAUGCUGGGAUUUACCAGCUGUUGCCGCCUUUGGACAAUUACCGGUUGCACACUCGAAGAGAGGAGGAUGAGAAGAACUCGGUGCCCCUUCCCUCUGUCGUCCGGGGAGUAUUGCUUCAACAGCUAGCUCAGGCUACUGUAGCUCAGGGGCUCUUUGUGGUCAGUUACUUCAACUUCACUCUUUCAUUUCGUGUCGUUUCUGCUGAACGUGCUUCAUUUUCAUGCCCUACUUGUGUAUAUGUAUAUGAGGUAGAAAAUGUUGCAUUUGCAUUAAGGGCCGGCUUGUGAAAUAAACAACAUGGAUUGCAGCCUUUCUUAGAAAUGAUUUUAGUAAGCUGUUAGUUCUGCAUUUUAACAUGGCUGAAGUCCAUAAGAUAGAACAAAAGAAGGUUGAGUAAGCUCUGAAAGAGUGGUCCUUUAUUUCUCCUUUCCACAUCUGUUGUAUGUGAUUAUGGUUUGAUCUGAUACAUGCUUUCAAAUUUGUUAGUCGAUAUAAAAUUACCAUAUUGUCAUAUGGAUAUGGUGAGAGGGCCAAGAUGCUGAAUGUUGGUGAUGUUAUGGGUCAUCUGGAUGGAGAGGAAUGGACAAUAUUUUGAGGAUUUUAGAGUGGGGUGGUGGCAAUGUCAGAAGUGGUUUUUGGGUCUUCCUGAUGGUCAUCUGUUUCAGUUGCCUUUAGGGAUGAAGUCUCUAAUCAAUUUAUUGAGUUUCUGCUAUUUAGGUGUUUCUAUAGCUGUAUUCAAUCAUUUUUCAUCUACUACGGGAUGUUGCUCACUGUGUAUACUUUUCCAAUUAUUUAUAUACAAGUUCUACCGAAAGCUAGUGAAUGUGCACUUAAAAGGAUUUUGUUGGAAGGUUCACCUAUUCGUGGUGGAUACCAGUGAUUGUACGUUAACAAAAGGGGUAAAUCACCUAUAUGUCCUUGUAUUUUAUCCAGUGUUUUUUUUAUUUAGCCUAUUUGUCCCAUGUUUUUAUCCCAGCACUUUAUGUGGUGCUUUCAAUUUGGUCCUAAACCCCUUUAGGUAGUCUGGUCACUGUGUUUUACCUCUUGAGCCCUUUUUAUCCCUGUGGUGUACGAUUUAACACCAAUUGAAUAAUGGGAUAAUGUUCCUUUACCAGUGUUUCCUACAGACCAAUAAGAUACUCAACCCAAAAAAACAUGAGAGUAUGUUAUUCUCUCAUAUACAUUAAUCGGUAUCUCUUGAUCAUAGUUUAUGCAGACUUAGUAGCUCUUAUUGGUUAUCACAGAGCUUUACCAAUUAUCAUCUACUGCUGAAGUAAUUUAGUCUAGCCAAGCUUCAAGAUUGUAGUAUAUGGUGUUUUUUCUGUUUUCAAAAAGAUGUAGCUUUACUGUAUAGUCUUCUCAGACAUUUAAUUUAUUUUCCACUUUGAUAGCAUAAAGUACUUGAAGCUUUACAGAGAUAAUCACAAUAGUUUAGGCAUUGCAACCUAAUGUAUUGGAUGUGUAUGGACUUCGUCACAUUUAUAUCACUAUAAGUGGAUUCAUGAUGCUUUUGGUACAUAUUUUAAGAUAUAUGAGAUAUCAUCUUAAUGAAGAAGUGUAAAGUCUCUGUAGACCCGAAAUAAGAAUUUAGUAUGUUAUUCUGAAGUCACAGGUUGGUUUGUUAAGAAUGGAGAGACAAGGAUGUGACUUGAAUCAUUUAUAUCUGAGUUAGAUAUCAAUGAUGGACAUCCCUUGAUGCAAACAGCAUUGGUGACUGAUUGCAGAGACUUCAACAAUUUUAUUGUCUUUCAUCUUUGACUGCUUCUGAUACAUUGAUUAUGCAGAACAAGUUCUGCCCUUUUCAAACAGAUAAGGAUCUGACAAGAAGUUAUGUAUUUAGAGUCUAGAGUCUAGCCCUGUUCUGAAUGAGUUGGUUGUAAGAUGACAUUACUUGUUUUAGUCAGAGUUAUUCUUAUUUGGAAGGAACAAUGAAGUUUGUAAGGCUUUACUUUCUAUAACUAGUGACAUCUGGGAGAGGGCUCAGGAUCUUGGAUGUGGUGUAAAUGCUUUUAACUAGUAAAGAUACAGGUCCCCAACCACUAGGAAAUAACUUUCCUAUAUUUCUCAUGCUUGAGAAGGAAUUGUAUUACCAUGUAUUGUUAGGGUGAAAUGACAUGUCUUUCUGACUUGCUUUAUUUAUGGUUAUUUAAAAAGACUUUGUUUUUUGUUCUUUGCCAAUCUUGUUGAUCUGUAAAAUUUGAGACAGUAACUGAUGGACUCCUUUUCAUUGUCAUGUAUUUUUCACUUUUUUUUGUAUGUUUCUCAUUAAAAUGAUAAAAAUUGGUACUGUAAACCUCUUGUUUGUUUUUAUGUUCGAUGUCUCGAUUUAGUAGCUUUACUGUAGCAUGUGCUGUGCAGUUUACCCUCUUUAUGAUUGGAACAACUGGACAAGUCGUUUAACUUAGACAUAUUGUACGGUAGCCAAUUCAUUUUCUGCAGUGAUCUAUAACUCAUAAAUACAAAAUUAACUCUUUUUUUUUUUUCUUUUCAGAAAAGUAGACUUUACUCUUAGGUUUUUGUUUUACUGGAAUGAAUCACGGGAGAAAUGAUCAUUACUAUACCAUUAUUUGGUUGUAAGAAAGAAAUAAAGGAAUGGACAUUUUACCAAAUUAUGGAUACAAGCAAUUGCCUUCAUUCUUGUUUUGAUAUCAAUUCUAGUCUCGGUUCCUGUUCAUUCUUGCAAUGUAAUAGUAAGCUAGGAUGUCUCUGUCAGUUUGGAAUGUUACUUUAGAUAUCUUUAUGACUAAUGCUCAUGCAUUUUCACUGCAGUUAACUUUAAAGGCCAAUACAUCUGGUAUCACAAUUCAGCCGUCCAUCCUUGUCCAGAUUGUGCAGAUUGUUGUUGCAAUGCUAGUCAUGGACACAUGGCAAUACUUUGUGCACCGCUACAUGCAUCAGAACAAGUUCUUGUAUCGACAUGUUCACUCUCAGCACCACAGACUUGUUGUUCCCUACGCAAUUGGAGCCCUUUAUAACCACCCACUUGAGGGUCUUUUGCUUGACACUUUUGGUGGGGCUCUCUCUUUUCUAGUCUCGGGAAUGACUGCACGGACGGCUGUUACAUUCUUCUGCUUUGCUGUGAUUAAAACGGUAGAUGAUCACUGUGGACUUUGGUUGCCUUAUAACGUCUUCCACACUUUCUUCCAGAACAAUACUGCUUAUCAUGACAUUCAUCAUCAACUUCAAGGCUUGAAGUAUAACUAUUCUCAGCCAUUCUUCCCGAUAUGGGAUAAGAUUUUUGGAACUUACAUGCCUUACAGUCUUGUAAAGAGACCUGAAGGGGGUUUUGAAGCGAAGGCAAUGAAAGCAGCGAAAGACUAGUCAGAAGAAAACAGUGUACUAAUCCAAGCUCACUUCACACAGGGAAAUUAUUUUGCUGAGAUUUUCUCAUUCAGAGGAUUCUGAAAUAGAUCCGAUAUAUGAGGCUAUUGUCUAGGCUCUAGCAGGAGGGUUUUGUUAUCCGAGUUAGUUCCUUUUUCUGUUGUGGUAUAUCUUUUCUUUAAUUGGUUGUGUUAAUUCUACCAAGCCUCCUUAUGAAUGUAAGCGUGAGAUAUUGGGCUGUCUAAUUUGUAGCAUAUUUGUUCAUGAUUAUGCGGCAGUUAGUUUUCAGGGAUAUCAGACCUGUGGAGAUUGAUGUACUUGGAGUUGUAUGUGGCUUGAGAAGGUUAGAUUUGUUUAAGAAAAUAGAUCCUAUUCUUUCAGAAGUGCCAAGAAACGUUCUCUUGACUGGAAACCACAAAGCAUUAGCCAAAGUAAUUCCAUUGAUUAAAGCAUGUGAUCAAACCAAACUAGUGCAUAUUUAAAUGGAACAUUUUUAUUGUAAUUGUUAGUCCUGCGGAAAUUUUUAUUGUCCCCAUGUUUUUGUUAGGUGAUAUAGGCUCUGUUUGAGAUUGUUUCUUUGGAAGUGCUGUUUAUACCCUUCACUAUAACAUCACUACACGAUUUCAUAAUUUAUAGUCGAGACGUAUACAAUACAACUCAAUAACCUGCUUUCCUGACCUUACACAUAGCAAAUGAAACAUCUAAAACUUCAUGGAGUACUGUCUCCUCAUUCAAAUCAAAUCACACAUGAUUCAUGAUUGGAACGACACUAUUCACAUAAGAAACACCACACAAAAUAAAGAGUGGGUCUAGAGGAUGUAAAAUAAUCUGGAACACUUUGAAUCAGAAGAUACUUGAUGUUUUGUAAUAAGGUUAUAACAACCAAUACUCCCAAUAGAUCCAUUUUCUUUGAGGAAAAUCGACUAAACAAUACCCUAGUUAUUGCUCAUUCUAAACUUUCAUAUCUCAUGUAUCAAAACCAUCACAUUAGUACCUCAGUUAUUUACGUCGCCCCAAUACUAGUACACGCCAUCCAUAACGGUGUUAAGUGGCUAAACAUAUGUCAUAUCUCGAUAUCUCCUCUUUACCUCUCUAUUGCCGCUUUACCCUCUUGGCCCCUUCUAUCUAUAGGUAAAUAUGAGAAGUCUCGAUGGAAAGAUAUACAUACAAUGAGUCAGUAUGAGCAUUUUGUUGUAGCAAUAUGCUUGUUGGUUUUUGGAUAUCUACAUAUGCAUUAUGCAAUAUACGGACAAAAUAUUUUGUAUAUCUCCAAGUUGUAUUUUAUACUUGAGUUCUGUUGUAGUAAUUUAAGUAGUUUAUAAAUUUCUGGAUACGGAAUGAGACAAUGAGUUGUGGUAAUGUAGCAUGUUUCGAGAACUUUUUGUUUAGUAUGAGGUGAAUUUUGUAAGUUUUGGUUAGCUUGUGUAACUAAUUCUAAAGACAUAGAAUAACAUUGCAGGUGUAUGUAUAAAUAAAUUCUCCAUGUUUUGGCGUGAAAUGACUCACCAAAACAGUUGUAAAUGUACAUUUACAGUAAAUAACUAAUUCUAAUUUUUCAUAUUCAGUGUGUUGAUGUAAUUUUCAUUUACCAAAAAGAAGAAGAGAAAAAAAAAGGAAAAAUUCUGUAUUCAAAUUGGAUUAAAGGGAGCAGUGGAGCCGAAGUAGGUGUGCAUAAAAAAGAGAGAGAAAUCGGAGAGCUUGUAUCACACAAAUCCCAAUAAUGAGCUUAGCACUCGUCCAGGGCUAUUCUUCCUCUGAAGACGAAGAACAAGAGCCCCAACAUGGCCUCCAUUACCAUAACUCCUCCUCCUCCGAAGACGACGGCGACGAGAGCAAACCCGCAGCGUCCUCCUCCAUUUUGGAGCCUUCCCGACCCACGUCCUCCAACGCCUCCGCCCUCCCGUCUGCUUCCGACGUCUUCUCCGAGGUACCUCUCUCUCUCUCUCUCUCUUUCUCUGCCAUUAUUUAGUUUCGAAUAUAAUUAGGUUUGAGAAUUCAACUGUUUUUGUGUGCGGAGAUUUCGGGACCCCCAGCUUUUUUGAACAACUGCGUCCAAGAAUACGCUCCCCAGCAAGUGCGGCAUGCUUCCCGUCACAACAAACACCGCAAGGACAAGAAACACUUGCCUGCUGGUACUCUAUUCCCCCCCCCCUCUAUCUAUUUUGAGUAUUUCCUUUGCGUUAUUAUGCAUUACACACUGCUUAGGGCUUAUCAUGUUGUGUGUAAAAUUAUUCGGAAUUCGAAGUGGAUCUAAAUCUGUGAACCGACUUAGAUCAUGCAUGGAUGAGUGGUUUAGGUGUUAGUGCACUAUCAUGUAUAACUGUAUUAGUGAUUAUGCUUAAAGAGCUACAAAUUUAGUAAACAGCCAUGUGACUAUCUGGAGUUUCGUAGCUCAACAUGGCACCCCUGAACAAUCUUGUUCCGAGGGCUCAAGUGAUUACUGAUUAGACAAUGUGAAAGUAUGCGAUAUUCAUUCUCUCUUGGUCUUUGGUUUACACAUCAGACUCUUUCUCCAUGACAAGUACAAAAACAAGGUCUGCUGUGCUCAACCAUAUUAGUGGUAUUUGUCUUCCUUUGAGCAAUAAAUCCAAGCUACUACCUGUACCUUAGGCCCUACUUUAGCCUCCCAAAUUACAGAAGGAAUAGAUUGAGUUGAUAUGGGAUUCUAUCAAGUCUUCGGAUAAAUUGUGCAGCACAAGACUCCAGCAACACACUAUUUCAGGGGGAUAUGUGUUCCCCACCUUCUGGAUCCUUGAAAUACAAUUGAAAACUAUAAUCAUAGCUUAGACGCAAGGACAAAAGAAUUAAAACACAUGACAUGUGAAUGAGGAAAUCAAUGGGAAAAAGCUAGUCCAACCCAACCUUCUUUCAAAAACAUUACCCUUUCCUCCAUCGUAGAAUUGCAACAAGCAGAUAAUGGUUUGAUGCCUAAUGAUAUGUAUUUCAUUAAGACUUUGAUAAAAUCCCACAAAAGAGCCUUCAGGAUGUCCAGGUGAUGCAGGACAGAGCAGGCAUGGGGCUAGGAAGUGUAGGAAUCUUUAAGAAAUAGGUUAUUCUAGAAGAAAGAGAAGGAUGUAGCUGCUGUAGUCUUUGUGGAAUUAGGGAAUAGCGCCAAAAAGGGGGAAAAACAAUGGGGAAAGAGAAGAGAAACCAAGGUACUGAGCCUUCUUUAAAAUUCUAUUCUAUUUGACUCUAGUUCUGCUUUUGCUUACAAUAGGUGAACUUAUACUUUAAGCUUUAGACUCUCAGCAGACUAAGACUUAAUAAAGACUCCAACAAGUAACAUGUGGCCUUGGAGUAUUUAAAGACAAGUUACUUAUCUUAGGACUUAAUUAGACUAUCAAAGAAGUAGACUUUAUAAAUGCUCUUCAUAAAACUGAAAAUGAUUGUUGAUUUGUUUUGAAUUACCAAUUCAGACUCAACUACAGACACUUCACUUUGAACCAAAAUGGGCUGGACUUAUACUUAGGGUUCUAAAGAGCGUAAAUAUUUACCAACCAAGUUGUGGCUGCCACAUUACCAGGUGACUUCGCCUUACCGCCUUCAUCACCUCAUCUUUGUCAAAAGGUCUCUAACUGAGUUGCCUCAUCUUCCCCAAUUGGAUGCCAUUCCAGGCCUUCGAUUUUGCCUUUCUAGUUCUUUAACAUAAAGAACUUUGUAAACCUGGUUAUUUCCUAUAUCUUCCUUCCUCUCCAGCAACUGUCCUAAUCACUCAACAUGAGGCAAUUUCUACAUAAAAACUAUUUAAAAGGUCUGUUACGUAUGAAUUCAUCGGAAUUGGAUAGGCAACAUAUUGACAAAAAAAGAACUGAUGUCUAUUUGGAAAAUCUUUGUUAUGCAUUAUUUGCAAUGUGGUGUGUAAUUGAUGGGUUCUACUGUAUAUGGAUGCCCAUAUACUGCUUCUUCAUCAGGAAACAACUAUCUGAUAGAUGUUUUGAAAUUAAUCAUGCAUUUAGUUCUCUGACACUGAGCUAUCAGUACCAUUCUUAUUGAAGAUAUGGUGUUCUGUAUGUCCAUUAUGUACCUUUCUAUUGCAUCAAUUGAAGAGACUAUUGUUUUAUUGUCUAUAGGUGCAGUAGUGGAGUCCAAAGCUAAUUUAGUUGGAAUCCAUGAACGAGUAAGAAGUGAUCUUGAUGGUAAGCAACCUCGAUCUUUAGCUGAUACAAGCACAAAUGAAGGAGGUAAGCGUGUGGCAACUGUAACAAAUCCCAGUGCAGAGGAUGCUGCAGCGCUUCUCAGGUACAUAUUUGCCUUCCCUUGGAUUCUGCUCCUCCUAAGAAACUUGGCCUUGUAAUCUACUAAUCUGAAAUAUUUCUCUCGAGUAGGAUGUGCUUGCAGUGUGGAAUUCCCAAGACCUAUUCCAAUGCACGCGGAAUGGUCUGCCCAACAUGUGGUGAUCGUCCUGCAGACGCAACUGACGACUCCAAGAAGAAGGGGUCUACAAUCAAAGAUAAGGAGAAAAACAAGAGGAUGAAAGGCCAGUCAUCUCAUGCUACAUGGAAAAGUGAAACUGAAAUGCAGCUUCGACAGCAAUUUGAUUAGUAGGACCAUCUCAGGUAUUACCUGGAACAGAAUAGCAUAACAUGUCAUAGUUUUCUUGUUACAUCCGUGUAGCUACAAUCGGUAGUUAGACUGCCAAAAGUGCAUCAGGUGAGUGUGAUGUAUGCUAUGCUCUGGUAUAGUGUCAAAAUGUGAUCUGUUCUUUCCUUUUCACCUACUGCUAGAGGUGGCUCUCCUUUUUUAGAUAGUAAUAACUCUCCUGGUUCUAAGCUUGUGAAACGUCAAAACUGACUUGCUUGAUUAACUUUAUCUCAGUAGAAUGAUCUGUUUUCUAUUUUUUUGGUCUGACAUAUCAAACAAAUUCAUCUAGAUUACUUUUCUUUUCUGGGCAAAGAAAAAAAAAGAACAGAGAAGAAAAGAUGGUCAUAAACUGAAUGCGAAUAUAAUCUGCAAAGGGCAAGAGGCAAUAUUAUCCUUGAAAUGAUCAUAUCUUGUCUGCUGUAUUUCAUGUCAUUACAAUAAUUUGCUUUUGUGGGUAGAAGGCUAAUUCCAUGUUUUACCUCCCUGAUCUUUACACCUUAGGUUAGUUGUACUUGUACUUGUACGACGUUCUUUUUAUCGUAUCAUAUGUACUGCUGUACUCUCUAAUUUACUCAAUCUUCGCCCAUCUGAUGCCCAAGUCUGUUAAUGUAUUAGGGUUAAACAAGUAGUGAUAAGUGAAUAACGAAUGCGUACCAGUAAUGAAGAGAAAAUUUGCCUUAUGUAGAGGAGUCUAGGUCGGUCCUCUUUGCAUGCUUCUGAUGUUGGGUAAGAUUGUGUUCAGUGGUAGUGGUUUCAGAUUAGCUGUUGGUUUCCUCAUUUGGCUUGUGGUAGUGGUUUCAGAAAUUCGGAUUAGCUGUUGGGCUGUGUUUCUACAUGGUGGUAUUCGGUAUGGAAAAUUUUGUAGCAACUGGAGUCUUUUAUGCAACACAUUUGUGUGCUUAGUUGAAAGAACAGCCAGGUGAUUAUAAUUGUUCUUUGUUUGUAAAUGUCGGUUUUGUGCGAGCGCAAUUUGAGCUUGUAAUGAAAUGAUAAUAGGGUUUCAACUUAAGAAAAGGGAGAUUGGUCUUUUUAAGUGUAUAUACCACUUGGUGAGAUUAACUUUUAUAUUUUGAUACAGGGAUGAAAUUAUUGGAUCCAAAAGUUCAAUUCCAUUGUCAAAAUAACAAGAUAAUUUUAAAUUAUCGAUUUCUUCACCUUUAUGUAUUAGCAAUGAUGUAAACCCUUAAAAGUAGACGGCAAUAACAUAAUACUUGUAGUUGUAGGGUAGAAGAAUUGGAUGCUUUAUAUAAUUAGACAUUAGUGAUUGAUCAUUGUUUGUUUCAUCAGACAAAGAUGAACUCAUUAGGUAAUUUAUAACUUAAGGACUAAUUAGUGGUUUAUAAAUAAUAUACAGGAAAACCAACUUUCGAACUACCUGUCCAUCUUUUGGAUCGAAGAAUCUGUCCAUGUCACGAAGUCUGUUUUUUUUAGCAAACUACAUUUUAGUUACUAACCAAAUUUCAGUUUACAAAUACAUCUUUUAUACAUUAUCUUACAUAUAUAAGGACAAAAUUUUACAAUUAAGGACAAGUGGUUAUGCUGUUGACAUGUGUUGGCUACAGAUUUACAAUUUUACCUUUCAUUAAAAUUAAAACAGAGUCAACUGAACUAAAAGUAAUGUCGAGUGCUACUGCUGGCUUCUACUAUGUCGAGUGCAUCGAUGAUCGUUCAAUCGGUUUCAUAUCAGUCUUUCCGAGGUCAGGUGAUGAGAGUCACAAGGCUGAUAUCAGUUAUGCUGUAUCCCCAAAUUACUGGGGACAUGGGAUAGUCACUGAAGUAGUUAAGAUUGCCGUCCCUCAAGAGUUCAAGGACUUCCCUCAUUUGCUUAGGUUGCAAGCUGGUGCAAUUCCAAACAACAAGGCCUCUCAGAGGGUUUUGGAGAAAGCUGGGUUUCAAAGGGAGGGUUUGUUCAGGAAAUAUGGAUAUAUGAAGGGAGAAAUUAUUGAUUUGGUUGUUUAUAGUUUUCUUUCUACAGAUUAGAUUAGUAGAUGGUCCAAAAGUCCAGCAAUGAUUAACUGGUCUUCUACGCCAAGUAUGUGGACUUAUAUAUAUGUCUAUCACAAGCAAUUGGUCAAGUUUGCUACUUCCCUUUGCCUUAAAACAGAAUAAGUUUGCUACUUCCCUUUGUCUUAAAACAGAAUAAGUUUGCUACUUCCUUCUUGUGUUUGGUUGGGCAUUUGUGUCUUUUUUAGUCUGUGUGCGUUGGCCUGAUUUUGUUCCAAAUUCAUGAGCUCUAGCGGAACGGUCACUUAUGGACCUAAAUUACGACUGUCUUGAUUCGGUGCAAUAUCUAUACCGUUUAUGUUUGUUUUAUGUUUUUUUUUCUUUGAUUCUGUUUGUUUCUUUCCGUUGUAUGCUUCCAAUAUGAAAUCUGUGUGUUUGCAUCCAUCUCUUUUUGUAACACGUUCUUAAUGUUCUUAAUGAAUGAAGUUACUAUUUGAUAAAAAAAGAAAAAAUUGCUACUAUCACAUCUGCUUCUCUAUGUUAAUGUAUGCAAGCUUACACUGUUAAUGCGAUGUUUCCUUGAUUUUGACAAGUCAUCUUGCUUUUUUCCUUCCAUUCUCACUUGGGGUAUUUUCCCUAGCUUCGUUGCAAUUUGGCUGGUUUGAGUGACUGAAGUGGUUCAAAUACAGACGAAAGGCACCAUCUCGUUGUUUUCCUCAUAAGCAAUGUGGAAACAUGCCUCAAUGAUGACAUACCCCAUCAUGAUGUGGUCGCUAACACUUCCACCAACAGAUUACCCGACUGAUUGACACCACAACGGUGCAUCGCCAAAAAAAAAAAAAUGGUACCAUGUGAGACACACGGAUGUCAUUUAAACAAAAAAACAAAAAAGGUUUCAAAACGUAUUUAAACAUUACCGUUAUUUGAGCAAUGUGACGUGUAACUUUAUUUUUUGUCAAAAGCAACACCUGAACCAAAGGUGUAUGCCGUAAGUUUCAAUCUGAGGUGGCGAAGUUUUGGUGGGGGAAAAAAAAGGAAAUAAAAGAGGUAUUCAUUGGUGCAAAUGGGAGUUGUUUUGCCAUAAUAAGGAGGGAGGACCGAGUUUCAGAGAUCUGGAAGGAUUUAAUCAAGCCCUGUUAGCUAAGACCCUUUGGAGGAUUGUGUUACAUUUAAUAGAGUGCUUCAUGGUAAAUAUGUGCACAAUGGUGAUUGGGCAGCUGCUAGAGUGGGAGUGAAACCAUCUUUUGUUUGGCGGGGUUUGAACUGGGGAAAAGAUCUGCUGUGUGCUGGAAUGAGAUGGUGAAUUGGAUCCGGUGAAUCAGUUAAAAUUUGGGGAGAUAAAUGGUUGCCGUCUCCUUGGUCUUUCAAGAUUGUAACUCUUUGCUUUAUGGAUCCAAAUGCAAAGGUCAGCCAGCUUAUGAGCCAGCCAGGUAUGUGGAAGAUGGAUUUUAUUAAACAACAUUUUUUACCGGUUGAUGUAGAAAAAAUAUUAGCUGUUCCUUUAUGUGAUGGGAAUAGAGCGGAUGUGGCCGCGUGACACUUUAACGAAGAUGGAAGAUAUUCCGUUAAAUCCGAAUAUUGGUUUGGGAUGGAGUUGAAGAGGCUAAAGAAGGGAUCGAGUAGUGGUAGUGGGCAUGCUAAUUCAAACUCCAUUAAUAUUUAGAGCAUUAUUUGGGACCUAUUGGUUCCCAAUAAGGUCAAACUUUUUUUAUGGAGAGCUUGCCAUGCCUCUCUACCUUGUGUUGGGCGCUUGUUUAAGCGUAAGAUAUGUUCUCAUAGUGGAUGUUGGAGAUGUGGAGAAGGGGAGGAGACGGUGAUUCAUAGUUUGUGGAUUUGUUGUGUGGCAAAACAAGUUUGGAAGUGUACAUGGGAAGGUUAACAAAGGAUGGCAGGUUCAUAGCUUUGCUGAUCUAUUGGGUUUGAUUGCCCUAGAAGGGAACAAUAAAAACACUAAAUUGUUUACGUAAUUUGCUAGUGGAUAUGGAAGGAUAGAAAUGGGGUUUGUCAUGGGAAAAAAGGCAUGGAGUGGAAACAUGAAUUUGCUGGCGUAAUGUUGAGAAAGAAGAACUUACUGAUGGGUGGUGUUAAUAGGGCUGAAAUGCAGCAGAGUUCUGGAGAUAUGGAGAGGGGUAUUAUACAUGAACAGGCUACCAGUUUGUACUUUGAUGGAGUUUGUGAUAUUUAGUACAAACAUUGUGGGUCUUGGAGUUGUAACCUAAUGGGGGCCAUUGCGGUACUCAUGAAAGCUGCAUUCAAACCACACAACAUUGAAGCUUUGGUUCUAUGGCAUGGUACGAAGGUCUGCAGGCAAAUAGGCGUAACAAAGUUGGCUAUUGCAAGUGACGCGGUUAACGUGAUUAAUGCUAUUGGCAAAAAUGAACUUGACUUGAGCGAUAUUGGAGGAAUUAUGGAUGCAGUUCGUAAGAUGAAAGUGGAGUUAGAAUCUUGAAAACAUGUGCGCAAGCGCCAUAACAAAGUCGCUCAUACUUUUGCCCGAAAUGCCUUAAUGAUGGUUCAACCUCCUUGGCUCCAUGUAGUUAUUGACACUAUUAGUAGAAGCUAGUCUGGGGAUUCUCUCAUGAGAAGCCCCUGGUAUUGAUGUACUUCAAGUUGAUUCAAUAAAAUAUUUUUCAAUAAAAUAAAAACUUUUAAAGUGAAAUGGUAAGGUCAUCUAUAGUCAUUCCGGCAAGAUAUAACAUGUGAGUCACACAUCUCAUUUCAUAGGGUUAAAUAUGACAUUUUGUAGUCAUUGUGGGUAUCAUGAAUAUUGUCUAGUGUCUUUUUUUAUUUUAGAAGUAUUGUCUAGUGUCUACUCAUGAUAAGAUCUAAAAGAAAUACAUAAAAAGGAGAAAAGUCUAAUCAUUUUUGUUAUUGUAUCGUUAAAAAAUAGUGUUACUAAAAUUCUAGUGCCGUUCAUGAACCGAGCAUUGUUAAAUACUAUUGUUAUUGCUAUCCUCUGUACUUGGCUUAAGAAUGAAAAAAAAAUGAAGGGAGCUCAGUAAGAUUCACCUGACUUGUUAUUUUAAGCCGUAACAAAAGUGAUUGUAGUUGGCUUUAACGUUCAAGCAAACUCGAAAAGUUUAAAUAUUGAUUAUGACAAAAUUAAAAUAUAGAUACAAUCGACAAAACGAAUAUAUUUUCAGGUGUCAUUUAGAGUUAUGAGUUUAAAUCUUAUUAACAUAUAUAUUGUUGGUGAGCCAUGAUGUGGUUGGUCAGGUAUAACAUAAGUGAUGACGUUGAGGUCAUAGUUUCAAUUUCAUUGACAUAUGUAAGGGUGAGUGAGUGAGUGAGUGAUUAGUAAACUUUUCUUAUUUAAGAUAAAAACAAAAUGAAAUGCGACACGUGAAAAAUAAAAUUAUAUUAAUCUGCAAUGUAAAUUUAUUUCAACUUUCGUCUCUCUUCUUAAAAAGAAAAAAAGGAAAUCGGUUUUCUUCUUGUUCAUCUUUAGUUGUUGAGUCGGGGCGGGACGAUGUGGAGGAACUCGGUGAGUUUCUCGUCUCAGUUGAUUAGGUUGAACAAGACGCUGUUCAAUCCUUCCACAUCAGGAAACGACGUCGUUCGACCACUGCUGCACUGUCGCUCCGAAUUCCACCCUUACUCCUCUUCACCUCCGUCGUCUUCCGAUUAUCUCAAGCUAGGUUUUCAGCCCUCCGAUGGACUCCAAGCCCUUUCUGCUACCACCUCUGAUCUCGCGUCUCUCGCCUCCAAAUCUGCAGACCUCACUCGUCAAUAUGCCCGCUGCUAUUGGGAGCUCUCCAAAGCUCGCCUCAGGUACCUUUAUCUUGUUUUGUUCUGUAAACAAUACCAUUUCUUCGGAGAUUGUAGUGAUUUUGAUCCUUGCGUGGUGUUUGUUCUGAUUCAAAUGAGUUGAUACAUAGGAAUAGCUGAAAAUAGAGCUUGUUGAAAUUUGAGUUAGGGUUGAUUGUUAUAGAUGAUUGUGAUCAUGUAGUUUCGUUACUUCUUUAUUAUCACAAGGCAUUACAGCUUGGCUUUCGUACUGGAUUCUCAUAGGGUCUCACGGGGGAAUUUCGAACAUUUUGUCUCAUGAACUCGGUUUAAAAAGUUGUCUGAUUGUUUUGGUUUUUUUUUUAAUUGUAAUUCAGCAUGCUAGUUGUUGCAACUUCUGGAACUGGAUAUGUUCUCGGGAGUGGCAGUGCCGUAGAUCUUGCUGGACUUUGUUACACAUGUGCUGGUACCAUGAUGGUUGCUGCAUCUGCUAACUCUUUGAAUCAGGUUUGUUCUUUUUCUUGCUCUUCUAAUUUUGCACUUAUAUUUUAUUUUAUUUUUGCACACUUAUGUUUGUAGAAUAUAUGUGUAGCUUGUAUAUUAUGGUUAGUGUUCUUACAGAUAUCGACUUGUCCUGCGAGUUUUAAUGCGCCUGUAAAUAAGAUUUUUCUCUUGUUUCAUCUCAUGUUAUUUUUGAUAAAGGGUUACUAUGGAGCCCUUCUAAUGAGGGACCUCUAUAAUGAGGACUAGUUGAGGACUUUUAGGUUUGUGGUUUAAAAGACCCAUUUUUCGAUCACAUUUUUAGCAUCUCAUCCGUUCAAUUUUUAGGUCUAUAUGAGUAGAUCACUUAUACAAAUUUUCAUCCAAAUUAGUGAUCGUUAAGGUAACGAACUAAAUCAAAUUAAUGGACUAACCAAAUCUGUCAAACAUGAACCGUUCAAGUUCAUAAUUGGUAAAUCACACUUAUGAAUGCCUUAACGAUUUUCAAUAUGGCUGAAAAUUUGCAGAAAUGAUCUACUCAAAAAUACCUAAAAACUGAACGGCCAAGAUGUGGAUAUACGAUCGAAAAACGGGAUAACCGAAAAGUCCUCAACUAGUCCUCGUUAGAAGGGCUCCCAUAGUUACUAGUACAUAAUAUAGUAGAUAAAAACGUCCUACUCGCUUUGUUAUCUUGUACGUGCUUAUGAUAAUUGUAUGAUGCAAUAACAAUAUAUUCCGCAGCUUACUUCACAAACUCUUUCUACAUUCUCUAAUUAUGUUAACAAAGUAAACAACUGAGAAAAAGAUGAACCCGAUGCGGUAAAUAGGCACUCCUGAUACAACAUUGAAGGAACCUUAAGAGUUCCCUUUAACUGUUGACUGAUUAUGGUGCAUGUUUAGCUUGCACUAGUAAAAUUUUGUUCAGCUGUUGAUCUUGAGGUGGGUUAUGUGGUGCGAGACUCCGAGUAGUGGAAUAUUGCAUGUGGUAUCCUUACUUCUCGAGUGUUUUAGAGUUGACUUUUUGACUUGAUACCAUGUUGAGCUAUUGUAAUUUUUUUUGUUAUAGGUGUUUGAGAAGUAUAAUGAUGCCAAAAUGAAGAGAACGAUGCAAAGACCCCUACCUUCUGGACGCAUUACGAGGCCUCAUGCAGUUGCCUGGGCAUGUACCACUGGUUUAGCUGGCACUGCUUUGUUGGCAAGCAAGGUGGCCCAAUGAAAAUACUCGCUUAUAAAACUAUUGUAUGACAUUAGUACUUAUUUGCUAUCAGUUUGGGGACUAAUGUCAGUUUUUAUGACAAGGUUGUUGCAGGCUAAUAUGCUGGCAGCUGGUCUUGGAGCUUCCAAUUUAAUACUUUAUGCAUUCGUGUAUACUCCAUUGAAGCAGAUUCACCCAGUAAAUACAUGGGUUGGCGCUGUUGUUGGUGCUAUCCCACCACUUCUAGGGUAAAGUGAUUCUAGGACUUGCUCUGUUAGUAGCUUUGACUAUUGAAAUGUGCUCUGUUAACUCUAAGUGGGUGUAAUCUAAGUCUGUGAGUGUGCAUGCACGCACCUCAUGCAAUUGCUUUCUGCUCUAGCUAGGGCCAUUUACUGGUUAAUCUCAUUUUUAUGUAUUUUUUUUCUUCUUUUGUGAUCAUUCAACUUCCCCAUGUUAGGUUAUACUCUUGGUAAAUUCAUAUGUUUGUUUGUUUGUUUGUUUUUUUUCUCUUCUGUUUUGGGCCUAUGGCCUCACCUGUACCAAAAAAUAAAAUAAAAUCAUACAGUAUGUUUGUUUCUCUCAAGAACUUCAAUUUUAACCUUGAAAGAAAAAGAAAAAAAUGCUCGUCCAAGGAUCUUAAGGAAGCUUUUCACUGUGUUGUAUAAUUAUUAUUAUUUUUUGAUCAAACUCUGUUGUAAAAUUAGAAAAAGGAUAUAUGACAUAUGUAAAUUUUGGAAGUCUUCAACUAAUUCUAUAGAUAAUGAUAUUAUCACUUGUGCACAAUCCUAGCUGUUUGUGAGUUCUACUUUUGGGAAGUGAAAUCUUGCAGAACACAUAUUGAUUGUUUUCCGGUUAUGGAAGUGCGGCCUAAUCCCUGUAGGAUGACUCUAAAAAUACAAAUCUGGAAAAGAAGAAAAUUUUUAUAAACGUGCGAAGAACUUCUAGAAAUUCUUUCCCAUAAUCAAAUUAUUAUGAAAUUGUGAUCGACCUCGAUUCAUUACCACAUUAAAUGAGUUGAUAUUGAUGCUGAAGCACAUAUUCCUGCAUGCUUUCUCAUGAUUCCUGUUUUGGACUUUCAGUUGGGCGGCAGCUUCUGGCCAGAUUUCACUCAAUGCAAUGAUUCUCCCAGCUGCUUUAUAUUUCUGGCAAAUUCCUCAUUUUAUGGCCCUUGCAUACUUGUGCCGCAAUGACUAUGCUGCUGGAGGGUAUGUAUGUUCUCUCAUCUGAAGUCCUGCUGUCUGAAAGUAAUUGGUGAAUGUCACUAGUUCUUUCAUCGUCUUACUUUAGCCAUUUUGGCAUCAGUCGGACUGUCUCACCUGUUUUAUUCUGAUUAGUUUUUAAAUGGGGUACUUAUUUCUACCUUUGUUCCAUGAUCUAUGGUUAUGUAUCAGAAUCAGUCAAUAUUUGAGAAUGCACUAUGAGUACAAUGCAGAUAUGAAUAAUAUCAUUCAAAUGACAAAAAAAAUUGCAGAUAUGGUUGUAUUAUCUGAAACAUUAUCUAGUGUCAAGGGUAUUCAAUGUGCGUUCACUAGUUUUUUUUGUGAGACACCCUUUAAUGUUUUUCUUAUAUGCUAUAUAUAUAUAUAUAUUCAGGUUUAGGAUGUUUUCUCUUGCGGAUGCUUCUGGUCAAAGGACAGCUUCAGUGGCUUUAAGGAAUUGCGCUUACCUUAUCCCUUUGGGAUACGUGGCAUAUGAUUGUGAGUCAGAAGAUUCCCAAACAGAAUAGCUCAUGUUUUUUAAUCCUACUUUCAUCAAAGUUUCAUUUGUAUCUCUGGCAUUUGUGGUGUUACUUUGUUUUUCAUUGUUCAGUAUAGGAAAAUUUUAUGCUCUGGACUACUACUGAUCCCAAUGCUGAUGAUUAUUAUUAUUAUUAUUUUUCUGUAGGGGGUGUCACUUCUGGAUGGUUUUGUAUUGAAUCUACCAUUCUUACUCUCGCAAUCAGUGCAACGGCGUUUUCAUUCUAUAGAGACCGUACAACACAUAAAGCUAGGAGGAUGUUUCAUGCCAGCCUUCUUUAUCUUCCUGUAUUUAUGUCAGGGAUUCUGUUUCACCGUAUCUCUGAUAAUCAACAAUGCCUUGCUGAAGAGAGUUCACAGAGUAUUGCUGAGCUUUCAAUGUCCUCACAAGAUGGAAACGCUAUCCAGAAACACAAGUUAAAGAAGCAUCGCCCACCCGUAUCAUAUGCUUCUGUUGCACCUUUUCCUUUUCUUCCGGUUCCGUCAUAUGUCUCUUCAUGAAUAUUCCAGUCCCCUGGUUUUGUAGAAUAAAGGUCGAAAGCAGCCCAAUAACUAUUUUUUUGUUGCAAAGAUGCACAUAUUUUCCAGUCUUGCAUAUCAGGUUGAAAACCUGUAUGUGUUGCUAAUGCAAAUCCUUAUUUGUUUUUCCUUUUCCGGCAAAUGCUCUAUUCUUUUGCUGUUGCGACUCAGCGAGUUUAAAGUACAACUUGUGAAUCAUACAUGUAUUGUUCAUUUGAGAUAUGACAAACGAGUACUUCUACACGUCAUUAUUAAGGUUUCAAGUUCUUCCAUUGCUCGAUCUUGAGAAAUUCUUCCUCAAAAUCAUUGGUAGGCUUUGGCAACUUUAAGCAAACCAAAUAAAUGAUUGCAAUGCAUCAGUAUAUCUUAGCAUCAGCCAACUUUCUUUUAUGCAAGUCAGUGAAGUAACCUUGUUGUAAGUUCUGUAACGGAUUACAACAGAGAGGCUUCAACAAACUGAAAGUUUCACCAACUACCAAUUACAACUUUAUCGAGGGCUUUCAUACGUUCAACUUUAUUCUUCGACCGUAUGACUGCCGAUUCAGGACAUCCACACCAAGUUAUUCAUGCUGAGUGAUGAAUUUAUUGCUCUUGCACAAAUUAUGCCUGGCAUAAUGCACUAACGUACAUGAUCAGCUACAGAUUGAGUCGGAACUCUACUGUGUAACAGCAUGAAUCUGCCACCCCAAGUCUGAGUCUGAACAACAUGUAGCAGAUAUUCAGACAGGUCACUGGAUAAAUAAUGAAGAGUCCUUCUCAACCUUAUUAUGUCCCCUGGUUCCGGGAAAUACGUGCAGUUGAACAAGAAUAAACUAGAGUUUUAAUUGUUGAUUCAACCUCCAAAAGUCUGCUCUUCACGACUUCACUAAAGUAGCUUUCAACACCAGAGGAGAAAAGGCUAUCUAUUCUGUGGAUGCAAUCUAUUUCCGUUCCCUGCUUAGCUAUAUGUUACGACAAAUCUAUGUCACCAAUAAUCUCUGCAAGAACAAAAUCCGUCUUGAAAUCUGUGAAACCGGGCUCGAUCCCUCACAAUGAUUUCCCUAUUAUAAACUUUUGAAACAAGUUUCAUCACCACAUGACAAUCAUCACAUAUUCUUAGGUUCUUGAUCACCUGAAUCGGUGUCCCCUCACUAGUGCUGAUCAAACCAAAAGCCACAGCCAACUUUUCACAAUGGUAGCCCAAUGCAUUUUCUUUCUCCUCCUCUCCAAUAUCAUGCAACACAUGAUUUGUCUUUGCCACAUAUCCAUAGUCUUUAAUCCUAAAUUUGAUCUCAUCUAGCUUUGAAUAAAUCUCACAGCUGUUAACAUGGCUUUGAUCACCAUUCAAAAACUUGUGUAUCACACCUUCCACUUCUAUGUAACCAAAACCCGGUACCUUCUUCACAUCCCUUCUCUUCAUGGCCUCCCUCACCCUUCCCACAUCAUCCCAUCUCUUGUGAGCCGCGUAAACAUUUGAUAACAACACAAAAUCACCACAACCCUCAGACCCCAACUCAACCAGUUUCCUUGACGCCAUCUCUGCCAUUUCCACAUUCCCAUAGGUCUUGCUGGCACCAAGCAAAGUCUGCCACAGUACUACAUCCGGAAACAUAGGCAUCGAUUUCACAAUCUCAUAAGCCUCUUGAAGUCGCCCAGCUCGUCCCAACAAAUCAACCACAGUCCCAUAAUGCUUAACAUUCGGCACCAUCCCACCGCCCGCCAUUGAAUUAAACAACUUAACGCCAUAAUCCACAAGUCCUCCAUGAUUGCACGCACACAACACAGCAAGAUACGACACUGCAUCAGCCCUAACUCCAUUUCUACCCAUCUUCUGAAAAAGCUCAAGCGCUUUCUCGCAAUCCCCAUGGAUCGCAAAUGCCAUUAUCAUCGUAUUCCAAGUAAUCAGAUUCUUCCCACAGUUCAUACUCUCAAACACCCGAUACGCUCUAUCCACAGAGCCGCAUUUCGCAUACAUAUCAACAACUGCGUUGCAAACAAUGACAUGUGUAUCAAGCUUCGCAUCCACUAUAAAGCCAUGAACUCUCUCUCCUCCACUCAACGCACCCAGUUGAGAACACGCCGAGAGCGCGCCGAGCACAGUCACUUCAUUCGGCUUCAACCCCUCAUCCUCAUUCAUCCUCCAAAACAAAGCUAAAGCCUCACUGGGUCGGCUCCCCUGAGCCAACCCAGCAACCAAAGCGUUCCAACAAGCCAAAUCCCUCUUCGGCAUUUCGUCGAACACCUUCUGGGCAAAACCCAGAUUCCCAACUUUAGCGUACACGUCAAGCAAAGUAGUCUGUAACAACACAUCGCCUCCGAAUCCAAACCUUACAACCUGCGCGUGAAUCUGCAUGGCCUCCGAGGACGCCAGAGCGCGUGCACACGCUUUGAGAGCGAAGGAGCAAGUGAGCGCGUCAACGUGUUGGGGAGAGCGGGAGAUGGCGGCGUACCAUGAGAUGGCUUGGAUGGGUUGGAGGCUCUGGGCGAGGCCGCGAACGACGGCGUUCCAGUGGCGUGUGGAGGGAGUUUGGAGGUAGUGGAAGAGGGUGGUGGCGUAAGGGAGGUUGGCGACGGGGGGAAGAGCACAGAGCUCGAGGAGCUUGAUGGUGAUGGAGGGAUAGGAUUGGAAUCUGCCGAGGGUUACGAGGCGGGCUUGGAGCUUUUUGAUGUGGAUGAGAGAGUCGCAUUUCUGUAGCAGCAGCUCCAAGUUGGCCAUUCCAUCACAAAAUGACCAGCAUGUCGCGACUCGCGAGGCUUUUGUACUUAACGUAUUCAUUUCACGUCUUACGUUUCAAAAAAAUUAAUUUUCUCCUAUUUGCAUUAGGAAUGGUUAUCACUCAAAAGGGUAGCACAGUGAUGUGCGCAUGACCUGCAUGGUGAAGCUCAAGGGGGCCGGAAAACCACCGUCUCCGCCGCCUGAUGAUGAACCACAAGUUUCUGGUGAGUUAUGUCUCACUUGGAAUAUAAGCUCCAUGUGAUAAAGAGUGUUAGGCUCGACCAGAUACAAGCCUCAUUUGCAAACCAUUUACAACUUACAAGCAUCAUUCGUUGGCCUCUUCUCUAGCUAAGUUUCAAACCAUAUGUUGUAAUCGGGAUUCAAGCAACAAAUGACGAAGUUCAUUCUUAUAAGGAGCCUUCACACCACCCUCUCCCUAGGUUGAAUGGUACAACCAUCACUCAGCCGGUCGGAUCUGUCCGCUUUGGCUCUAUACCACCAUCUCAUACUAUCCAGCAACGAUUUGCUAGUAUCUAUGAGGGCGCUCUUCGGCUUCUUCGAAGUUCGACCAUUGUGGACAGAUCUAAGGGCAACGACUUUUUUUUGAAUCCCAAAAAAAUCUAUCCCACCAUUAAAACUCCAUAAUCGUGCAAAAUAGUCCUUAUUCUCUACUAGUGCAGAGACUAUUAAUCAACCAUAGUAGCAAAAGAUUUUGACAAGUCAGAGAAACACAGAAAUCCCACGAGCUAAUUAGAAAUGGCAUACAUAACAACGAUGAUAGGUAACAAAUAUAGUCGAGCGAAAUUAAACAGUUACAUAUUAGGAAAAGCAUGAUGUCCAUCAGAUAUGCAGUGCAGCUUGUCCUUCCUAUUCACCAGCAUAGUACAUCUUGGUUUUAUGUGCUAACCGAGUGAUGGAGUUACAACACAAAGAGACCACCCAAGCGGGUACGUAGCAGACCAUGAAAAUUAUAGUACAGUUCCUCAGAUAGGAUACUUGUAUCAGAACACGCAAGAACCCAGGGCUUUGGCAACGAAUGAUCCACAAAUCGAGGUGCAAAUCAGAGAACUUGGAUUACUGCUACUAAUGUCAGAAAGACUAGUGGCACCAGAUUUCAAAUAGGCCAAUUUGAGAGUCCAGACAGCUACAAGUUUGAACUAACUAGUAAAGAGUAUUGCUCUAAUGGUGACUCCAUUUGUUUUAAACAACGGUAUUUUAGAAAAGUAAUUAGAUAAGUAACACGAUGACAUAUUCUAAUAUCUAAUAAUGCAACAUUCUUAUACUAUGAUUAUGGUGGAGAAUAAACCUGACGACUUUUAAUUUCAUUCAACAACUAAGAGGUUGUAAAUAUUUGACCACGCAAGACGCGCCGACCAAGUAGAGCAUAUCUUAAGAGCAAAUGCAGCAAAUGUCCAAUUGUAUGGGUUGGAUUGAGGGUUGGACCAAAAACUGCAUCCACCGGUAGAAAAUUGGUCUAGGUUAAAGCUGGGCCCCAUGCGGGACCUACCUAGCUAGACCAUGACCUGGGUUGAGAAUUAACCUAUCUCUUACCCCAGACCGGUUUUUCAACCGAGCUCACAUGACAUCAACUUGCACAUAAGGGAUAGAUCUUGCACAUGGGGCUGACGCCUUUCCUCCAAUGUUAAUUUAAUAUGGACAGUUCAGAUCAAGAUCUAACGGACCAUAUUAAAAGACAACAUAUACUUUAUAUAAUGUAUUAGUAAUUGAUCUUUGGAUUAAUCUCGUUGUUGUAUUAGAGUAUCUUUAGCAAUGCUAGCCAUUUUUAAGUUAAAUUUUAGUCAAAUUAGCUAAAAUGUCAUUUUGGCUAGCCACUUUAGAAAUAUGGCUACAUCAAUGCUUUCUAUUUUAGCUAGCAUUACAUCAACAUUAUUCUUCAAAUAGAAAUUAAAUAGUUUAAAUAUAUUUAUAUAUCAUAUAAAAUAUCUUACAAGGGAUGUAAUAAAUUAUAGCUAGCCUCAUUUGAAUUAUCUUGCUAGCUAAAUAUAGCUAGCGAGAUAGCUAAAAGUUAUAAUAAUUUAAGUUUGGUUAGUCUGCUGGAGCUCCUAAAACAUCCAAAAAAGUUUAACACGCUCUCUAAAAUAGCUAAAAGCUAAAAUAGAGAGUCUGUUAAAGUUGCUCUUAUCAAACCAAAGACUAAAGACUGAUAUGGAUGAAUGGUGUAUUAACCCGGGUUGAGAAUUAGUCCAACCCACUUAAAAUGGGUGCAUUUUCUCUAAGGCACACAAUCAAGGUGCAUAGAACGAGACCAAACCAUGUUGUUCUAUCAAAAGAAGGUAAGUUAUUGCCAAUGUAAAGCCGUAAUUAGCUAAAAAUAAACCAUACAAUAGCUGACAAUACAAGAAAGAAAAAAGCAUAACAAAAUGGGUUUAGUAUCCAGCAAGUCAAAGCCCCUACCCAAAAUUUAGCAGGCCUAAGUAACAAGUUACAGAAGACACCGCGCUGCCAUAUUCGCGCCUGGCCCAACGUUCCACAACCUACAACCCUCUCCCUUGCUAGCCAAACAUUCCCCUCCCAAGACCAGAAUCUAUCUGGCCAAGGCCAACCAAUCCAACUAGCCAAGGCCAACCAAUAUCAGAUCCAAACAAGUCAACCCAGAUCAACUCACAAGUAAGGCGUAGAUAGUUAGGGGCGAGAGGAACCCUCUCAAAUUUUCAAAAAAAGUAAUUAGCCUUAAUUUGUAUUAGAUAUUAAUGGAAAUAAAACAUAAAUGGACCCUUCUCCUCUAUGAAAUCCUUAAUUAGUCUUAAAUAUUCUUCAACAAUAAUGGAAUGAAAUACAAAUUUAUAUUAUUAAAAUACUUAAUCCAAUUAAUAAAAAAUCAUGUCAAGAGUUUCUUACCUUACUAAUCCUUACUAAUAUGUAAUUUAAUGCUUUGAAUUCCAUUUACGAUUUUUUUCCUUUACAAAUAAGCUAGCUAAAUGGAAAUAACACAUUAAUGUUUACCAUACAUCGACGUAUAUUAUCUCUCAAAAAAAGAAAAAGUAACAUGUUCUUUUUCAAUAUUUAUCGUGCAGAAAUUCUAAAAUCCAAAGUUUAUUUGAGAUGAUUUAAUAACCUUUUCAAGGGUGCAUGUUCAUUUACGAGUUGGUACAUAGAACAAAAAUAUUGUUGAAAUUAAGUUUUCGUCAUUUUUUUAAGCAAAAUUAUGUUGUUGUUAAAGAGUGACUGAAAAUAAUUUAAUUUUUUAAUUAAUUAAAUUUGACCCUUUUAAGUAAGAUGUCUGACAACGUCACCUAUCUAGAUCGACUCCAACCCUCCCACUCGAGAUUAGAUUCAAGAAUCCCCAAGACGAAGCCCAGAUUGGAGCCCAGCGCCGACAUCCUGCUAUCGAACUGUUGCCGCUCACCCCCUCCCCGUUACAGGCACCUUACCACUAGGCCCUCCGAGACCAAUGCAGCUUUACGUGACUACGUCCCAAAUUUGAUUGCAGUUUGGAAUUUCUAUAUAUAAAAUUUCGAUGCAGAAUAACUCCUUUUGUAUUGGCUUGAUUCUUUAUUCUUGAACUCACGUUGGAGAUACAACUCCUUAAUUCCAAAACACUAGUUGAUUGCUAUCAUAUCUAGACAGCCAGAAACAAUAUAGUUUUUCUACAAAGUCAUAAGUCCCCUGCUCAAAUUUCAUUUGUUGUAAAUUUCUUGCAUACUUAUUUUUUUUAUCAGGUAAACAACUCAAAUAUUACAACCUUUCACUUACUAAGGGGAGACUAUGCCACUAAACCAAACUCAUUGUUCUGCUUUAAAUAAUAUACCAUUGAUUAACAGUUUCUCUUCUUUUGUUUUAAAUUACUCCCCAUUUGAUUUUAUUAAAUGGAAGUGAAAUUCACACUCCUCAAAUUGAAAUUCACACUCUCACUUUCUAUUUUUAGUCAUUAUUAAAAUACAAAAUUUGAGUUACUAAGGAGAAAAUUUAAGUUACAAAAAAUUGAAAGUGCAUGUGUGGAUUUCAAUUUGAGAGUGUGGAUUUCACUUUCCUUAAAAAAUUGAAUUUUUUGGUUCUGUCCUGGUAAUCGACAAACAGCUGCUGGUUUUGUGAUUCAAGAUGAUUAGCUUCCACACAAAAUCAAUUGUUUUGCUGGCUGUAGCCUCAGCUAUAAAUAAGAGAGCAAGUAUAAUGAAGAAUAUGAAAAGUGAGUGUAUUUCCAGUUUCAUGAAUGUCCUUGUUGUUGCCAUUCAUGGAUACCCAAAUAUGAAGAAUGAGUGUAAGUACAGUUACACAAAGACUCCAUUAAAAACAAAAUCAAAGGUCCUUCACGCGUCCAGAGUAUUGUCUAAAACAUCAGACAAUCGGUUAGCAUAAUGAACUUCCACUCUUCCAGUCCUCUUCACAUGGUUUUAUAAGUUUUCUUUGUAUUCCUUUGGUUCAUCGAACAAAAGAAAAUUGGCGAAAUGUACUUAAACAAAUCGACAAGCAAACAUAAAUUGACAGUCGAUCUGCAUACCACAAGCAUAAUGUUCCAUAGAGUUUCCGGCUUCUUAUUCAUGACAUCUUGCAUAUGGCUUCCUAGUUUGAGUAUUUUGGUUCCCGGCAUAUAUUUCGAUAAGCAAAUUUCGUUGCAGACUGACUAGUAGACAAUGCUCAUCAUCAUUUUUCAUCGACCUUCUGCAGCUGGUGGUUUUGUUUUCAGAGAUUGUUUUGGAAGACCCCUGAAUACUGCAACAAUCAACUCAGGAACGACUACUGUACCAAUAGCUGAAGCUCGCGCCCUUUGUGACUGUUUAAAAGUGGCGCUGCGAAAAGGCUACAACUAUUUAGAGGUGGAAGGUGACUCCAAACUGGUCAUCGAUGUUGUUAAUGACACCUCACACCCCUCUUGGAGACUCCUUAAGCUGGUUCAGGAUAUCAGAAAUUUGGCAACGAACUUUGAAAGCAUUUCUUUUUCCUAUGUUUAUAGGGAGGCAAAUUUUGUUGUUGAUAGCUUGGCAAAUAUAAAACACAAUGCUUCUAGCUUAACUUUGUGGGAGAAUGGAGUUCCCGCUUCUGUCUUGGGAGCUCAUCUCUACGAUAUUGUAAACCUUGGGUGUUUCCACGAUGCCUCUAUUAAUCAAGUUCUUUUCUAAUAAAAAAAUAAUAAUAAUAAUUAUUCUUCAUCAAUAAUAUGGUUUCACCGGUGUGCCUCUAUUAAUCAAGUUCUUUUCUCAUUAAAAAAUAAUAAUAAUAAUAAUCAUCCUUCAUCAACAAUAUGAUUUCACUAUUUCCCUUUGUAGUGUUCUAUUUGGAUCAGUGAGGAAGGCGUGUAGAUGGAGUUCUUGUAAUUUUAUUGUUGACCUUUUACUGUCAGAAAAAUAAAAUAAAAAAUAGAUGAAAAAUGGACCAGAUAGGAUCUAGAACGAAAACGAAAUGAAAGAAUAGAAGGGUAGAGAAGCGUCUAGAGGCAGAGGCAGGGAGUAAAAGAAAAACAGAAGCAUCUAGACCAAUUGGUUUUACCGUUUCAGUGCUCCACUCUAAAACCCCUCUUCUACGUUUCGUCCCGUUCUUACUCGCCACUCUCUCUCUCUCUCUCAAGUGAACUGUGCGGCGAUCAUGGGGUGUGUAUACCUUUUCUCUCUUCCCCUGAUUUCUGAUAUUCGAUUAGAGUUUGAGCUACAUGUAUUUUGCUGGUUUCUUCUUUUCGAUUUUCAGUCUAGGGUUUUGGAUUCCGCAAUUUUCCUUGGAUUGAGUGUACCGAGUUGUCAAUUAUAUUUCCCUCAAUAUCCAAAUUAAUUCAAAAAGUUGAAAAUUAAAUUGGAUCCAGUAAGAAUUUGGUGAAAAAUUACAUCACUCAAACUGUUGUUCCUUUAUUGCUUGAUUUGUGUCUAGAAAUCUGUUUGAAACUUUGGUAACUGCUCUAUGGAAAAGAUUGGGAAUAAGAUUUGCCUGCGGUUUGUUACUGCUGUAAAGCUCGAAACUUGUCGAAUUUUUUGUACAAAUUUUACUGUUUGAUUUCCUUACUGCAAUUCUUAAACUAGCCAUUCUGUUAUCAGUAUCAUUUGGUCUUUGUGUAAUAAUAUUGUAGCAUUUAUUAGGAAACCAGAAAUUAGAUAAUGUUUCGCUGUGUUUGUGGCAUCACAAGUUGUUGUCUUAGAGGACUGAUAACCAUUUUAAACAUGUAAAUUUUCAGCCGACAUCCUAUUGUCAAGUGGGCGCAGCGGCCUGAUACGCUUUACAUCACUAUUGACUUGCCUGAUGCCCAGGAUGUAAAGCUCAAGCUGGGUCCUGAGGGAAAGUUUCUAUUUUCUGCUACUACUGGAAAAGAAAAGACACCUUAUGAAGUUGACCUUGAUCUCUAUGACAAGAUUGAUGUAAAUGUAGGCCACCACUUGUAAUUUUCUGGCUGUCUUGUGUUUUACUGCUCAAUUAUAAGUUUUGUUAUUUACUCAAUUCUUACUGCAGGAGAGUAAGGCUAGUAUUGGCUUGAGGAAUAUCUGUUACCUAGUAAAAAAAGCUGAAAGUAAAUGGUGGAGCAGGUUGAUAAAGCAAGAAGGAAAAGCUCCUGUGUUCUUGAAGGUUGAUUGGGAUAAAUGGGUGGAUGAGGAUGAGGAGUCGGAUGCCCAAGGACGUGAGUAUUCCUAAGCUCCUUUUAAGAUUGUUAUCCAUGUUAUUUUAGUUUCCUGAAAAUAUUCUUACCCUGGUCUGCAUGAUAUUUAAUUUUGGAUUUCAGCUGGAAAUGACAUGGACUUCGGCGACUUAGAUUUUUCUGUAAGUAUCUAUAACAUGAUUUAUCAAACUGUAUAAUGAUGAAUUAUUCAUGAAGUUAAACAAUUGCUGUUUUUAUUGUUUCAGAAGCUGAGUAUGGGUGGUGGGGGCGAUGCUCUUGACGAUGGUGAGUUCCUGUAGUACUGCUUUGCAUUUAUAUCAUUCAGUUAAUAUGAUAUUCUGUUGGAACUGGACCUAGAAGUGAGCUACAGUGUUCAGAGUGAAUAUUCUGACUGUUUCUUUACCUUGUCCUAAUAGAAUUUGACGAUAGCAGUGACACUGAAGAUGAAAACGUUGAAGCACCAUCUACCACUGCAGAAUCUGAUACCAAGCUUCCUGCAAGUGUGGAGGAUGAAGCAAAGCCUUCAGUCUGAUGAGAAAGCUUUCAACUGGUGUGGUGUGUGUUUAGAUGCUCAGCCUGUUUGACAUGUCUUAGUUUAAGCACAUAAUGAAAUAGGAGUGUAAGGUUCUCUUCGUUUUUGGUUUUGUUAUCCUUAGAGUCGAGGUUCUCUUUUACAUGAUGUGGUACUUUUUUUUUUUUUUUGAAUAAUGAUGUGGUACUUAUAUGAUGGUGGUUGUUUCUAUUCUUUGUACUGCAUUGGAGCUGAAGUCUUUUCCCAUCUGCGUUGCAUUGUCCAACUUUCUGUGUCAAUAUAGCAUCAAAUCUCGGUCUUUAGCUUGAUCGACGAGGAAUAAGCAGUUUGGAACCAUAAAUACAUAUCUUAUCACCAUGAAGACUUGAGCGAUCUUCUAAUCUUGCUAUGUAUUUUAGUGUUAAUAACAUGUUAAUAGGUUCCUUAUUUAGUUAUGCCAGUUGUGUUUGGAAUAUGUUUUAUUUGUUUCAUCACUCUACCAUCUGAGCUCCAUUAGGACUAGUGUGCUCGAGUAAAAAUUUACCCAGUUGGUAGACACUGUUCAGUGAAACAUUGUGAGCAGUGGUGUUGGCAUAAAUAUGGGGAACAACUGUUACAAGUUCCAGGUACAGGUAUGGGUUACAAUUGUUUUUAAGUUCCAGGUUUACGACUGUGACCAGUGGUAUUCCUGAACCAACUUAGAUGCCUUGGAAGGCAACUGUGUUAUGUCAUGAGGCUGGGGGGUCGUUCUUAUAGCUCAGUAGGCUCCGGAAGUCCUUCUAACGGAGAACUACUCCUCUGAUUGGGUUCCAAGUUUAAACAUUUUGUGCUUGAGAUAUGAGGCAUAGGUGAAAAGUGAUUUCGGCAUUACACAAAAAUUGGAGUACCAAGUGAUAGAAUAAAUGACAAAAGUAUUCCCAACGUCGGCAGUAUAUAGCGUCUCAUCAUGUAAUGUAUAACCAAUGGUACAUGCGAUUUGCAUUUGUGUGACAUACAACAUGUGGAAAGGGCGUAACAAAUUCAAAGGGACCAGACACUGGAGAGAUUCACGGAGUUGUAUUUAGUCUCUAAAGCCAAUUACAACAAGGAGCGAGAUGAAAUGAAUAUUGUAAAUUUGCAAGGGCAAUUGAAAACAUCAUUUGAAAUCGCUCCAAAUUUAGGCGUCUGAUAUAACUCGAUGUCAAUUGGAAAGCCACAAGAUUUGGUGAGGAGAUGAUAUGUUCUCCGAGUAAACAGGCAACAACUAAUUAGACAGUUAGGCGAUAAUCUUCAAGUUUUAUGCAUCACUCCAGGGAGUAUCACGUCCCUCAUGGGCAGGGGUAAAAAAAGGAAAGCUUUAGCAGAGGACAAUGAAGGACAUCAAGGUGUCUUUGAAAAUGAAAAGUCCACGAGGCGCUUCAAUUGACAAACCAGACAUCUCAAUUGUGCAGUAGCAGACUGACUCUUAAGUUAUCAAAUACAAUAACAUACCAAGUACACAAACAAAAAUAUAGUUAAUCACACUGUCAAGCAAAUAUGAGAAGAAGCAUAUGCGACAGUCUUCCUUUUUAAUUGUAAUCGCCAUACAAUGCCACCUCAGCUGCUUGGCAGUCUCAUCACUACUUCAGCUGGUGGUCUUAGAGUGCAAACCAUUUCUUUCGUCUUCCCAAAAUAAACCUGCGAUAUGAGUUGUGUAAACUCUUAAUGAUUGAAUUUCAAAUUCCAACCAACUGCGCAACCUCAUUAUUUUGAAAUAUUGUUUUUGAACUGUAUAACAGGAAUGCAGUAAUAGAGAGAAGAAACCACAGUACCUGUUCCAGCGAGUUUCGCAGCUUACCCUCCAUUUCUUCUAUCAUUCUUCCCAUGUUACACAGAUGACCUUCUUCAACUGAGAGCCUCAUAUUCAUCUACAAAGCCAAAUGGAGAAAGUCCUCUUAAUAUCCCACCCAGGAUAUUAUAAAUAGGUGCAAAGCAUUUUAUCUAUUUCUUUAUUUAUUUCAAUCUUGAGACGAUGAGAACUUUAUUACUUCAAACUCAGCAAAAAAUCACAUGCUGUCCAAAAGAAGUUGAUGCAUGACAAACAAGAGACAAAACCUAUAAAAAGAUGCAAAACAAACACCUCAGAGACCAGAUAAUAAAGUAGCUAGUUAAACGAUCCCACAUAUCAGAAGCAUGGAAAACCAAUAGUGUGUUAAGUGCUGUCACAGUAAAACAAAAUUAAUAUUGAGACUACUCAAAUAUUUGCAUAAAGAAAAGAUAAUAUGAUUAGUUUCCUUUCAAAGCAUUUUCGAGGUCUUUUCCCCUCUACUGCUCUGGGUACUCGAUAGAUAGAGUAGAUUCUUUACAGUCUACUGCUUAUCUCCAACAAUUAUGUACUUUUUUUUCUCACUACUGCCACCAUGGUAAAAUUUGUUUCCACCUUUUUCUUUUCCCUUUCCAUGCUAGUGCAUCUUCAAGGUCUUUACUGAUAGAACCAAGAUUUCUCACAAACUACAUAUGCUGGGGUGCGGAGGCAGUGUCAAGAAUCUUUUUGGUUUUCAAGCCCAACAGAAAUUAGGAUGGAAGACCAAAAUAACUGACAUUGCAUAAAUAAUUAUAAACUCAGACCCAAUUCAUAUCAAAAUAACAUAUAAAGGCUCAUUGAAAAAAAACAAAUAACAUAUAAAUUAUAACAAAAGGAGAGUUCUGGCACUGGGGUAGAAUAUAUAAGGCAUAUAUAAGGCAAAGGUAAGUUGGAAUAGAAUCAUAUAUUUACCUGUCUUCUAAGCGAACCAGACAAACUGAAUGUGCCAGAUGGCUCAUUAUCGGUAGUCAAAGAUAGCAUUACAGUGCUGGUUAAACGGUAAUUGGUUGUUCCUUCCUCCUCUGGACCCACCUAUGUAAAACUCAAAUAUCCACACUGAAUAAGUCAGUCGACAGACCUUCUCACCUGGAAACUAAAUAAGUGUGAAAGGAGAGAGAGGUGUGACUGCAUGAAUAUCCCCACCAAAGAUAGAUAUUUUUCCAACAUGGAAGAUGGAUUUUACCUCAAUAACAUGUAUAGCAUCCCAUGCCCCCUCCUGCAGAUAACCUCUCCGACCUUGCCCUGUCUUGGAGCCAUCUUCAUUCACACACCCAAAAAAAAAAAAAAAACAAAAAAAANNNNNNNNNNNNNNNNNNNNNNNNNNNNNNNNNNNNNNNNNNNNNNNNNNNNNNNNNNNNNNNNNNNNNNNNNNNNNNNNNNNNNNNNNNNNNNNNNNNNNNNNNNNNNNNNNNNNNNNNNNNNNNNNNNNNNNNNNNNNNNNNNNNNNNNNNNNNNNNNNNNNNNNNNNNNNNNNNNNNNNNNNNNNNNNNNNNNNNNNNNNNNNNNNNNNNNNNNNNNNNNNNNNNNNNNNNNNNNNNNNNNNNNNNNNNNNNNNNNNNNNNNNNNNNNNNNNNNNNNNNNNNNNNNNNNNNNNNNNNNNNNNNNNNNNNNNNNNNNNNNNNNNNNNNNNNNNNNNNNNNNNNNNNNNNNNNNNNNNNNNNNNNNNNNNNNNNNNNNNNNNNNNNNNNNNNNNNNNNNNNNNNNNNNNNNNNNNNNNNNNNNNNNNNNNNNNNNNNNNNNNNNNNNNNNNNNNNNNNNNNNNNNNNNNNNNNNNNNNNNNNNNNNNNNNNNNNNNNNNNNNNNNNNNNNNNNNNNNNNNNNNNNNNNNNNNNNNNNNNNNNNNNNNNNNNNNNNNNNNNNNNNNNNNNNNNNNNNNNNNNNNNNNNNNNNNNNNNNNNNNNNNNNNNNNNNNNNNNNNNNNNNNNNNNNNNNNNNNNNNNNNNNNNNNNNNNNNNNNNNNNNNNNNNNNNNNNNNNNNNNNNNNNNNNNNNNNNNNNNNNNNNNNNNNNNNNNNNNNNNNNNNNNNNNNNNNNNNNNNNNNNNNNNNNNNNNNNNNNNNNNNNNNNNNNNNNNNNNNNNNNNNNNNNNNNNNNNNNNNNNNNNNNNNNNNNNNNNNNNNNNNNNNNNNNNNNNNNNNNNNNNNNNNNNNNNNNNNNNNNNNNNNNNNNNNNNNNNNNNNNNNNNNNNNNNNNNNNNNNNNUCCAGCGCCGGCGACACCGUUUCUUCUCCUCGGCGUGAUCCGAGACCUCCCCGACGGUGUUGGAAUGAAGAAGAAGGCCGGAGAGAUCACGAUCGGAGGUCCACCAUGAUCGGUCGUGAAGUUCUGAGUGAGAUUGUUGCACAGACCUCCGAUCGAUCUCUCCGGCCUUCUUCUUCAUUCCAACACAGUCGGGGGAGGUCUAGGAUCACGCCGGGGAGAAGAAACGGCGUCGCCGGCGCUGGAAUGGUGGAAAAACGGCGGAAAUCGGUACAGAAAACCCGUACGGACGUCCGCACAUGAUAAUCCUUGUAUAUAUACAUAUAUAUAUAUACACAACAAGCUUCCUCUAAGGGAUUCCUUUUUUGGGGUUAUAUGAGGGAUUAACGAUUACACCAACUUUUCGAUCACCAUUUCCAAUCUUAACCGUUCAAUCUCUUCAUAUAUAUGAGUGGAUCAUUUCUGGAAAGUUACAUUUCAAUUGGUGAUCGUUGAGGUGCUCAAAACUGCGAUUUGCAUGAACGGUUCAAAUCUGGCAGAUUUGAACCUUCUAUUGAUUUAAGUUAGUUCAAAGCCUUAACGAUCACCAAUUGGGAUGAAAAUUUUCAGAAAUGAUCCACUCAUAUAUUGAAGAUUUCCAGAAAUGAUCCACUCAUAAAUUCGAUUUUCUGUCCGUAUUUAUUCUUACGGUGCGGAUUUCCACUUUACACUCACUUUUCAAUCGAAUUUUCACAUCUCCACCGUCCAGUCUUUAGAUACUAAUGUAUAGAUCAUCUCUGCAAAAUUUCAGCUAAUUUGGUUAUCAUUAAGGCACCCAAAACUGCGUUUUUCUGUUAUAAACAUGAAUGGUUUAAAUUCGACCUCAGAUCCUCCAGGACUUCGAAACACCACUACUUUUCGGAAACAAUCUAUUAUAGCUCUAUAAGCCUCUAAAAAGUCAAUUCCCAAGAUCACAUCAAACUCCACAAUGUCUAAUGGAAUUAAGUCGGCCUUGAAAUUAAAUUCCUCCACUAAAACUUCACAACCAUUAAACACCCAAUCUAUUCUCAUUACCUCGCCAGAGGGUAGAGACACAUGCCACUCACCUGGAAGAGACGAUAAUGGCACAUUGGCAUGGAGAGCAAAUCUACUAGAUAUAAAUGAAUGUGUAGCUCUGGGAUCAAUUAAAAUAAAUGCAGGCUGACCAAAAAUUAAUAACAUACCAAUGAUGACCUCUAGUGAAGUACGACCCUUCUGUUGGGUCAUAGCAUGAAGUCUAGCACGAGUCAUGGGACAUUCACGUUUACCACUACCCUGCUGAGAGCCACCCCUAGCUGCUGAACUGACAUGAGUACCACUGCUGGAGCCUCUGGCUGAAGACUGUCAGACUGGAUGAGUAGGGGUGGGGGCGGUCCUCUGAGCCUAUAAGGGAUAAUCUCUCUUGAAAUGAUCUUGACUACCACACUCAAAGCAUCCCGCAGACUGCUGCUGCCCAAAGGAAAAAGCCUGACCACCAGAUGUUCCACCCUGGAAGCUGCCACCCAAACCAAACUGUCUAGUCUGCUGUUUACCCAACUGACUCCGGGAAGACAUCUUGAAACGUCUUUUAGCUCUGUUCCUAGCACCAGAGCUCGAUCCACUACUAUGGCCACUACUAGCUGAAGAUCUAGAAAUGGAUGAGGAAGCAGCCUUCUUAGAUGGACCCUGACUAGGACCGUUGAAAUCUCGGGGCCGAGCACUAUAUGCUCUCUUGGUCUCAAUAGCCAUAGUUGCACCAACCGCAUCAAGAAAAGUCGGGUACACUACCCCGGUCAUCCUACCUGCAUACACACCACUAAGUGCCCCAAUGAACAUCUCAAUCAUGGUCUUCUCAUUAGGAAUCAGGUAAGGCACAUGGUAACUCAAGGUAGUGAACCUCUGCUCGAACUCUAUCACACUCUCAUCAUCACUCUUUUUCAUGUUCAGGAAAUCCGACUGUAUCCUGCUACGGUGGGCUUAGCCAAAAUACUACCCCAAGAAAAGUGUCUUGAAUUGCUCCCAUGUCAUAUCUCGAGCACCCUCAAUAUUCCCAUUGGCAAGCACCCACCAAUGAUAUGCAGCAUCAUCCAGAAAAGUUACCGCCAUCUUCACCUUCUUGUAUUCUGGGAUUUUAGUACCAUCCAAAGCUUUCUCCAUCUUAUCCACCCAUGUAUAUGCAUCAAGGGGUCCCUUGGCACCCUUGAACUCAAUUGCCCCAGCCUCGUUGACAUCCCUCUUCUUCAUAGUCUGAGGGUUUUGAACUCUGUCUAAAACACUCCUCAGCAUAUUCCCAACAUAGUCAACUAUUUCUCUGACUUCAUUGCCCCCGUCUGCGUUGGUCGAGGUAGCUUCAAGGGGUCGGGGUCUAGGAGGCAUAGUACCUGAGGAAGAAGAUAUUUAGUAGUCUAUAAAUAAGACUUAACACAACUAUCACACAUACCUAACAACACAUAGCAUCCAAAACAUAUACUGCUAAUGAAUCAGCCACGGUCGGACCGUCACUUUAUAGACACUACGUACUACUUAGGCAAAUAUGAUAGUGAUAAAGAGUACAGGAAACGAAAACAUAAAGCUCUGAUACCAACUGUCAGGACCCACCCCGAAUUUCACCCUGAAACCCGAAGUAAAUAUUGCAGGGUCCACCUCUAAGGAAAAUUUACCGAAAAUUUGGCAUAAUCUACCUUGAAAAUGGACAACUCUUACAUGAAAAGUCCAGAUAAACACUUCUAUAAUAAAUCAUCCAACCUCAACUCUUGGAGACAUCCUGUCAGGACCUACCCCAAAUUUCACACUGAAACCCGAGGUAAAUCCUGCAGGGUCCACCUCCAAGGAAAAUUUACCGAAAAUUCGGCAUAACCUCUUUUGAAAAUGGACAACCCUUCCUAAAAGCACUUGCAAAUACUUCUAAAAUUCCAAAUCCAACCUUAAACACUUGGAGUCUUCGUGCUCUCCAAAUUCAUAACACCACCUAAUUUAUUUACUAAUCUAAACUAAUCCUAUAUCCAAUAAUUUAUAGGUUCAGAGUAACUCUAAUAGGAAAGAAAGAGAACAGAAUAUACAAAUAAACGGAAGCCAUAUUAUGGAUUAUGUCUCAACUCCAUGUACGCUCGACCUCAAUUAUGCAAUCUUGCAAACUGGGCAUUUAAAACCGAAGGGCCCAGGGGAGAAGCAAUUGAAAACGUUAGAGUGAGUGGACAAAAAUAAAGUUUAAAAGAAACAAAUCUUUAUGCUUUCCCAAAUUUAAUUUCUAAAGAAAAAGAGAUGUAUGCCUCAAGCGAUAAAACUUUUAACUCAUAAAAUAUCGAGCCUCUCAAGCUCUAAUAAAAAUCAGUAUGUAUUUACACACGUCCAUACUCCGUAUAUAAAUUUUAUGGAUUUAAAUAAAAUUAUAUAGGGCUACUACGCUCGCGUCUAACGCUCACGUCACACCAUAAUACGGUUAUUCACUGCGCCAUUAAGGUGGACAGACAGGUGUUUAUAUACGUGUCUAUACCCCUUAUAUGAGUUUUAAUUCAUAUAGGGCUACGACGGUUGCGUCUCAUGCUCACGUCACACCAUAAUGUAGGCUAAUUGCUACACCAUUAAAGCGGACAGGCAUGUAUGGCUAGCUAGCAAUUAUAUACAUACUCUCCUCAUAAAUAUAUAUAUAUAUAUAUAUAUAUAUAUAUAUACUAGUAAACUACUUAGUUUACGUACUACUACUAAAUAAUUAAUAAAGUUUAAAACUUUAACUUAAAAAUAAUGAAAAUUUUCAAUUAAUAAAAAAAAAACAAUAAAUCCCAAUAGAAGAAUAAUUUAUCAUCAAAAUAAAGCAUCGCAUGCUUUUAAAUUAAAACAAAAGUCCAUUCACAGUAUUUGGCUUAAACUUCCCAAUAUAAUAAUCAGAAUACUCCUCGAGCGUUGACCCCAAACAAAACCUUAACCUGAAAUCGAUGUCACAAUUAAUUUCCAUGCCUUUAACACAUCAACCAAUUUAUUUCCAAAUUCAUCACAUAGUAAUCUGAUCUAGAUUCUAGAGUUACUAUGGACAGUGUUCAUAUUACCAAAAUUAUAUUAUGGUCUCCUACGUUCAUGCAUGCCAACAUAACAACACCAACAAUUUCAUCAUUUCCUCUCUACACAACUUCACACCAAAAUUUGCUAAGGUCACCCAAAAGGGUUUUCAUAAUGGAAAGUUUCCAAAAAUAGAAACUUUCUAAAUAUGGCAGAUUUUCCUAAACCGUAAACUACAACUUAAACCAAAAAGGAAAGUCGACAAGGUACUUUCACGGAUUCUGUCGGAACUGCUGCCUUGUCGGAAUCCCUCCCGGGAUUCUGCAACUGGCCGAAAUAUUCUGCCGGAUUCCGGCCACUUGCCGGAAUUUUGUCAUGACCUCCCCGUAUUCUUCAAAACACCAAGUUCUCGAUAGCAAACAACAAAACCCAAGAUUAAUCACCACUUCACCGUACCACAAAACACAAUAGCAUUUCAAUCAUCAAACCGUGCAGAUUCAUAGAGAUUUCUCACCUUGCUAAAACCCUCACCGGACUGAGUUCAUUCUCAACCUAGACCGCCGCUGCAAACCAUGGUCUUCAACCACACACAAGCUCACCAACGCCUCUAACACCACAGCAGCAGUGCCUUCUGCCACGAUGUCGUACAACAAUAGCUAUCCCAAAGCUUCCCAACUCUAUGUCUCGACUUUGCCAAGGAUGUACAACUUUAGAUCCUCCCUAUAUAUAUAUAUAUAUAUAUAUAUAUAUAUAUUGUAAGAGGAGUUGCUUGGGGGUGGAGAUUGAAGUUUUAUUUGGUGGCACCAGUUGUUGACUCCACAAUGGCAAAGUUUAAUUCAACUGCUUCUGCCAGUGACUUUCAAUUUUUAUAUUUGUUGAAAAGCCACAGACGAUCUUACUUGAAAAGCCAAAUUGGAGCCAAAAAAAAAAUGGAGGAAAGGUCCGUUAACACGGUCAAUUGGACUGUCCAAUUGUCACGUCUGAUCUGAUUGAUCAAGUUCAUUAGUGGGUCCCAACUCCGAUUGCAAAAAUUGACUUUUGACUGAGCGAGGAGGUGGGGUUAUACUUGGUAAUUUACCAGGAAGCUGCUGCUCUUUUUGUUUGUUUCAAGGAAGCUGCUGCUCGAUCUCAACGGCUCUCUAAUUCUCCAAUUAAGUCACGUGCUGUCCUAGUUUCCUUAAGAAAGAAGAGUGUCUUGCCGACCUAUUUUAAAAGUUAAAACCCUUUUGGGGGCAGAGAAAGCGAGAGAGAGCGAGAGAAAGAGAGAGAGAGAGAGAUAGAGAGAGAAAGAGAGAGAGAGAAGGGAAAGGGAUACCCAAUUCCAUUUCUGUCGCUCAAUUCCACAUAUGUAUGUUAGACUCUUGCUCUCUCUGUUGCUUCGUGUUUGCUUGAAUCAAAUAAUUGGGUCUUUUCUUGAUUCUUUGGUUUAAAUUGCUUUUGAAUUUGUGUUUGCUUGAAUCAAAUAAUUGGGUAUUUCUUGAGUCUCUGGUUUAAUUUGAUUAAUCGGUGGGUGCGCACGCAGUAUAUGAUUUUGUUGCCCUUGACCUUGAAAACCCUGGGGUUUACCAUUUGAUAUGUUGUUUGGGUUUGGGUUUCUCGGCCUUGAAUAGGGUUUAUCAUUUGAUUAAUUUGUUGUUUGGGUUUGGUUGUGAUUUGGAAUUGGAUUUUAGAUCUGUGUGUGUGAGGCUGUAACGGGGUUAACUUGGCUUGCACUGGGUUCGUUAUUUUUGUGGGUUUUGAUUUUGUUUUCUUUUGUUGUUGGUUCUUGAUUUUGAAGGAAUUUUAUUGAUGCUAAAGUCUGAAAGGUGAGAGGUAUGCUUUUGUUGAGACAUGUCAAUUUUGGCUAAUUAUACUUUAUAAUUUUUCAUUAUUUAACUUUUUUUUGAUUAAUUGGAUAUAAUAUUUAUUGAAAAUUUGCUUGACUUAGAUGUCUAUCGUGAUUUUGAUACCAUAAGUGAUCAAAAUCACUUGCUUUGGUAUAAGAAAUGUGUAUUUAUGCAAAUGGAGAUUACUCUUCACCAUUUAUUUGUAACGGGUUCUUGUAUCAUUAGAUUAUGAUGAAUUUGAGUUUUGUAAACAGAGACUAGUGUACAGAAUAUGAUUAUAACUGUUUGUUGGCUGGAUGUGACAUGUUUUGAGUCUCAUAGGUUAGACAGAAUUCCUUUCAAAUGAUUAUUGAAUAUGUUUUUACAGGACAUGGAUACGUCAAACCCUUCCGUUUUUGUCAAUGUAGAGCUACUGAGGUUGUAUGUUGGAAGGCAGUUCAGGCAUUGAUUCAGACUGUGCAACCGAGUGUUGGAUCUGUCAUUGGCAAUUCUACUGAUGAUGUUCAGUUAAUUGUAAAGAGCACCCCACCCUCUUCUCUUACAAAGUUUGUUGAGGUCAUAGGUAUUUCUGACAGUGAUAAAUCUAUCCAAGUUAGCAUAUGGAACAACUUUGGCAACACAAUUGGUAUGCAUCUAUCCACGUUGCACCCUCCACUUUGCAAUUUCUAUAUAAUAGUGGUCGACCAUUAUGCUUGGACUGCAUGAUGCUAGUUCUGAAGGAAGUGCUUCAGCUUCUUGUUCUUCUAUUUGUGUGUUUAAAAGUACUGAGGAUUAAACUUGUACCAACAUACACAAUAAAUCACAUCUACAGAAACUGCAGUAUCGAUCCCAUAAUAUUUGAAAGUUGGUUAGGCUUUGAUGGUGGUUUCUGUGCUGUAUCUAUUGUAGGCACUCUUCACUAGGACUAGGAGGGAUGGCAUUUGGGCUAUCAUGACUUUUGUUGUUGUGCAAGAGGUUGUUGUAGGUUAGUUAAUAAUUGGUUUUGGGUAUCUUUUUUCAUAGUUUGGUUUAUCUCUGUUCGUCUCCCACAUUAAUAUGUGCCCACAAAAUUUUCAUUUAAAUUCUCAAGAUCUACAGAAUAUAAAUCACACGGUUUAUUAUCCACUUUAUAAAUAGGGAAAAAGACCAUUUGCACAAAAUAGAAAAAGUUAAACCCCAUUUCAAUGAUAAUAUUUUUUAUUAGCCUAUUUGAAUACAAGAUACUUAUUUUAAACCCAAAUACACAAAUCUUUAUUAAAAUAUAAUAAAAUUAUAUUUUUAAAGACUUUUUUACCCUUAGCUUUUACUUAAAGAGAAAAAGUGAAAAAGUUGGAGGUAAGACUUUGCCGGAAGCACACCGGGCUCCGGCGCCAGUCACCGGCGGCCGCAUUCCGGUCACCAGACUCCGAACUCCGACCGCCGGAAUCCGGUCACCAGUGGCUGGAAUUUUCCGGAAAUCUCACUGGAUUUUUUUAAAUGCCAUCAGAAUUUACGUGAUCUUAACCCAAGUAUGAAAAAUAAAGUUUACUACCCUAGUAAACUUUUACUGCGGGUAGUAAACUUAAAAUAAAGUUUUUCCAUGACCAUUAUACACCUUAAAACAGUGAAAAAUCAACUUGGAUGCAGAAAAAUAAAGUUUACUACCCCUAGUAAACUUCUGCUGGAGGUAGUAAACUUGCAAUACAGUUUUCCUAUGACCAUUAUAGGAAGCCCUUCUAGUGAGGACCCUUAAGUUGAGGACUUUGUGAAGACUUUUCGGUUUAUGGUUUAAAAGACCUAAUUUUCGAUCACAUUUUGACAUCUUAUCUGUUUAGUUUUUAGGUUUAUAUGAGUAGAUAAUUUCUACAAAUUUUCACCCAAAUUGAUGUUCGUUAAGAUAACAAACUAGAUCAAAUUAAUGGACGAACCAAAUCUGUUAAAUAUGAACCAUUCAAGUUCAUAAUUGAUAAAUCACACUUAUGAAUGUCUUAACAAUUUUCAAUAUAACUGAAAAUUUGAAUAAAUGAUCUACUCAUAAAUACCUAAAAACUGAACUGUCAAGAUGUAGAUAUAAGAUCGAAAUGUGGGAUAAGCAGAAAAUUCCUCACCAAGUUCUCAACUUAAGGGUCCUCACUAGAAGGGCUCCCGACCAUUAUAUACCUUAAAGGAGAGAAAAAAUCAACAUAUAUGUAAAAAAAUAAAGUUUACCACCCCUAGUAAACAUCUUACUGGGGGUAGUAAUCUUGCAAAAUAAUAUCUCUAAGGUUAUAAGUACACAUUAAAACGAAGAAAAAUCAACUUAGAUGCGAAAAAAUAAAAUUUACUACCCCUAGUAAACUUUUAUUAGGGGUAGUAAACUUGCAAAACAGUAUUUUCAAGACCAUAAUACACAUUAAAACAGAGGAAGAACAGUUUAGAUUCGAUAAACUAAAGUUUACUACCCCCAGUAAACUUUUAUCAAGGCUAGUAAACUUGCAAAACAAUAUUUUCACCGCCACCACUCUGUCAUCAGAUACAAGCUCUGAAACCACCUUAGCCCUCACUUUUGAUCCCUCACUGCAACUCUCCCCAAGAACCUUGUGAGAAACCAUUACCGCUGUGCAUGCGCUGACGUGGCACCGUUGCCCUAAGAACACUCCCUUCGCCGUCUCUGCUCCAGCCGUCCCAGCCGUCUCUGCUCCAGCCGUGCCGGCCGUCUCUGCUCUUGGCCCGGUUUAGUAGCGCCACCACGAGAUUCCGGUCCGAUACCUCCCAGGUGGUUUUUGACCUCCCGAUGCUCAAAUCCAGAAACAGCUUCUUCUCGCCGGCGUCGGAGAUUGUGUCGAUUCCGAUCUUCGAGAGCAGAUCGGUGGCUCUCUCGAAGCACGACGAAGCGAGGUCAAACGUCCGAAGCUCGUGCCAUUUGACGCUGGUCUUGUACGUGGUAGAACGAGGCGGACUUGAUCGCCAGGGAAGGAGAUCUGAUUUGGUGCGGCGUCGCAGGCAGAUGAGAUGUGGUGCAGUGGAGGAAGGAUUAGACGGCGUCGCAGGCGAAGGAGAUUUGGUGCGGCGUAGCAGGCGGAGGAGAUCUGGUGUGGUGCGGUGGAGGCACCAAAUCUCCGUCACCGGUGCGGUGCUUCGCCAGUGCUUUAUGUCGUCGGUGCUUCGCCGGAGAGAGGAAUCAGAUUCACGUUUGAGAGAGGAAAGAGAGUGAGAGAGUUUUCUGAGAGAGAGAGAGAGAGAGUUAAUGAUACGGGAAAAAAGAGGAGAAAGAGAGUUAAAUUAGGAUGAGGGUAUUGACGUCUUUUUGUUAGAAUUCAUUGGAAUUGGGUUGCUGAAUAGAUUUUCAUUGGAAUGGGUUAAAAGGAUGUUAAAUUAGUAGUAAAUGGUCAUUUACUCUUAUAAAUAUGAUUAUGUUGUAUGUAACUAUUUGACAAAUUCACAAUUCUUAUUCCUCUUCUCUGAAUAGAUUGAAUCACUUUAGGUAUUAGUAUCAUUCUCUUUGCUUUUAGUCAAUACUUUUCAUGUACCUCUCCAAGUAAGAAAAACUAGAAUAGAUAUGGUAGAUGAAACUGCCGAGGAGUUGUUAGUUUGAAGAAACAUAUAGAUGACACCACAACACAUGCAAGCAAAGGCCACAUUUCCCUUGGCCACAUAUGGGCUCAUUUGUGGAGAAUUUGAGCAAAUAGGUAAUAUAGGUGGUUUGUUAUCCACAUAUAACUGAUAAAUGUGGUCCAUCCAAUUUUUUAAUAUUAUUUUACAAGGUAAAGUGUGCACGGAGACCCACUAAAAGGAAAAUAAAAAAACCCACUUCUCUGAGUUCUUUCUCAAUCUUCUCCUCUUAUCCGGUCCCUCUUAUCCUCUUCUCGCCCACAUCGGCACAUCUCCCUCUCUCCUCUUUUGAUCCCUCUCUCCUCUAUGUUGCUCCCUUUCCUUGACAAUUUUUUGGUAGCUCUAUCCUAAAAUACCGAUCGGAAUAAACCGAGCUGCCCUUUGACAUGGUGGGUGUGGCCGGGGACAGAAAUCGGCACGGACCCGCUAGGUUUGGGUGGAGGGCUUUAGACGGGUGCAUUUGAAAAAGAGCUACCUUGACUUCAUCAGUGGAGUACAGAUUCAUCUCCUUAGUAACUCGCGGUUGUAUCACUUGUAAGACACGAUCUUGGGCAUCCCGAUUCGAUCCGUUCUGGGCAAAGAGGUCCUGAAAGUAUUGGAUAAUGACCACGUUCUCAAUACCCGGUAAGGAAGACUGCCAUGUACCUUGGCUGUCAAACAACCCCUUCAAUUUGUUCCGCUUUCUUCUAUUUGAGGCUUUCCUAUGGAAGAAUUUCGAGUUACCUAGUCCGCUCGAUCGAAAGGGUUUUGGAGCAAUUCCUGCAGAGUUAAUCGUACAUUCUCUAAUUCCUUUCUUCGGGCUUGAAAAACAGUGUAGUCCCAAUUCAGAAAGUGACUUCCAGAAUCUCUUAUCUUGCAGCAAACUUGCACCACAGGGCUGCCACUUUGAGGAACUGCCCAUGAGUUAUCCACUACUUGUGAAAAGGAGGGAUCAGAACACCAAAUUUCUUCAAACCAGUAGGGAGGUUACAAUCGUCCAUUUCCAGUCUCUCUUUUCUUACCUCAAGCAGGAGAGGAUGAUCUACUCGGAGGGAGUGCUAUGACUCUUGAGAAAUUGAACUCCGCUAGCCAAGCUUGAGUACACAGCCCUCUAUCAAGCCUUUCUUUUGUAUGAGAAUCAUUCCAAGUGAACCAACCUCCAGCAGCUCCCAUGUCAUCAAGGUGACAAUCCGUUAAAGCUUCCCGAAACGCUAACAUCUGAUAAAUAUUUCUGAUACGACCUCUCGAUUUCUCACUCAGUUGUAGGAUCUCAUUGAUAUCCCCAGCCACAACCCAUUUGUCCGUCUGCCCUCGAUACAGAGAGAGAAGUAGAUUCCAUGAUAUGUGUCGUUGUCCCGUAUCCGCAUGCCCAAAUCGCCAUUCGCAGUUCUCCGGUUCAAUCACAUCUACAUCGAUAAAGAAGUAGUUGUGACCCCUGACUGGAAUCUGGACAGUGUCGUCCUACAGAAGAGCUACUUCGGCCAAGUCCUCGCGAUCAUCGAACUCGGCAUGAGCCAUUCCAAUUGCUUUAUGCAAGGACUGAUGUUGUCUGGUGUUGCACUUAGUUUCCGAGAGGAAAACCAUAUGAAUCUGGUGUUUCUGAAUUAGAAGUUUCAAGGCAUGACGAGUUUCUCGAUUGGCGAUGCCUUGACAGUUCCAAACGAGAACUUUCAUCACAGCGAAGGUGGGGGGAACCUUCCUGGUCAUCGGAGAUUGACAGAUGACACUGAGAAGCCAAACCCUAGGCAGCUACGCUGUAGAGAUGUUUUCGGUUAUUUUUCUUGUUUGUGAUGGAAGAUCCUGUAUACAAAUUAUGAUCCUAGUUGCAUAUGUAUUAGGUUGCUUUUGUAUCGUUUUAUUUUGGUUUUAAACCAAUUAGGGUUCCUCCUAAUGCAUGGGUGAGCUAUUUCAAUGUAACUUUUACACACUAAUGGAUUCACAUACCUCUUUACAAAAAAAAAAAAAUCCAAAAUUUGUGUUAUGUUAAUUUCAUUUAAUAAUUAAUUGGCUUGUAAUCUCUAGGGAUUUUUUUUUUNNNNNNNNNNNNNNNNNNNNUAUAUAUAUAUAUAUAUAUAUAUAUAUAUAUAUAUAUAUAUAUAUUAUAUUAUAUAUNUNUNUNUNUNUNUNUNUNUUUUUUUUGCCAUGUUUGUACAAUACAGUCCCUAGCUUACACUUACCAGUAUGGCUAACCUUUUUUCCUUCACAAGCAUGAAGAGUAACAUGCAAUUGAGGUGGACCAGUCUUCUUGGUCGGCUUGGGAAUUUUGUUCUUGCUUCUCAAAGACCUACCAACCUUCCUCUUCUUGGUCUGGAAUCUUACAUUCUUUCGAUGAUUGAUCACCUCAAAAAUGUCUUCUUCACUAUGUUUCCUCAUCCCCAAAACACCUGGACUCAUCAAUGUCAUCAAAUCUGACCCAUUCAAAGUCCCCGCACCAUGCAAGCCUAGCUCAGCUCACUAUCUAGUCCACCAUCAUACCGAGUUAAACCCAACCUUGCCCACACUAACCCUAGUUUGAAGCUAGGGUUUCACGCUAAAAGAACCGGCCAGGUUCUGUCGAAGUUAGGUUCUCGUCGGGGGCUGUCAGAGCGGAUGAUGGGGCGGUGCUGGUAGGUUGAGUGACAGGGGUUGUCGUCGAUGCAAAUGGGAAAUGUCGUCAGGGAUGUAGUCGAUUCCUGCAUGGAGUUGUUAAAAAACCAAGGCUUCCAUUGAGAACAUGAUUCUUCAACUCCUUAUCGAUCCUUGAAUUGUAACACAUAAAUCCCCCCAGCCACCUCACGGAUCAAAACUUUCUCUUUCAAAUUCCAGAUGGUAGACACACCAACGAAAGCUACGAAAGCAUCACCGAUUUCUCAGAAAGAAGACAUCCACACAAAUAGAAUAGGAAUCCCUGAAUGCCUCCACACCUCCAACAAGAUGAAUAGUAGCCGCCUAGGCCUCCAUCACAAACCAGAUCUUGAUCGGUUCCUUUGCUAGUGAGAAAACCCUAGCUAGACGAGAGAGAACGUCGACAAGCAUAGAAACCCUAUGUUUUGUCAAAAUUAUCUUAGUUAAAAAAUCUUUAUUUACAGCUCAUGCGCUGAACUUCCCAAGUAUAUAAAUGACUGGAACUAUCAAAACUUGAGGAGAACCCUACGAGGUAGGAGCAGAUAACUGAGAAUGAGAGGCAUCAGCAAAGCAUAAAUGUGAUUGCUGGAGUGUAUGGAAGCUACAAGAUCAAGUAGUGUAAUGAAACGAAGUUGGAAUGUAUCCUCUUUUAUAUGAUGAUUUUUGUUUCAGCUGGAAACUGAAACGAAGAAAUGUAUCUUCUUUUCGUUCCAGAUGAUGAUUUUUGUUUUCUCUUCUUUAGUGUAUCUAAGUCAAACAAGAUUCAUAUUUAAAAGCUGAAAAAUGUGAAGUGAAGUUGUUUUAGGUCUUGUUAAGAAAAGCUCGGCUCGACCCGAUAAAAUAACAAGCUGGCCCGACCCGACUGGCCUUGUGUGGCCUGAUGCAUGGGCAGCUCUGAUGCUUGUAAUAUAUGGAGAUGGACAGCCUUGAAAAAUAUAAAAAGUAGGUUAAAGCUAGGCCUGACCUAAACCUACUAGCUUUGGGUCAGGCUGGGCUGACCCGGCCCAUUGCAGACCCCUAAUUUGAAUAGUUUCUGCCUUCUACAAGCAAAACAAAGAGGCUGAAUGCUGUAUCCAAAAAAACAAAAAAUACGCUGAAUGUGACUCCAAAUCCGUUGUCAAUUGUGUCAAAGGACAUAUAUAGAGUUCCCCGGAUAUUGAAAAAGAUCAUCCUAGACAUCGAGCAUAUUGGCUGAUCAUUUGAUUCCAUAUAUUUUAACCAUGAGUGACAAGGAUCACCACCAAGUCGAGGACCUAAGAACGACAAAUGCUAUGCUACUCAAACCUUUGUUAUAUUGCUGGCUGCUUGAACUCGAGCUGUGCCUGUGAGCUAAUUAUUAUUUUCCACUUUAACAUGUCUAACAAAUCUUGAAAUUCAGUUAUCAAUCGAAUCAAACACAAAUAUGAAAAGAGAAACCACAUUUCCUGUUAUAACUAAAAGUAAUUGGUACAAGCCAAUUUGGCUCAUCCACAACCUAAGAAAUCAGUCAAGUAGCAAACAUAACUCGUUACUGUGCUACCGAAGAAAAAUCUUGUUUAUAAUUGAUAAACAUAAUAAAAAGUUAAAUAACUAUAAAAUUAAAUCAAAGGCAAUUCUGAAGUUGAGUUGAGAGCUUCCCCUGGUUUCUACCUAGUCUGACUACUGGCCUUAGAGGUGUACGUUCAUUCAUUUCAGAAUCAUAUCCAAUUGAAUCAAUCACACAAGGGUUAAACUUCUCAAAAUUAACAACCUAUUGACAAUGAAAGAAAAGUCUACCGCUGCGUGAUGCAAAUGCCAGUUUUGAUUUGUGUGUAACUCUCACAUAGACUCAAGAACAAGUGCUACAGUUUUACUUGAGAAGGAAAUUAUAUGGAGGAAUGUUAGAGAAAGAUGGGAGAUGAAGAAAGAGCUAUGAAACUAAAGCCAAAAUAAAAGUACAUAUACUAUAACAGUUCUCAUUCUUCUCUCAUCUACCAUCUAAAUGUAUAUUUCUAAAACUUUUUAAUUCAUUUGGCCACAAUUACUCAUUGGUUUUAAAAUUCAGUCUAUCCGAAAAAUAACAUUGCUCUGAAUAUUGUGUUCGGAAAAAAAUCAAAGAACCGGACUAUGGUUUUAAAAUUCUGUCUGUAACUAUUCUAUUCAUUUUUUUUUUCUUGUGAAAACCAUCACAACUAUUGAUACAACAUGCUCUUAAUCUCCAUGAUAAUGUCAUAAACUCUUCAGUCUGCAUGUUCUUGUGUUUAAUUUUGCACGUCUCUCUUCAUACGAUGCUGGGAUCAAUUCAUUAACAGUUAUUAGACAGGAACAUCAGAAAUCACAGCUAGAAAGAACAUGAAGUAUGAACUCAUCCUCAUAUGAAGUACCAAGCAAAUAGAUUCACUUUCGGUUUUAACUUAAAAAAUCGAGUUUUCGACCAUCGUAUAUUAACUGCAAUAGAAAUAAUAAAUCACAAGACAUAGUAACAAGUUUCCCUGAUAAUUCACUUGCGAGGAGCUUAACUAGUUACUGUUGGAAGCAUUUUUAUGCUUAUGCAGCAUAAUUAUAUAUGAUGCAUAAGUAGUCAAUGUUACUGUAAGUCUGUAACGACCGUAUUGUAUGUAAUUUCAAAGACAUGGUACUUACGCUCAGUUGGGCGCGACAUGAGUGGAACAUGGGAAGAUUUCUUUUUCAUUGUUCCAUUAUUAUCCAAGGAGCUCUGAUCUGAGAAACAAGGUGAUCUCAGUAAUAGUGAUGUGUGUGUCUGUAACAAUAUAUUUAGUUGUUUUGCUGAGUAAUAAGAGGGAAUAUAUCAGUUUCAGCACCUUUUUCUACUGGCAAACAGCAUCUUAGAGCCUCAUUAAAAAUUGCAGCUUGGAGAUGAUAGUUUCGACAUUCAGAAGCCAAGUGUAUUUGCAAAGCUUGACAGGCAUCUAGGAACACAAGAAAAAGAAAUAUUCAGAAUUUGGAGAGACAUAGCAGGUGGCAGUUUUGAUUCAGCCAGCAGUGUAAAGAAACUAAACAGUAAACAACAAAGAUAAAGCAUCAUCAUAAAAAAUAACAAAUAUGUCUAAUGUUUCUACACAAGAAGGAAAGGAUGCAUCUCUUGCCAUCCAAGUACCUGAAGAGCAAGUGAACUUGAGACCCUCAAAUUCACAGAAUUGAAGAACCAAGGGAAUCUCUGGCGCCAUGCCAUAUUGAGGUUUUCUCGGGAUUUUGUCAGUAUCCAGUAAUGCAUCUACCACCUACCAUUUAGCACAUUUAGAUCGAGUUACUUUUAAAGAAAGUGAAAGCUUAAAGGUAUAAACCACAUUUUGAAUCCAAUUGUCCUAUAGCAAAGGAAAGUAUUUGAAUUUCUGAUACUCUAUGAAACGCUGCCAGUGUUUAGCAAAGCCCUUUGAGCACUUCUUGGCGGUUUCAAUUUCAAUGGAAAGUACAAAUCAAAGACUUUUCCACAAAUUCCCAAUGGUUGGGAAUGUGAAGUGUUUGGUUUGAACCAACUUACUGCAGCCAACACUAUAUUUUGAUUAUUAAACAGUUUUAAAACAGCAUGUGCAUACUAGUACUAUAUAAAAAAAUAUGCAGUGUAUCAAAUGGACUGUCACACUCAUAUUCUUUUGGAUGCAUGCAUAGAUUAGUGCGCAUGUCAACAUAUUAGUUUUGACUUUUGAGAUAUGAAACUGAUUAUUUGAGACAAUACCCAAUAGCUUAAUCAAACAUAAAUUACAACUUAAGAACCAACCAAUAAAGAAGACACUUCAUACUCACAUCUGGAGAUUCAUGACCUUGGCCAAUCAAGAGUAGUAUAGCAACCAUGCAUCGGACCUGAUGCCAGAGGAAAGCACUCCCUUUGAUUUUAAAUGCCCAAAGCUGAUUUCCCUCAAACCUGAGAAUCAUGAAAUACAUAUCAAUUUAUUCUCAAGAUAGCCCCAGUCUUAAGACAAAGUUCUCGUUUCUUCUUGUUGUCAUCUUGAUAAUAUAAAAAAUUUAACUUGAUAAACAUGACCUUACAUAUAAGACGAAGAAACAAAUUCUGUUUUCUCGCCUAUUUACUCCCCUCCAUUUCUAAUCAAGUAAAUAUGGUAAUCUGAAUUAACUAAUUCUAGAAAAGGGAAGGAGUCUGAAGAUUUAUCUACCCAUAUUAACCUCACAUCACAAGGAGAUAUUGCAAAUGAAGUGAUUUUCCGCCUGUAGUUGUGCACGUUAAGUGCAUCCAUCUUACAGAAGUUUCUGAAGUCAUGUUCACCAACAAAUUUCCUACCAGCAGUCUCCAUAGCCUAGUAAAAUAUGAACCACAAAAAAACCAAUUUCUCCUUGUCUUAAUUUUAAUAAUAGAGCCAUCAAAAUGCAUUAAAAAAAAGAGGCCCAAGAUGAAAAGAGAAGAAUAACCACAUACCAAGAAAUUCAGAUUUCCCCCCCAAAAUAAAUAAUAAUACUCCCUGCUUAGACAGCUAAACCUGUAUUAAUAAAGGGAAGAAACAAGUUAUGGUAAUGCAAGGUCCCAACCUUGACCUCAAACAAAAAAGAAACAAGAGACAGAAGUACGGUCAGUAAUUAAGGAAUACGAAAAAGUGCCCAUGACCAUUUGGUCUAGUGGCUAAGUCUCUUUCCCCUUUAAGCCCAAGGUCCCAGUUUGACUAAACUACUUUUAAUCAAAAUAAAAUUAAAAGAAAACGAAAACUUUGUUGUUCUAGAGUUAAGGACUUAAAAGUAUAGGAACUUAGCCAUAAUCAACUGAUUGUGUUCAUUAGAUUUAUUAAAAAAGCAAGACAACUUUUUAUUGAAAAAAAUCGAGAUUUGUUUAUCAACCUCAAUAUUCACCAUCAAGGCCAGGUGGUGAUGACCCAGACAAAUACAUUUACCCCCAUGUCAGUGUAAUACACCACGCAUGAGAAAUCCUAAACUACAUAAUCCUUCACUUUAUUAAAGUGAAGCUUUAAAGGCUAUAAACCUUCUCAGCAUUUCCUUAACUGACAAUUAUGCUUAACAAUCAUGAUGUUAGUGUUUUCUGAAGUCAAGUUAUACCAAGGACUAUCUAUAUAACAUUAAGACAUAUACACCCAUUUUGUGGCAAUUAAGUCAAGCAGACCGUGCAAAAUUUGUGAUGAUAUCAUGUGGACUGGCAACAAAGAAUUGCUGGUCUAGCGGUCAGACACUUGGUUUGCUCCCAAGUGGUCUGGGGUUCGACCCUCUCCCAUGGUACCCACCUAGCAAUUGCUAGUGUUUCCAGUUUCCCAAAUGUUGUGGGGUCAGGCGGGAAACCUAGGGAUUAGUCGGGUCAAAGAUCCGGAUACCCUAGUUUCAAAAAAGAAAAGAAAAAAAGAAGAUAUUAUGUGGACUGGCAGCUGACUCCGCAGGGGUUUCCUCAUUCUAUGUCUCAAUGCUUGAAAAUGAACUGGUUUCAGUAAAGUGUCAUUGUAAGCCCAGAACACCUGUCCUUACUGGUUUAGUUUACGGUAUUUCAUUAUAAUUUAUAAAGAGAAAAUAGAUGCACACAAUAUGACAAUGAUAGAACAUUUUGCAAGUAAAAGGUAGUUUUAUCUAUAUGAACUCAAAAUAGUGGAAACCUUCAUAAAAGGUAGACAAACCUCGCACUGAAACCCAAUGGUACAGGACACCAACCAAAAACUCGAAUAUCAUCCGGAAGGGCUCGAUUCAGCACCCUCACAUAAUCGAUUUCACCUUCUGAGGGAAACAAAGGAGAAUGUAUUAUGCAAUUGGAAUGUGGUGAGCUUAUAUAUGAGAUCAAACUCAAAUGAGCUACAAAUCUUAAAAUGAAGCUCUAGCAAAUUUCAUACGGCUCAAAUUCUCAAAAUAUCUUAGUCAGGUAAGAAGUGAGCUUUAUAAUCUCAAAUACAAUGCUACGAUUUUAUCCCUAACGGAACUUUUCAUCCAUCUCCAUGUCUAACAUUUUAUGGUCUGAAAAUUUGGGUCAGACACCAAUUGACCGAAACUCUCCCAUGAAGGCCAGCCUUCUGCAACUUGCGUCUAAACCGAUUACUCAAAACUUGACCAACGAUUAAGAAUUAUGUAAGUAAAAUGAAUAUAAGCAUGUAUAAGGUCCAAUAUCCAGAUUCACAACAAUAAAAGCUUGUCAAACUUUUAGGUGAGUGUACCAUCACAAUUCAAGACAGACAAUUGCUUGACAGAGCCAACUAAUUGUGCAACCAAAUACCAAGAAAAAAAAUCAUCUUUCCAUUCCACAUGUAUCCUGUGAUGCCUCUGAAAGAAAACACCGAGUCUUACACCAGCCCAUACCCCAAUUUUCAGGCAUUAGAUGCAUGGGCGCAAAGUUUUUUUUAUCUUUCAAGCAGUAGUAAGCAUGGACUUGUUACUUAAGUGAUUAUCAACCAUAUAAUCCACAGACGAUUUCCAUAUAACGUUAUAGUUCACCCAUUUCUUGAGUCCAACCCUUGUGCACCUUGAUUAAUGUAGCAUAAUAGACACAUAUCCUAGUAUGCAGUUGCAAAGAAAACAAGAUUAUUUUAUAUCUAUUCAGAGUUACCACUCCCAGACCUUAGGAAUAUUGGAUCUGGAAUUGCCUGAGCCAAUAAAGCUAGGCCUACACAAUGCUUAUCAGCUUCAUUAAUUCUGUGUUAUAUGACACUAGGCCAAGCAAUAAGACACAUUUACAUAAAAGCAUCAGCCAACCCAAUGUACAUAAAAUUGACAUGGCAAGGACCCCAUCCAAACAUCAUAAUUCUACAGAAUAACAUAUCUUACUCAACCAAUAGAAAUUGAUUACUAUCUAUUGGCGGAUAAAUUUCAACAUUUGAUUAGCAAGGAACGUCGAGAUGCAAUAUCAGGUCUGAGUCUUGUAUACCUAUUUCAAACCAUAUAACUUUGGUCACAGGAAACUGUUACUCUAUGCUCAGGCUUUCCAAAAAGGGGUAGAAACAAGAUUUUGGCACUCUACAGCCCUGACUUUGUAAUUGGAGAGGAACAAGACCUCUUCUACUUAAGAUAGAGCUAUGGCAAGAUCACAAGACCUCUUCUACUUAAGAUAGAACUAGAUUUCAGCCUGUCGUUGGAAAUCCUCUAAACAUUUGUGAGGCAUUUGUGUUUAAGGGUUGUUCUUCUUGAUUGGGCUAAAGUAACAUCGAUGGCUUGCGAGUCUUAUGUUUGUAGUAGGUUUUGUGCUUCGCUUGCAAUCUUAGGAAAAGCUUAUUUUAUUUUGCUUUUCAAUGUACCUCUUGUAUCCUAUUUCAUGUUGGCACUACAUAGAGAUGCCGAGAAAUUAUAUAUGUUGUAACGCAGAGCAUCAUUAUGUUUCAAUGUGCCACCACAGGAGGGGCUUGACUUGAGCGAAAACCAUGGUCAACUAAUACUGGAUGACGUGGAGCAUGGGGCUUGACAAGUUCAAUAACAAAUUGUAGCAUCCAACCCAAAACCAAUUGAAAAUUUGUGGAGGAGCCAUGACAUUAUAUGCUGUAAUCCAAGGCCUUACACAUCUGGACAUGGGGUUACCUCCAACCACCAACCCUCCCCCNNNNNNNNNNNNNNNNNNNNNNNNNNNNNNNNNNNNNNNNNNNNNNNNNNNNNNNNNNNNNNNNNNNNNNNNNNNNNNNNNNNNNNNNNNNNNNNNNNNNNNNNNNNNNNNNNNNNNNNNNNNNNNNNNNNNNNNNNNNNNNNNNNNNNNNNNNNNNNNNNNNNNNNNNNNNNNNNNNNNNNNNNNNNNNNNNNNNNNNNNNNNNNNNNNNNNNNNNNNNNNNNNNNNNNNNNNNNNNNNNNNNNNNGAGUAGAGAGAGAGAGAGAGAGAGAGAGAGAGAGAGGCAAAUAUGAGCUAGCCUCAAUCAAAUAUGGUUUAUACUGUGGAUAUAGGUACUGUGUUUCAUAUUAAUAAACUUCUUAGUCUGGAUUUACAGACAUAUCAGUAGAAAUUUGCUUUAAACAUUGAGAGAAAAUGAUACGUUUUGAACUCAAUCAAACAAUUAAGCUUCCCUAAGAGCAUGUCUAUAAUAAAUGUUUAAAAUGAAGACACGAAAGCACAUUGGAAAUUGUGUUUUGAUGAUAAGACAUUUGACUUAAUAAGCAAAUCAAACAAUUAAGCUUCCCAAAUCCGUAUAAAAAAAAACUAAGCUUCCCAAAUCAAUGUUCGCUGCUGAUACACAGGACAUUGAAAACUGAUUACUAUGUGCAAAACAUCUAAAAACAAACCUCAAUGGGUAGACUAAAGCAUAUAGUUCCUCUUAGACAGGGAUUCUGAUGCAUACCUCAACGAAAAGUUAUCAACAAGACACAAAUUAGAUACAUAUAGUUCAUGCAAAGAUCUAUGUGACAUUUCAGAAGGAGGAUAUAUAUACAAAAGCCGCUUCAACCAGAUUGUUAGUAUGAUAGUUUGAUUUUCAUGUCAUUCCAUAAGCUCGAGGAUCUUGCGCAUAAGAUAGGAUACAACUAAACUGAUUGUGAAUAAUAAUGAAGAACAUAGGCCAAGAAAUAAACUAAUUAAAUACAUCAAACAAUAUUGGAAAUAUAUUCUUAGCAACUUGUCCCAGAAUUGAGAAACUAAAAAAAGAAGCAACCUCGCUUCAAAAAAAAGAGAAAAGAACAAAAGAACAAAUCAAACAAGCAAGCAACCUAAGAGGAUAACAAAGUAAACGAAUAAAAAUAUCAAUAGCAUAUAUGCAUAAAGUUAUACGAACAUUUCCAAUGUCAACAACAAUCAAUAUCACACAAACAGAUACUUUUUCUAUCAACUUACUUGCCCAACAGCAGAAACUCCCUUGUCUGUCCUACCACAUCUUGAGUAAUGUGAUUCCUUCUUAUCACCGAUUAAAAGUCUUGUCUUCUCAAGAGCUUUGAAAAUUUCAGACUGCACAUUAUUCAUUGUACAAUAAGCUCAUCCACCUUAGCUAAUUAGGCGUCCUAAUGCAUAUUCAAGACACAUGCUUAUGUUCAUUUAUAUUGCUUUUGAAGUUAUGACUAGUGCAGAGUUGCUUACAUUCGACACAAAUUAAUAACUUUAUGUGAGAAACCAAUACCUCAACAGUUGGAUCCAUCUGUGCCUCUGCAGCAAAGCCAUAGAACCUGUAAGACAGCACAUAUUGUAAAAAAGGCCUCAAUAGCCCAUAUAUUUAAAAAAGUACAUUAACCUUUGGGGGAGUGAAAUUUGCACUGCCUAGUUACAGAUGACACCUACUUUCAUUUUUAUAUUAUAUUCUUAUCUUUUUAUUGGUUGAGUCAACAACUUAUCCUGGUUCCUCAACUCUUAUAAAAUGGAAAAGAUGGCGUCCUUAAGGCUAACUGGUCCAGUGAGGUUAAUUGGAAGCAGGCAACAACGAAGCCAAGGGAAUCUUUAUCGGGGGAUUAGAUUUCUUUUUUUUAUUAUUUCUUUUUUUAUUUGGAGGGGUUUGAACAUUAAAGGGGAAGAUUGGCGUAAAUUGGGGUCGCUUGAGGAGAAGCGGAGACAAUCUAUGGCUUGCUGGGGUGGGUUGUUUGGAGAUUGAUUGAUGACUAGGUUACAUAGCUCACUAGUUGGCAGUUUGGCUCUGCCUUAGCAGCAGGACGGUGAUGAGUGGGAUUUGGGAGUUGGAGGAAGAAAUAAUCUGGGGAAUUUUGGUUUUCAGGGGAGAGGAUUGUCAUUGUGGAAGUCAAGAGAAGGAUUAAGGAGUAAAACAAAAACAAAAAAUCCCAAAAAAAGAAAGGUCCCUAACCUUCUGCCAAAAUACAUGACUUUCAAAGCAACAUAUCUCUUGCUGUGGUGAUUCAUGAUCCUUGUGUCAUAACCUGAUUCCAGGACGUAUAAUUAAAAUAUGAAUAAACACCUUCAUCAGCCAUCACUCAGCAGAGUAGCACGCUUCAAAAUGUGAACUUUCCUAAAGGAAGUAGACUGUUGACUUUGAAUUGUAAUAAUUUGGAGUAUAAAAGAGAGAAGCAACAUACUCAUUGUGUAAGGAGUCUCCAGAUAGCUAUUAGAAAGAACAAUAAACAAUAAUAAUAAUAAUAAUAAUAAUAAUAAGUGAGAUAGGGAGAGAGAGAGAGACCAAACUAAUUAAACAAAGAUGUUUUCAAUUAUGAAUUAUCAACCGGAAUCUUGUUUUGGCAAAUUAUAAGAAAUCUCUGAAAUUUUUUUCUUGUUCCUAUUUCUUUUCCCAAAAAGAAAAAAAAAGAAAAAAAAAAGUGAAUUAAAGUAAAUACCCGGAAACUUCUCUUUAACUUUCUCCCUGAUGGUCUUCUUAUUUUGAAAGCUCAAUUUCCCGCUUUUCUCAUCUGCAUUGUCAGAACUUACAGAAGAGUCUUCAUUCUUGUCCUGUUUCAGGAUUGCAACAUACUUAUCUUCGUUAAGCAAAAAUAAAAACAAAUCAAAAGGUUGUUGAAAUAUAAUUGUCACAUUACAGACAUUUGGUAAAUACAAUGUUCUAAAAAACGCUAGGUGAUAGUCGGGCGGACAGCCGGUGACUAGUGCCUAGGCGGGUUAAUCGGGGGAUUAAUCGGUUUUCUAGCUCUCUAGACGGAAACGGUGAAGCACCGCCUAGCGCCUAGGCAGGGAUUAACCGGCUCUAGGCGGGGAUUUUUAGAACAUUGGGUAAAUAAGCCAAAGCAAGUUGAAUACAAUUUAAUUAGUGACGAUCAAAAGUAGAAAGUUUAAUCUUCAGUCUGUAAUUAACAAUUUGUUGACAAUAGUCAUCACAAGUACCAGAAAAUAUACAGAUUCUGAAGAUAACCAAAAGCAACCAAAUAGAAAGCACGCUUUUUUUUUCUUAUUAAGGAACUAAUAAAACUUAUUUAUUUUUUGGGUUAAAGUAGAAAGGGUUUAUUCAUUUUGAGUUAUGUUUUCAUCUAACAGAGUUUGUCCAUUUCACUCCCUCACUUAUUCAUUUGUAUGCCUUACAUGUUUUCUUUGUAGUGAAUUCUAGUUAUGUUUCCAUUGACAAUUCCAUACUCCAAAGGGGCUCUGCAGGAUUAAGAUGCACUGGAUGUUUUAUAGUGGAUACAUCAAGGACCAGAACUAGAUUAACAAAUCACUUAAAACAUAUUUAUCAACCAUAUAUUCAAGUGUGAUAUGUCAUACAACAUUGCAUGUUUAAUUAAAAAAUAUAUAUAUAUAUAUCGGUCAUAAAUUUAUUUUCUUGUUUAUAUCUGAAACAGUAAAUAAUAUAAAAUCAAAAUAGCAAACCUGAUGGCAGCGACAAACUGCGAGUUGUGAUGACAACUUGGCAUUUAAUGCCUCUAAUUCCUGGAUGUCAUUUAAAAAUAGUAAUCAGAAUAAUGCAGUACAUAAUAUAACACUACAAGAAAUUUGGGACUAUAUUAUAGAAUGCAAAAGACAAUUUAUAAGUUCUGCAAGAAACAAACACUGAGAGUGAGGCAUUGUGGUGAUUGCUUAGAAUGGCACAACAAAACCAAACAAAACCAAGAAAACCAAGAGAACCAAACACAGAUAGUAAUGUGGUUCGAAAGUUGCCUACGUCAAUGGUGCAGCAACAAUUUAUCUUCCAGUAAUGGGUACACAAUCUUGCCUAGCCUCUAAAUGAAAACUUGAUAAAACUAGAAAGAAUUAAAUAAAAAAAGAAAAAAAAACAAGGUAACGAAGCCAAGUAAUACUGUACUAUAAAAAAUAAGUUCAUCCAUUUAUUAUCCAGAAUACAAACAACAGAUUGUCCUUAAUCAUGAAUUACAUGCAUUUCACUAAUGCAAUCUUAGGCUAUAUCUUUUCAUUUUCUUUUGUUGUCAUGUUCGAUUUAAGUGUCAUGUAGUUAUGUCUUUUAGAAUUCCUGCAAGCAUCAGUUAUAUGGUUAUUAAUAAUGCAUGUAAGGUCCUAAUAAAAAAAGGCUACUUUGUAAGCUUUCAAGCAGAAGUGGUAAAAGAAAUCAGUUGAGAUUUUCUGCUCGUGUGUGAGUCAUUGGUUAACUUGUCGAGAUUCCGAGACAUCUUUGGUAUGACACUGGAAUUCUUUCUGAGAGUGAUCCCUGAAAACUCCACCCAAGUGAAACUAGUAGUUUAUAUUCCUUUCCAGAUCUUAUAUCAUCUGUCCCUACUCCCUAACAAUAACAACCUCUUUUCUUCUCUUCUCUUCUGCCCAUACUCAAUUUCUCCCUGCAAUGGACUACAAGACUUUCUCUCUCUGCACUUCUAAGCAAGAGCAGUAUUCUAAGCCAAACUGCCUUACUCAAACAUCAGUGUUUCCCAAUUCACUCAUGGGAGUGGAAUUCCCUAGCUCUCCCAUUGGAGUGCUCCACCAAGUACCAGCUGCUUUCCCCAGGCGCUGAUUCUAUGAUCCCCACACCUCAUUACAUAGUCAUGCCUGUUACCUUUCUUAACCAACUAGCCAACGAGCCUUACAGGUAAUCUUUUGACAAUUAGUAUUAGGAGUAGUUUAUUCCUUCCUUACCGGCACCAAAAUGGGCUUGCCCUCCAACUAGCAUCCCUGUAAGGCUAUCAAAAGUAACCGUAUUAGCAUCCCUCCUUGUCAGAGAAGAAAUCAUGACUUCAGAUAAGUGUUUAGUUAUCUGAGUCUUUAGUAAUAUUAGGUCAAUUUCUCAUUAACAGGUAAUAGGUCCAACUCCAACUAGCGAUCAUAGUGAUAACAAAAUCUUCCCAUGCCUCCCUGAGAGUAGUGCUGACCUAGUUGACUGCUGAUUUCAAACUUUUCAGCUCUUGAUCCUCAUCUACUCGGGUGGCAAGUGAGUCAAGUCGUGUUGUGUCAUCUGUCAUGUGUUUUUUCAUAUCAUGUCAACUGGAAAGCCAACAUGUUAACCAACGGCAUCAUAUGGCAUGACUCACGUAAGAGGGAUCCUACAAUUCUCUAAACCUCCACAUAUCGUACAAAACCUUUAUCCUUUUUCUUGUUCUCUUCCCAUUCAUCUUUAAUGUUAAGGGUGUAGCUCCCGCAUCGAGGCCUAAAACUCACUAGCCAAACCCUAAACUCAAAACCCAGAAACUCUACUGGAUAACCAAAUCAACCAUAAAUUGUCGUAACGUUUUGGAAAUACUUGCUAAGCUCACAAUCUAGCAAUUCGCCCACACACACUAAUUAGUGUAAAACUCCGAUAACAUCUCCAGGGAUGGGAUGGUCUUCUAGUAAAAGAUAUCAGCUAUUAGACCUUAAUAAAUACGAUACGAUUGCUUUGUGCUAUACAACUAGCUACCCCAUUCAUCGCAAUUUUGUUCACUUUAACUACAAUGCCCAAUUUUACGAUUUCGAAAUGGAACUGAACAUAAUAUGAGAGCUGGACAUAAUCAAAACUGAAUCAACAGUUGAGAGAGAGAGAGAGAGAGAGAGAGAGAGAGAGAGAGUGAGUUAUAAAGAAAGUGGAAGCGGCCAAAGCAAUUGACAACGAAGUAUGUGAUUGGAAAGAGAGACAGAACCUGAACUCUGUGGCGGAGGGAGUCGACGAGGGAGUCCAUGCUCCUGCUUUUGGUCGUUUCUAAUUUCCAGCGGGAACCAAAACGACGGCCUGCGCUCUACUUACGGCGACUCCCUGUGUCUACUUUCAAAUCAAAAUAGGGUGUCAUUAGCACCACCUUUAAAAUAUGUGAAUAAAGUAAAAUUCAACUUUUUUCUUUUUAAUUAUGAACAUCUCGAAAUUAUUUAGUUUUAUCAUUUAACCUUUAAUUAUUUAGAAUAUAUUUUGAUGUUUUGUGUCGACAUAUGUGACAGAUACCGGAUUUGGAUGAUUUUUUAGCCUCAUGUCAAACUAGAUUUCGAGACAAAAAAAACAAAAGUCAAAUCUCAUUCUAAUGACAAUAAGAUUUUUGAUCCCAAUUGAACGAUUAGCUUAUUUAUGCCCAAAUAUACAAAUUUUUAUUAAAUUCAUAAUAAAAUAAUAUUUUUGAGACAUUUUUAACCUUGUGUCUUAUACACAUUUAAAGAGAGAAAAUGGAAGAGAGAGAGGACUUUGCUGGAGCCUUGCCGGACUCCGGUGACUAGUCACCGGACUUCGGUCAUCGGUUGCCGGAUUCCGGUCAUUGGUCACCGGUUGCCGGAAUUUCUUUGGUCCCCGGUUAUUGACCCCUAGUAACUCAAAUUUUCUUCAGUCGCUAGAUUUCGGUCACCAGUAACUCGAUUACUGACCCCCAAUAACCAGUUACUGACCCCCAAUAAUCAACCUAUUUCAGCUUAAUGUAAUACAAAAGAAGAUUUACUAGAAAAUAAUCGAAUUACUGAUCCUAAUAAUCGAGUUACUGACCCUAAUAUCCUUUAGUUUUCAGUUACUGACACCCAAUAAUCACUUAGUUUUUAGUUACUGACACCUAAUAACCAGUUACUAACCCUUAAUAUUCAGGUUACAAACCUCAAAUAAUAAUUUACUGACUCUAAUAAUCACUUAACAAUCCUCAAUAAUCACUUACUAACCCCAAUAUUCAAAUGUAAGGAUCAAAAAAAAAAAAACUACUAACUAACUUGGUCAUGCUCUGGGCACCCAUGUUUCUUCUCUGGGCACCCACCUUCCCCAACGGCAAGCACACCGGCUCCUCCACCGAACCCGGCGCACCUCACUCUGCAUAACAAGCCCGGAUCCGGCGCACCUCACCUCAUUCCACCAAACCUGGCGCACCUCACCUCACGCCGGCAAGCAAUGCCUUCCCCAGCCACAAUCCAACCCGGAUCGAACUCUAGCCAAGUUGAGCUCACUAAUAUCUACACCAUCUCGUCGUCGCCGGCUUGGCGCAGAUCAGAGUCGCUCCAGGAUCAGAUAGGAGAUCUGGUGCGGUGGAGGAAGGACUAGACGGCGUCGCAGGCGGAGGAGAUCUAGUGCGGCAUCGCAGGCGGAGGAGAUCUGGUGUGGUGCGUUGGAGGCGAGGUGAUAAGGUCUAGGUUGAUGAGAGAGAGAGAGAGAGAGAGAGAGGCAUGAUCGGGUAAAUGAGAGAGAGGAGAGAUAAGGUUUGAUAUUUAUGAAGGAUAAUAUUGUCUUUUUAUUAAGAUUUGUGUAAAUGGGCAUUGAAAAACGAUUUUCAUUGGAAUGGGCUAGAAGCUCUUAAAAUUAGUACUAAAUAAGCAUUUUCCCUUAUUUAAUGUGUAGAAGAACAAACAUUGAUAAUCUUGGAUCUCCAGGUUUUAUUCAUGCGUAGAUAAGAUGGAACAUAUAUUGCAAAUCGGUCAAUGGAGUUUGUUCUUCUCAUAAAAUUAGUUGCAAAUUGGUAAAUGGUAUAUUUGGGUUAGUGAUGCUGAGGUUAUUAGGGCUCAUUGAAUGGAUUCAAACGACUCAAAAUGUGUGAGCAAAAAUAAUUCAAUAAUCCUAUCCAACAAUCAUUUUCAUCAUAUUCUUAUGUCAUGUAUAGACAACCAUCCCUUUUGAGGAAUGCACGCAAUUUGGGCGGAAUAAGAUCGGGUGGGCUAAGCCCCUCCUUUUUCCUCUUCGCUUGAUUCAUCAUCUCCUCUUCUCGUUCAGAAGAUUCUUCAUCAACUUCUUCUUCAAGUUGGUCUUAUGUAUAAAUUGUUUCAAUUCUCGCAUCCAAGGGUUUUUU
rnacentral:lncRNA from 1 species